UCCGAAAAUUGAAGCCCACCCUGUACCGAAAUAGAGGGCGCUGGACGAAGGUGUAGCAAAAUUUCAUAAUUAUCCAAACAGACCAUGUUUUUUUCGUAAUUUAAUUUUAGCUCAUGGUGGCCGUAAUUUACCGAAUAAUUAAAUUUGAAAGGCGAGGAAUUAGUGUGUGAAUUCAAAGGUAAAGCUCUUAAAAAGAGGGAGAAAACAUGUGGAGAGAAAGUGAAUACUACGAUUACCAAUGCUGUGUCCCCCCAUCAAAUGUUUUCUUGAUUAUGAGAAAAUUCAGAUUAAUUAAAUUAUAAAAAGUUAAAAAAUCAAAUGAACAUGAGCAUGGCAAUAGAGAUACGUACCUGUUCAUACAGACAUACAGUUGUCCUCCAUGUGUACGGAGGCAGAGCUUUUGAGGAAUAUUUAUUGAGAUUCCGAAAUUUUAUCAAAAUCUGUGCUGACCUAAUUACUAGCAUGUCGUUACCCACGGCGGUUCAGGCGGCGGCGGCGAAUUGAAUUGAAUUGGGAAUAUGGGAAGAUAUUAAACGACGUCGUUUCCUGGUUUGGAAUUGGGUUAGGAAGAAGGGCUGGACUGGCAAAUUAAAUUUAAAAGAAGUUGGGCCAGAGCAGCUGGUCCGAAUUUUAAUAAGGAGCUGGGCCCAAAUAAUAAUUAUGGCUGGUGAAAUUACAAAAUAAACCUUAACUAAAAUUGAAUUUUAUUUUCAUUUUUGGAAAUGAUUAUUGAAAUUAUGAGACAAGAAAACAUGGUGUUAUUGAAAUUUAUGUGAGACAGGAAAACAACGUUUAUUGCAACAUUUUAUUUUGUGCGUUCCAUAGAAAUUGGAAAUUCAUUUAUGAAAAUGUUUGAGAAAAAUAUUUUUAGAAUUAUAGAUAAGGUAGUCUAUACACAUAAAAGUGCCACUUGUUAAAUGAUUAUUUAAAAAAAAAAAGUAUUAUUUGAAUAAGCCACUUUUUAUUUUGGAGAUUUUCAAAUUUUGAAAAUUUUCUUGCACUUCCACUUGAUGGGACAUUAAAUUCAUGAAUUUAUGUUAAAUUUAUUAUUUGACAAAACUUUUUUUUUUAAGAGAAACGGAUAGAUUUAUUAGACACUCAUUUUAUGAAUAUAAUUAAUAAUACACUAUUUUCUAGAAAUAUUAUUUAAAGUUCAAUUUUUUCUGCUAACGCUUUUUAGGUGAGUCCAUCGAACAUGCAUUGCGAGUUAUUACUAACACUAUACUAUAAUUUCUAAAUAAUAUAUCUGACUACAUCUGACUACAUAUAUCUUUAAAAAAUAUCUAAAAUUUCGUAUAAUAUUUUAAAUUAAAGAAAAUGGAGUGAGAUGCCUCUCAUAUCAAAGAGCUUAUAUUACUACAAGAUAGAAUUUUGGAAUUUUCCCAAAAGUUAAUCAAUAUUAAAUAAAUUAAACCAAUUAUCGAUUAUUAUUUGAUUGGACAAGAUAGCAAAAGUUCAUGUAGAGAGGUGGAGACCCCCACACACAAAACACACACACUAAUUAUGAAAAAAAGAAAAAAAAAAAAAACAUUUCCAAUAACAAAAUUUAAAUAAAUGUAAGGCCACCUGUCCAAGAAGGUCCCAAGAGAGUCCAGCUCAACCGUCACCUCAAGCAGCACCAAAACUCCGUACACUCAGACACCCACGUGUCAGAAGUUUCCUUCAGUUACUCUUUAAUAUCGCUAGUUUAAACAACACGCUUUUUAGAGUGUGGGGGGGAGAAACACGAUUUUGGGUCGGAGAGCACGGUGUAGGGGAUUACCGUACACCCCUCCGACUAUUUUUUAACCUCGCAUCGCACGUGCCGAAAUCCAGUUUAACGCCGGAAAUUCCUCCCUUUCUAAUUUCCCCCCCCUCUCUCUCUCUCUCUCUCAAAAAAACGCACACACGCAGCACAAAUACACAUAUAUAUAUACAUACAGCUUUCGUGUAUCUGUCGUUUUAUAUAACAUUCCCCACGCUCAAUAAUUGAAUCUGGAAUUCUAUGUAACCUAUCCAAUUUGUAACGCAAAAAAAGUUCGAAUUUUGCAUUUGGGAGGAAGGAAUUUAAUUUUAAUUUGACUUUUCUCUGCGCGUAAUUUCUUUUUUGUUGUUGUUAAUUGGGUUGCGAUGGGGGCGGUGACGUCGUCGAUGGCGGCGAAGUUUGCGUUUUUUCCACCGGAUCCGGCGUCGUACGAGGUGACGGUGGAGAAGGGGGCGGGGAAGCUGAAGAUGACGGAGGUGGCGGAGAACGAAAACGUCGACGUUUUGAAAGUGAAAUCGAAGAGGGGGACGGAGAUCGUGGCGGUGUAUGUGAAGAAUCCGUCGGCGAAGCUGACACUUCUGUACUCCCACGGCAACGCCGCUGAUCUAGGGCAAAUGUAUGAUCUCUUCAUUGAACUCAGCAUCCACCUCCGGGUCAACUUGAUGGGGUAUUUUUCAAAUUACCCAAUACGUACAUUUUGCCUUUUCUUUUUUACUUUUUUGAAUAAAUUUUGGUAGUCCGUGACUCUGUGGUUUCUUAUGAUGGAUGAAGAUUUGAUUUUUAUGAACGAAAACACUUCGAUUAUUUGGUAGGCCAAUUUAAUUGUUAUGAUUUGAGGAAUCUGAUGUGGAGAUCUUACUUCAGACACAGUAAAUACAGCUUUUGACAGAGGAAUAGGGGUUUGUUCCCUGUAGUUAAAAGUACUGAUUGUGAUCACUAAUCUGGUUAAGAAAGGACAAAGUACAUAUUGAUGAAAUGUGACACUGUUGCAUUUAUGAUUAGUUGAUAAAUUUGGUUAUCGUUACAGUUAUAGUGUCCUUACAUAUAUGGAAUUGCUGUUUGGAGAUGCUACUCGUUUUGCCUCUUCCGAGUAGACUCGGGUAGAGAGUCUUAAAACCUUUUCUUUAGUUACCAAGAUAAAACGUGAAUCUGUCGUUUAGAAUGAUCGAGCAUUCCCUUUAUCUAUUUAUUCACUAAAAAGAUUUCGACUUUUUACCUCGAAUUAAAUUAAUUGCAUAGUUACAAAAUGAUGCAAAUGAGGAUUGAAAUUUCUCGAUUUUCACUUCCCUUUUCUGCAGGUACGACUAUUCUGGGUACGGAAAGUCAACUGGCAAGGUAUGGGAAAUGGGAUGGGGUUAUUCGUUUUGAGGGACUUUUAUAGUGGAGAAAAUGCUUACUUUUGUGUCUGUUAUUCUUUUUUCUUAGCCAAGUGAGCAGAAUACUUAUGCCGACAUCGAAGCUGCGUACGAGUGCCUUCAAGAGACUUAUGGUGUGAAAGAAGAAGAUGUAAUAUUAUACGGACAGUCUGUUGGGAGUGGUCCCACAUUGGAUUUAGCAUCCCGUUUGUCUAGAUUAAGGGGUGUGGUUCUUCACAGCCCAAUUCUCUCUGGACUUAGAGUUAUGUAUCCUGUUAAGCGCACAUAUUGGUUCGACAUUUAUAAGGUAAAUUAAUAUUUCAUGCAAGUAUUGCAGAACACACUUCUUUGUCAUAUUUUCGCAAUAUUUCACGACCAACUGUUUAUUGUGGAAUACAGAAUAUUGACAAAAUCCCACUGGUCAAAUGCCCCGUCCUGGUUAUUCAUGUGAGUCUUUUAUCUCUUCGACUAAGUUCUCACAUACAUGAUUUGCGUUGUAUAUCUGUUCUUUGAUUAUGUUUGUGAAGUACAUGUUUUCCCUGCUAUAAUUGUGCGUGUGUGUGUGUGUGUGUGUGUGUGUGUGUGUGUGUGUGUGUGUGUGUGUGUGUGUGUGUGUGUGUGCAGUCGCUUAAAUGUGAUCAGCCAUUGUUCUUUGCCUUUAGACAGAAAAACAAUCGCAGAGCAGAUAUGGUUGACCAAACAGAUUAAUUCCAUUGAAAAUUUAGUUGUUUAAUAUAUAAUAAGUUAAAAGAAAAACGAUUUCAUUUCACGUAGCACAAUUUACAAUUCUAGUACAUGCAAAAACAACAACCAAUUAUACCUUUGUGAAUAUUAAAAGAUGCUUAACUCAGUUUAUGUGUAGGAGUUACCGUUGCAAACUAUCAUUACAUAUUCUUUAAUGUGAUAACAGGGGACUGAAGAUGACGUAGUAGAUUGCUCUCAUGGCAAGCAGCUAUGGGAGCUCUGUAAAGAAAAGUACGAGCCCUUAUGGGUUAAAGGCGGCAAUCAUUGUAAUCUCGAGCUUUACCCAGAAUAUAUUAAGCACUUGAAGAAAUUUGUAUCAGCUAUAGAAAAAUCGGGACAUCUGAGAAAUGGAACUGUACCAUCUAUCGAUCUGAUGGCUGAUAGUCGACCAAGACAAAGCACGGACCAGAGAGAGAAAUCUCGAUCGAGCACAGAUCAUAGAGAAAACCCUAGGGUAAGCACGGAUCUAAGGGAGAAAUCGAGGGCCAGCAUUGACAAGAGAGAAAGGUCAAGAAAGAAUAUGGAGUUGUCUGAAAAGACGAGUAAUGUUACAGAACAGCCUGAGAAAGCGAGGAACAGUAUAGAUCGGUUGGCCUCAACUUAGAUGUCUAAAAGUUUCUUCGCUCGUAUAUAUAUUUAUAUACAUAUAAUAGACACGUAUACGUGUACGUAUGUGCGUAUUAGAUGGUGUAUCUUCGUAUAUUUUUUGUCAAUAUGACUUAUUACACAAGAAGUUUCUUUUUCCGUUGACUGUUGGAAUUUAAUUAUGACAGCUUCGGAGAUAUGAUGAGAUCGGCUGUUUUGUGCAACAUCGACUGUUUCAAACCUGUGGGAACUAAGGUCUGAAGAUUGAGUGGAGGUCAGUCUGAAAUAGCUUUAGAUACUUUAGUCCACUUAUUUUCCACUUUUUUUCCUAGUAUUUAGCUUUGCUGAAUAGUGGAUGAUUAGAUAUUUUCUCGUUUCUUGCCGAUUUCAUGUUUUCAGAGGUGCAAUAUAUAUAAUUUGUUCAACAUGAUGGUUGUUAAAUUGUUAAUUAUUUCAGAUCCAAGAGAAUCUAUCAUUAAUUUUAUUGAUUUGUUGAUUCUUUUAUUCUGGGAAAACAUCGAGUUCUUGGAGUACACAUAACACCACAGUUUUCUUCGUUCAUUCCUCUGUCAGGUUCUGUUCUGUACAAUAUUAUUUGGAUCGAGACCGAGCUUUCCUCGUAUUCUAGGCUCUGGGCUGUUUUGUGCUUUCAAGGGUGGAAAUGAUUCGAUUGCACACGAGUGUUGCUCUUAUGUAAUAAAUCACUUUUAUUCGUUGGUUCCUCACUUAUGUUACAUUAAUCCCUGUGGAAUGUAGGCAUGAUUCUGCCCCUAUAUUAUCUUAUCUCUAAUUAGCUCAAUAUUUGAUUGAUUUGUAAGUCUCGUACUAUAAACACAUCGGGUUAAAUUAUUGUCGAAUACACGUGAAAUUGGUGAACUAACGUGAAUGCAUAUGGUAGAAAAGAUCAGCGACGUAAUUAGUUCGAAAAGUAUAAAUAACGUUAUUCGUGUUUUUAUGUCAUUAUUAAUUUGAUUUUUUCGCCUAGUGUCCAGAUUAUUUCUUGCAAAAGAUCAAAUCAUAAAAUUUCGAAGUUACGAUCUCUUACCUCUCAAUAUCUACUAAUGUUGGGCAAUAACCUGAUUGAAAACUUUCGAAACAUUCAACUAUGCUUCACAAAUUUGUACAACACUACAUUACCUCAGUAGCCUAUCGUUAAAUUAUGAUUCCUGGAGUAGAGUUACAGGAAACGUAAACAUUGUUCGAUUUACCAUCAAAUCCCGCAAAAUGCCCUUUACCAUAAAUAAAGAGUUCAUACGCAGGGGCGUUUUGGUAAAAACAUCAAAACAGACAGUGAACCUCAGCCAAGUGCAGCCCUGUAAAGCAUCGUAGAUGUCACUUCAGUAACCAAAACGUUCAUUCAAUGAGGUCCGUCCAUCUCCAGAUUGACCUGGGAAAGAAAGUCACAACAGAAAAUUGAGCAUAAAUCAGACCCCAAUAUACUUUAAAAAAAAACAACAAAUAUAUAUAUACAUAUAUAUAAAAUAAUAAUAAUAAAUAAAUAAAUAAUUGUUAAUGAAAACGAAAAGUAAUUACCUUCAGGGGGCACCCAAGCAUCCGGCUCACUGAGAAACGACGGUUUCUCAGGACCUAGCACCUUUUUAGCCUUUUUCCCUUUCUUCCUACCUUGAUUUUCAACUAGACCAUCUUCAUUAAUAGGGCUAUCUUCCUCAUCUAAUGCAAGGUACCCUCUCGAGUGUUUCAGUAACAAGGCCACAGCAUCUUCUGCCUUAAUAUCAGGUCCAAUAGACUGUUCAGAAUAUUUGACCUCACUGAUGUUUGACUUUCCGACUUGCUUCCGUUUCCUUAUAAUUAGACCAGGGGCAGCAUCUUCUAUUCCCGGUUCUGCUUUUGUCAGAAUCGUUUCCCUAUCUUUAUAGUCUACAAACUGAUCUUUCUCCUGCAAUUCUUCUUUAAUUUCUUGUUUGUUUUCUUGCUUAAUUUCUUGCCUUUUUAUGUCCUCCACAGCACCAAGCCAUUGUGGCUUUGCAGCCGUAUAUACAGUAGCUGUACUCUCAUCGUUUACGGACUUUGCUUGUUCCUUCAUCGCUUUUGAUUCGACUAAAGUUUCUUUUCUAACAGAUUUAACUACUGUGCCUUCUGGUCCUAAAUUUGGGUUCUUAUCUGACGAGGGGCCAUUCUUUGGUAGAUUCUUUUCUGGUAGGGGGGGAUUGAUUGCAUCUGAAGCAGGAUGAUUCUUCACUACUGUAUUGGGUUUUUGUUCUGCGGAUUCUCUUUUCCUAGAUGCUUCUCCGGUCGGAUCGGCUAAUUUCAGCAAGUAAAGAAUCCUAUCCAACUCCGAUUGGAGAACGGAUAGCUCCUUCUGAAUCUUUUCCUUUUUAUCCAAAACUGUAACCAAAGGAAAAAAACCCAAAACAAAGCUGGUCAAGAAUAAAAAUUUGAAUCUUGUUUAUCCAUUAAAGGAGAGACGAGUGAGAUUGAUGACUAAAACUACACAGAGUUAGAGGAUAAUCUCACCUAGCUGUGAUGAAACUGCCGACAUGUAAGCAUCAAGUUCAUCUCCAGCUUCAGAAACUUCCUUUAUCUCUGCUGGUUUGUCCUCAUCCAGAAGUAACUUUUCCUUAUCUUCUAUCUGUUUACUAAGGGCAUCCUUCUUGUCAAGAAGAGAAUCAGCUGUUUCUACUGAUUGGUUUCCCCGGCUCUUGUUCUUUAAGGACUUCUGUGUUCGAUCGUAGAAAUCAUCAUCAUCACUGCUCGAAAACAACAUGGUAAAUACACGAAAAUGUUAUGGCAUAAAAUAUUUGCAUUCAUCAACAUGAUACAGUAUCCAUUGACCAGCAGAGUAAGAACAUGGUGAGGAUUUCAUGCAACAAUUUCAUAAAAAUCGAACUGAAAGAUCAAUUAGAUGCAAAAGUUAUCAUAGAAUUGAAUUUUUUCAUGUCGGAAAUAUCCAGCUUGAAAUGAAAAAUGAGAAGAAAAAAAAUUAUUAUACCUCAAAUAUUCGUCUUCUUCGUCUUCCAUGGACCCUUUUUUCUUACCAUGAGACAACUUUCCAGUACGUGCACCUAAACUUUCCCGAAUGCUUUCGUUCAAAGUCUCUUCCAAAUUCUCAAGCUCUUCCAGUAUCUAAGAAAUGUUUUAGCGUUAGAAUUACCAGAAAGUGAAGGCCAACUUUAGAAAUCUGUUGACUAUAUAAAACUUGAUUAUCAAAUAUGAUCACUGCAUAAAGCUUAAAACCAGCGAGUGAAGCCCAACUUCAGAAAUCUGUUGACUAUAUAAAACUAAAUUAUCAAAUAUGAUAACUGCAUAAAGCUUAAUUCGCAAAUCUGUCAGACUAAAUAAAACUGUAUUAUCUUUCCCCCAACAAGAAAAAAUUGUACAGCAAGACAAGUACACCCUUUAUGUUUUAUCAAAUACCUGAGAUAUCCUUUGUUCAUUGCGAGCAAUCUGUGUUUGUUGUCCUUGUGUCAAGCCACCUUGAGCAAUAUCCUUCGCCCGAAUUGCAUCAAUCUCUUUCUUCAUGUGAGCAAUCUACAGAAGAACAAAAUACAACUCAAUAACGCAGAUUUAGUGUUUGUAAGGCAUAAAAUGUAGCAAGACACAGAUUUACUAUUCGUAAGCCAUAAUAUGUAGCAAUCUCCACUAUGCUUCCAAAGUAAAGCGACUACCUGAAUUCUGGGUUAGUAAGUGUGAAAUCUUUGAACCUUCUAAAAUAUUGUGAGCCAGAAUUUGAAAAGAUAAAGAAAUAUCCAGUAUUUGGAGUGCCAGUACAAAAUGGAGAUAGCUACAUAUUAUGUCUAUGAGACACAUUAUACUUGGGAUAACUUAAGCUAAGGUACAAAUUGCACCAUGAAAGCAACAACAAUUGACCAACCUUUUCGAGUCUCUUAAUGACUUUUUCUCGAGUUUUUUCCUGCUUCUCUGUAAGUAGUCCCUUGUAAGUUUGCCAAGUUAUUUCAUCAACUUCAUCCUAGAUUCCAGAAAUAUCUUUGUCAGUUGAAAAGCAGAUAAGGAUAAAAGUAAAUCAAAAUGAAAAUCCACAGAACAUUAAAUAAUUCAAGAAAAAAAAUUAUGGAUUACAAGAAAAACAAGAACGGACGGUUCAGCUCAACCAAAGCCUGCCUCUAUGGGCAAAGUCCAAAAUCCACUAUAAACAAGAGGAUACGUAAAUUUCCAUACUCUCACACCCUAAUCCAUCUAAACACUCAACUCUCUCAUAAAUAUAAGAAUCUCUUAUUUAAUUUUCAAUCCCCAACUAUAUCUUAGAAAGAGAAACAAAGUUCAGGAUUCUGCUUUCUGGUUUCUUUAAUUUCUCUCAAUCUAAAUUUACUAUGAACGAGGUCAAACUAGACGUAGGCCCAUAAAUCCUUGAUACUAGGAGUAUACUAUACUUCAAUAGUAAAACAGCAUAGCUUCCUUAAUAUGCAAUCAAAUCCAAAAAGUACUACUAAGUCCGACAAUGAAUUUCUCCUACAUAAGAAAAGUUUUGUACAAACCUCAUUCUCUUCAAUAGCAUCUUCACCCAUGCCCCAGGAAAUCCCAUCUGCCCGAGAUGCUUCUACUUUUGCUCGCAGAAGUGAUGCUUCCAUAUCUUGCAUAUUUUGUUGUAUCUUUGCCUUUCUUAAUUUCUUCAAAUCAGCUUCCUAUCAAACCAAGCCACACGGAAGAUAAUCAGAAGCUGACGGAAAUAUAGAUAACAUUGCAGAAAUAUACAGACGCUGAGGAAAGAGUUUGUCAUUGUUAAUUAGCACUUUUUUUUGUGUGAAUUAGAAUGUUCUAAUGAAAGGUACAUAUCUGGCUCAUGUAUUUGAGAUGAGAUAAACAAAAAGACUUACUGGUCGCAUCAAGUCGGAUGGUCCUUGAAAUAUGUACAGCCUUGACGAUCUGUGUAAGACCAAAAAAGAAAGAAAGAGCAUAAACGAGAGGUCUCAAUUUAUAAUACAACGGAAAAGCAGAUCAACAUAAGUAUGAGAAAUUUACUCUGUACUGCUAAAACAUCACAUUAUUAAUUUCUAGUUGGAUCCCAAAAUUUCAAUGAUAUUCAAAUAUAAAUCGGAAAGUGCCCUCAACACUAACACAUUCAUGUAUGAGAGAAAAAAACAUGUGGCCAAAAGCUAAUGAAAUUACUUACUGGCCAAAUCGGAUGACAUCACCAACGUGCAAAUCCACAUAAACCCUCUUUUUUACCUGAUGCAUAAGCCAAUAAUCUAUAAGUUGUAGAGGGAAAAAAAGGACAGCAAAAUCUGGUUCAUCAAGUAAUAUGUGCCAGGAAGAAAUGCAUCAAUAGUUCAAUACAAGUAUCUAUAUGAUAUUCGCUACAUGCCAUUCAGUUGGCUUCCUGGCAACUUUAGGUCGGAAAAAUUCCCAAUUUUUUCAUCAUCAUUACCUGACUAAUAGAAAAAUGAACUAUAAAUUAUCUAGACUUGGAGAAUUUAUAACCAUAAUAUUCAGCGACGUAUAUAAGUAUGGUACAAGUUUCAAUGGCAGUACAUAUGUCUCUCAUGGGAGAGUUGAGGAUGGGAAACUUGUACCUCGCUCUUGUUUAUAAAUGUACCAUGUGUACUUCCGAGAUCAUAGAGAUACGCACCUCCGUUGCUCUUAAACUGAAGAACUGCACCACGAGAGAAUUUAAAAUGUCAGCCACUUUCAGUUUAAUUUCAAUAUGUUCAUCGAACACAUAUUCGAGAGGUAUAACAUCAUAAUAGAAAUAAUUAAACACUCGACAGAGUUUUGUUACUAAGAAACUAUACCGGCGUGAAAACGAGAAAUGGUAGGGUGCUCAAGCACAAAAUCACAAAGAUCCACGCGGCCAAACAUAUAUGCCCCCUUCUUAUUCCUGGAAUAAUUUAUCAAACAGAGAAGAAAUACAUUCAAACAAAAUCAUCAUGGAAAAAAAAAAAAAGCAAUUGAGAAGGAAAGAGAAGAACCACUAACACAUCAAAUUGAUUAAUGAUGGCGCCAUCUUUCAGGACUUCAAGGACGAACUCGUGGCCAGGAGGUGCGCUCCACUCCGGAAUUUUGUACGGCACCGCCGCAGUACCAUUCUGCUGCUCCUUUUUCUUUCCGACGUCAGAAGAGAUGACGUCAUUUGAGAUGUCAGUAGGAUUGGAAAGUUGAUUAGGUUCGCCUGAAGUAUCAUCACGGAGAGGGUUUGAUUCCGGUUGUUGGUGGUCAAUUCCUGAUAACUCGGCUUCGGCUGCGGGUUCGGGUUCGGGUUCGGGUUCGGAAGGGCUGCUGUCCCUGGAAAGAGGGGGAACUAUAGGGAUUGCUAUUGGUGAUCCGGAUAUUGAGGCAUCUGCGCCGUCUAGGGAUGCGGCGGUGGCGGUGGCGGUAGGGGUUUUUGGAGGCGGAGGGCCCAUGGUGGUAGUCAUCGUGUAAUUUUCCGAUGAGUUGUUUAGCGGAAACGGAGUUGAAUUGAUUUAAAUUAUCCCAAACAAAACUUCUAUUUUUUUUAACCCCCAAACUCAAUAAAACAAUUAAGGGUGAAUUCCACUUUACCCCUUGUACUUUGGCUGGAUAUCAUUUUACCCCCCUAUACUUUCAAUUGCAUCGAUUUGCCCCCUUGUACUUUGGUUCGAUAUCACUUUACCCCUUCUACUCUCAAUUCAUCGAUUUGCCCCCUUAUACUUUGGGUCGAUAUCACUUUACCCCUUUAUACUACCAAUUGCAUCGAUUUGCCCCCAUGUACUUGAAAAAUUAUCUCAAUGUGGCUCUCGUCGUUAGUUUUCAGACAUUUGACAUUAACACCGUUUGAUCUAAGUUUGAAAAUUAAAAAAAAACCACCCAUCCCAGUUUAAAUAAUUAUUAAUAAAAAAAAUUGUUGCUGCGUCGUGGACUAUGUUUUCUCGCUGUCUUGAAUUUUUUAUUAUUUUAUUUUUUUGUUGUUUUUAAUUUUUUAAUUUUUUUAAUUUUUAAUAAUUAUUUAAACUCGAGGGGUGACAUUAUAUUAAUUUUCAUACUUAAAUCAAAUGGUGUUAAGGUCAAAGGUCUGAAAACUGACGGCGAUGACCACAUUGAGACAAUUUUUCAAGUAAGGGGGGCGGGCAAAUCGAAGCAAUUGAGAGUAGAAGGGGGUAAAGUGAUAUCGAGCCAAAGUACAGGGGACAAAUUGAUGAAUUGAGAGUAGAAGGGGGUAAAGUGAUGUCAAACCAAAGUACAAUGGGUCAAAUUGAUGCAAUUGAGAGUACAAGGGAGUAAAGUGAUAUCCAGCCAAAGUAUAAGGGGUAAAGUGGAAUUUACCCAACAAUUAAUUUAAGUUUUCUUAUUCUUUUUGGAUUUAUUUAAAAAUGGAAUUAUUUUUUCUGUCACCAAAAUUCUUAAUUUUCAAAACUUUGCCGAGCAACCCUCGUGCCACCGUUUGGUCGAUAAUUUAAUAAUUCGCUAAAUUAAUAAAAUUUCCCUAGUCCCGACUGUAUUAAUUUAUAGAGGUGUAAUUGUAGUUGUGGAGUUUGUCUGGAUAAUCAACUCCUUUUAUUUUAAUAACAACUAUUUUUUUAAAAUACUAAUCGUUAGUUUCAUCCUCGAUCAUUCAGAAUUAAUCAAAAAUUCAAGAAAAAAAAAAAUUAAAUAAAUACUAACAUAUAACAUUCACAAGAAAUUAGUAGAUACAACCAUUAAUUAAUUAUUAUAACCCAUAAAAGAAGAAAUAUCAUAUAUUCAAACACACUUAUAUAAAUGAUAUUAUACACAUUAUUAGUACAGCAGCCCCCAAAAUAUAGCACAACAAGAAUACAACAGUAGUACACAGACACAGGUUGCACAAACAACCUCAGUAUGUAAUAUUAAACAAAACAUUUCUAACAGCCUCAACAUCUAAGUUGAGCACAUAUAUAUAUAUAUAUAUAUAUAUAUAUAUAUAUAUAUAUAUAUAUAUAUAUAUAUAUAUAUAUAUAAUGUUUGUGCAAACUGAAACUCGGGCUUUAGCCCGUUAACCGUUUUUCACCGGUUCUUAAUUCGGGCCAUAAUUAAUCCGAGUCUCCAGCUAAAACAAAUAGCUUAAUUGGGCGAGACCCCUCAUUCGCGGUGAGAAGGCCCGUUUUUGAACAAUGAAUAGGCAUCGCUGUAUAUAGCAACCACAUUCGAAAAGACAGCGAGUACAACCAUGAAAAUCGAUAAUACUGUGUCCUUCUUUGCUGCUAUUCCAUAUCGGUCCCUGAAAUACUGACAAAAUAAAAUUAUGCUACUUUUAUCGGCAUGGAGUUCACGGUAAUAAAAAGGGUCUUUUGACAAUUAGAGUAAGAGGUGCCCAAAAAAAAAAACCGACAGUUUUAUAAAUGUAUAGUAUUCUCAGCCUUCGGCCUCGUUUGGUUCCCAAGAUAAAGAUUAUGCAAUCUUCUGAGAAAACAAUUUUAUAAUUAGGCCUUGGUUGGUAAGAUUAACCAUGAUUAAUUAAAUAAUUGGACGGACCUUAUUAGAUGCUUCGUCAGUAAAAUAACUUUUCGAGCCCACCCGCAAUUGUGGAGAAAAAUGGCUAUAAUCUUAGCUAAUUGAGAGAUUACUUCUCUUAACUUCUCUAAUCUUAUCUUAGGAACCAAACGAGGCCUCAGAACACAAUUGCAGGCUGACCCAAAAAGUUAAUCCAAUAACCAAGACCUAAUAUUUAACCUAAUCAUGCCUUACAUUACCAACCAAACGAUGCCUUAUUCAACUCUAAACGCCAUUAAUUUGUAUAUCAUCCAUUUUUAUUCAAUAUAGGCUAAAAAAAAAACUUACCGAAGAGUAAUAGCAGCGGGGAGAAUAAAACCAAUGCAAACAGCUGCAGUUGCUCCGGUAAACUGAAAAGCAUCCCAAAUACUCGGUAUAAAAUUUGCCCCGACGAAGAUGACAGCAAUAAGCCCUGUGCUGAGGUAAGCAAACCUACAAUUAUCCGAAGCCAAAGGCCGCGCCGAAGGGAAUAAAAGCCCGUCCAAAUUCAACCGCAAGGGAUAAAACACAAUAGGAAAAACGAGCAUCAAGUGAGCUGCGUAGCUGACUCUGACGGAAUCGUUUAGCAACGAACCGAACGGGAUUCCGAGAUCCGUCGAGAAAUUAGCAAGGACAUCGUCGAGAGUUUCGUCGCCGAAUAAAAGGAAUCCGAAUAUGCUCGUCAUUACAUAUACGCUCGAGCAUAGGGCGAGUGAAGUUCUUACGACUGCUUUUAUCUGUGUGUUGUCCUCGAGCUCGUUGUCUAUUGAAUGAACUGCAAAGAUGGAACAGGAAAAAAAAAACAUUUUUGUCAGACACUGAGAAAGCGGGGAAAGAAUGGAAGCUAGUUGUAUCGCACAUUUGACUACUCACCAUUGUAGUGGCAGAUGUAUGCAGUGACAAGAACAGGAACUACGGUGAAGAGGUUGAGGACCGAGGUUAGAUCGGUAAUUUCCGGAAACAACCUAGGCAUCAUAAUAGUUCCGUUUAUCAGCUUGAAGAGUGUAAUCCCCACGGUAAUAACGAGGAAUACAACAGCCAGUGCAACUGAUAGAGCAGAUGUGUAUCUCAAUGAAUCUGCAAACACAAGAUUGAAUGAAUAUUCAGCUUCAGUAAAAUGGCAGGAUAAAUAAAUUGAAAAACAAAGGCUCAAAUCUAAGAUAUAUGGUUUUCGAGAGAGUAACAUUGCAUGGUAAGCUUCAUACUUAAUCAUUGAAGUCCCAAAAUCAUAUUAUACAACAACUAAGGGGUCGUUAACUUUUCGGUAUCAGAUGUAGAGGUAACUGAUGAAUUAUAAGUUAUAUGUGAUAUGUAUUGCAAAUAAAAUGACCGUUGACAAACAUACCCCUGUCAAAAUAACCGCAAGAAGUCCACUAUGACAUUUCCAAAAAUAAGUCGCGGCACAAAGGUAUUUUCACAAUACAAUUAGAUUGAAUAGUUGCAAAAGAAGCCACAAAUAUAACUGCUCAAUACGAAAGAGAAAGGACUCACCGAUUCGCUUCAAGCUAGCCAAUGGGGCAAAUAUGCCAAGGGUCGUAAUAAGGAGAACAAAGAAUCGAGCGUUCCACCAUCGUUCUCCGAACCAACCUUCGAGCACACCAGCAUGGUGACUUCCUCCCGAUGUUGUUCCAGAAAGUACAUCACCUUUAACCAACAAAAACCUCCAUAAGAUCAAGAACGAACACAACAAACAAUUGCUAACAAAGAUCACAACACAAGUACUCAAAAUUCAAUCGAGAUUCAAUAAAGUUACCUAUAAUAAUCAUGUACACUAUGAGCACACCAAUGUUGUUGACCAACACGCACAGCUGAAUCAACAUCCUUCCGUAAUUACCGAACGCGUCCCCCAUAAGACCUCCGUAAGAAACUGACUUGGCCGUGCGGCUGAAUCUGAGCAGAAGUUCGAUCGAGGACUCUGUCAAGAAUGCCAUUAAUAUUAUUACAACAACACCGGGGAUAAGUCCCAAAACCUUCAUAGUUGCGGGCAAAGCCAUGAUUCCAGCCCCGACAAUAGUUGUCGACAGAUUGAAAACCGACCCACUGAAAGAAGCUCCGUUGAAUUCGUCGAAUCCACCAUCUUCGCUGUGCUUGGUGGGCAACAAUGGUGACUUCUCGUCAACAAUCGGUUGCUUGUUCUUUUUUGACUUCCUUUCUGUGGCAGGCUUGACACUUACAAUUGUCAUUUUCGAAAAAUCAGUUUGCUCGAACUAUAUUGAGCCAAGAUCGAAGAAAAAAAUCGGAUGCAACAACAAUGGAUUGAAGCCUCGGGACUCCUUGAGCUAAACAAUCUGCAGAAAAAGAUUAUAAGUUAAGAACCUUCAAAACUUGAAGGUAUGGAUGUGAAUUAUUGUCUUUAAAAUGGAAAGAAUUGAGAAUCUGACAGCCAAUAUUGGAAGAUUCUAUGAAAGCUAUACAACGAAAGUAAUUGAUUGAUUAAUUUAAACAAUUACGCGGCUACCUUAGAUUGAUUUCCCAAAGAGAACCCUUCAAAGAAACCGACUUUUAUCGACGACUUCGAUGAGAAUCAGUCUCUUCAAAAUCUAACAAACAAAAAAUUGAAAACCUGAUUAAUACAAUUUAAAAACAAAAAAUUCAAAAUUCAAAUUCAGAAAAUCAAACCCUAAAAAUAACAACGAAAACAACUCUGUAUCUGGAAAUAUGGUAGCUGGGAGAGAGAUAUAUAUGUACAAAUUGAGUAAAUAUAAUGAAGAUGAAGAGAUAGAAUUGUGCACGCAACGUUUUCCACGGAUGGAUAAUAUAAUAAUUUAAGUAAUACUAAUACACGAAUAGUUUCUCUACAUCGGCUGACACACAAUCGUUCGAGAUAGAGAGAGAGAGAGAGAGAGAGAAGAAGAAAUCCGACCUUUGAUUAUUGUGCAAGCUGAAAAUUACACAAAGUAAUUCAAUAAAGCGAAUUUGGGGGAAAUUAAUUAUUUCUACCGAUGAAACGACGACCAAUGGCGUCGCUUUCAAUUGAUGCUUUGUGGGGAUGGGUGGGGGUGGGGUGGGUAGGGUAGGGUGGGGGUGGGGGGUCCUUUCAAUCAACGGUGAUGAGAGAGAAAGGAAGCCCUCCCAAAAGAUGAUGCCUGGUUUACUGAUUGAUUUUGCUAACAAACGUAGUGAAGAAGAUGACUUCUGAACCAACAUUUUUGUUUUUAAAUAAUAAUUAUCUAUUUUAUGCUUCUUCUUUUUUUUUUUAAUUACUAAUUUACUUAAUUAGUCCUCUUAAUCUUAAUAAUUGUACAGCUAUGGAAACAAUAAUUAUCCUGUGGCUUCCUACUUGGAGAUUUAAAUAUUUAAGGAAUCUUUGCCUUGUGUGAGUUUUCUAGAAUCUUCUUUUAAUUACACUAAAUUUUAUGUUCUUAAUUUGUUUAUUUUUGUUUAAAGGGGCUCUUUGAGAAAACCCUCUCACUACUUUUUUUAAUUGAGGGAGGCCCAAAAUAUUUUAGUUCAUUUGAGAAAAGUCCACACCCAUUUUUAGCCAUUAUGUUUUCCAGCUUUACCCCGCUCGCCACCUCAUCACUGGGCCAACGCUGAUUUUUUUUUUUUUUCCGUUUUUUUAAUCGACUAUGAAGCAUAGUCGAUUAGUCUUAAAUCGACUAUGCUUCAUAGACUCAUAGUCGAUUAAGGAAAAUCAUCAAUUUUUUAAUUUUUUUUUUGUUUCUAAUAUUGUUUUUAAAUGUUUUUGGUUUUUUUAAUUCUUUUCUCUAUCAGGUUUAUUAAUGCAUAGUCGAUUAAAAUUUUAGCUAUUAAAAAUAACAAAUCACAAUUACAAAAAAAAUGCAAAAUCAACUAUAUUUAAAAAUAUAUAUAUAUAUAUAUAUAUAUAAACAUUGUAAUUGAUUUAUACAUUGGAAUCAAUAAACAAAACAUCAAAAAAAAAAAAUUAACAACUGGAGUCGGUUAACCUUAAUCGACUACUGAACAUAGUCGAUUAAGCCACGUAGUCGAUUAAGGCCCUGCCUGCGCGAAUUUUUUUUUCUGCGCCGUCUUCCGCCAACCAAACGACUCUUCAAAACGGCACCGAUCGAUUUCAGCGAAAACUGCCGUCGGUUGAUUCCACCGGAUUCACAAAUCCAAAACGGAGAGUAGAAAACCUAAACGAUGUGUGAUCGCCAUAGAAGUUGCAUCGGAAUAAUGAAUUUCACACACACACAAAUCGAAAUCCGAAUCAAAAAAAGUGCAUGUAAAUGUUGGUGUUUUGAGUGGGUGGAUGCAGUAGUUGAUGGGUUAAAUGGAUUGAACUUUCAGAAGAAAGGAUCUUUCGAUGAGAGAGAGAGAGAGAGAGAGAGAAAGAACAAGGUUGCAGAGAAGAGGUGAAAGGGCGAAGUGGGGUGGAGAAGAAGAAAGGUUACGAAAUAAGGGUGGUUUGGGAAUUAUUAAAUAAUAAUAAGGGUGGAAUAUUAGGUAAGGGGAUUUUCUCUAAUUAUUUUUAGAAGGGGGGGUUUUCUUAACUCAUUUACCUAGAUGAGGGGGUAUUGCUAAUUAUCCCUUGUUUAAAAUGUGAGAAUUCAAAAAAAUCGCCAAAAUCUUGCACAAGCGUUUAUGAUUUUUUUAAUGUAUAUUUUAAAGACUUACUCAGUUCAAUUUUUUUUUUGAGUAAUACUCAGUUCGAUUUAAAUUAUUAUCGUCGUUUUAUACAUUUUUUUGUUUCAUAUUAGCUGACACUUAAAUUUUUUAAAAAUUCAUAAAUUGCUCAUUUGCCGCUAUGAGUAAUUGAUAGAUUUUUUUUUUUCUUUUUUCUUUCUUGAGAUUAAAGAAAGGUGCAUUAAAUGAAAAUCCUAAAAUGAUAAUUUUUUUUUUAAUGAUUAAAUAAUAUUAGACAAAUAUUCUUUGCUAAAAUAAACAAAUAAAUAAAAUGGUAGGGAGAAAGCAAAGAUAAAACUUAAAAGAAUGGUUGUCUCUUUGAGAUUUGUAUCAUUAAGAUUUGAUUCCACUAUUAGUUAAUAAUUAACUUAUUUAAUAAUUAAUCAUUUGUACCACGGAUCUAACAGUGUCGGAUGCAUUAUCAUGGCGAAUUUCAAUUUCAAAUUAGUCGCAUGUAUGAAUUAUUUAUAUUUAUUUUUUAUGGUUUUAUAAUAAAAAUAUAUAUAAAAUGUCUAUUAUUGCAUUGGAUCAAGAAUAGUAGCAAAAAAGAAAAAAAAAAAACUAUCUGAAUUUUCAAUAGAAAAAUAAAAAAUCAAAAUGUCUAUUAUUUCAUAAUAUAUGAUGUUUGUAAUUAGAUAAUAUAGUAAAGCAAAAUCGAUCAAGCUACUUGCAUUAUUUUUUUACUGCUAUAAACAUGUGAUCAGUAUUGUGACACGUGUACACAUGCUGACAUGUACGACUUUCGAGUCGGCACGACUGCACGAGUCAUCGGCUCAUUCCGAGUCACCAAACAUCUUAUAAAAUUAUCAAACAUCUUAUAAGUUCUUAAAAAUAGAAUUAUUUGCUAAUCAUCGAUUAACUAAAUAUUUUAGAAGAACUUAUAAUCUGUUAAAUAUCUUAUAAACUAUUUUUAAGAGCUUAUAAGCUUAAUUGGUCAGUGAAGUGACCAGUGAUGGGGUCCAAAUAUAUUACUAAAUUUUAUAAAGUAAGAUGUAUGAUGACAAGAAUUUGAGUGGGUAAUGAGCUGGACUUUUGUUUGCGUGGGUGUGGGCCCAUUUCAUGAGUCGACCACAAUUAAUUUUUAAUAAACUUAAUUCAAAUAUAUAUUUAAAAAAUCGCCCGAUAUAUUUUAUCAGGUAUCAGGUGUAGUAUUUCAAGAUUUUAUGUUCAGUGAAAUACAACAAGUGAUUAUUGACUAUUGAUCUGUAUAUAAUUAUAAUACACUUAUGACCAUAUUAAUAAUUAAAAUUUAUUCGGAGUGUUUCGUCAGAUGUAGCAUCCGAACGAUCGUUUAAAAAAAACGUGCACUAGUUAAAUUAAUAAGAUACACAGUCAAAUUCAAUCGUGACUUCAAUUUGUUCAAACUCGACAUAGUUUUUUCAAUUUCAUUAAAUAAAAAUACACUUAGUUUGGUUUUGUAAAAGAUUUUUGGUUUAAUUCAAAAGCCACCUUAUUUAGGUGGGACCCCUUUUUCAUUAUUAAAUAUCAAAUGGGACUAACAAUUUGCAAAAUGGGCUAACAAUAAAUUAACUGGGCCCAAAUUUCUCAAUUUUAUCAGCAUCCAACACAUGAAUCACAAAAGGAGCCACGUGAAAUCACGUGCACGACAACGCACAGUUAAGCCGAGUCACACUCGGUCACUCACACUGAACUGAACAGGUUUAUAUUUUUUUUAUCCGGCAAAAUUAAAAAGUAAAAUUAAAAUCCCGCACUCACUCUCGAACACGCGGCGUUCUGAUCGGUACGGUUCUUCAUAAUUGCUUUCGUCUUUCUAAUUUGUUCUUCGAUUGCAUCUGUAUACAAAUAUAUGUUACUCGUUUGUGUUUUUUUUUUCUAGGAUUUAUGAAUCGGAGUUACUUUUAUUUAUUUUUAUUUUUUUAAAUUUAUGUGUUGCAUUGAUUCCUGUUGAUGAAUCUUUCUGCAUAAUCUCCGUACGUAUGCUUACUGGUGAAUCGGAGAAUUUUGUGGCGUUCUUCGUACUAUCUUCAAAAUGGAAGCUACUCUAAAUUUUUAUGUAGAGGAUUUUUUUUUAAUUUUUUUUUUAUUCCCGAUGGUUAUACAAACGGGCGAGUAGAUGAAUAUACAAAUCUGGAUGCGAUUGAAGGAUAUGAGUUUGUUUAACGGAUUCUAGGGUUUCGUUAUUUUCAAUCGGAAUUCAUUUGAUUCCAUAAGUGGUUUUUCUUUUAUUUUUUCAUGUGUCGGUUGUGUUCAUGAUUACAUUAGGAAUUUUUAAUCAUCACCAACUAACUACAAAGCAAUAGUUAAAGUUAAAAACCUACAGUUGAUCUGAAAUUGAAGUUCAUAAUGACUACGAAAAUCGAAUAACGUACAAAUUCAUGUUCUGAUGAAAUCAGAACCCAAGAACUUAGUCUUUGGGAGCUCAUCAUGUCAGUUUAGCUAGGCUUCGUUCGUUUCCUGCUUGUCUUUAAGUUGUUUAAAUUAGAGUUUUGUAGUUGCGAAAUUGAGAAAUGAUAUACAAUGACAAUGAUAAUUUCUCUCCCCUUCAGUUCCAUAGGGUAAAUUUCCUCGUUUAUUGUCCUAGUUUAAUGAGCCUAUUUAAAGGACAACAAAAAUUUUAGAGAGCUUCACUUCGAAAUCAAAAUACAUUGGUAAUGAAAGAAGGUUAUUUCGUUUUCUUUUUCCUUAUGCCACCUUUCUAUAUAUCAGCUUCACUAAAUGAAUACAUGAAUACAGUGAAGAAAAUAUUUCUUAGCAAUGGCACUGUAUGUCUUUCGCCUGCACUUGAUGUGUUUUAAGCUGCGUAUAUUAAUUUUCUUCUGUAGAAUAAUUUUGAUUUGUUUUUCGUUUCUUUCCUUUCGAGUCUCGUUUUACGGGAAGGAUGAGCUUGAGUUGAUUGAAGUACAAACUGAUUUCCUUUUCAGGAUCUAAAGUGAGUAACCAGAAGAAUUGAGAUGGAUUCUGACAAUAUUCAAGACAGAUCUUCUUCUGUUGAAAAUGCUAGUUCUGGUGAAGCGGAGGCUGAAUCGAAUUACAACGAUUCACUUGAAGUUGUCUCAUCUGGUGGAGCCACUAUUCGCGAGCUAGAUAGUAUAGCAGAAAUGUUAACUAGAGUUGAACUAGAUUUAGCAUGUUCCUCUGAAAAGUUAGUUAACUUGGACAUACUCGUUAUGCAUGUGGCUUCAAGGGAAAACGAUUUCGAGGCUUUUGCUUUGGAAGACGAGCAUACAUCGGAUGGUCGUGCUGAGAAAGCAUUAGAAUUUGACCUUUUGUAUGGGUUUUUGGACUCUGAAGUUACUGAACUGGAGAGUCUUCUAUCUGCUCUUCAGGCUGAGAUUGUUCGUUCUAAGGGGAGUAUAUCUUCAUUCAAGCAGCUUGGUGAUGGUCUUAAGGAAAUUGAAGAGAAGUUACAAGAUUGUGAGGACACCUUGAAGAUAUCAUUCGAACAGGUCUCGGGCAUAAAGAUGCAAUCUGCUAACUUCCGGAAAAUCUUGUUAGCUUCUUCUGGAGAUGGAAAGUGUAUGUUCUUCACAUCUUCCGUUUUUCUAUGUUCGAUCUCUUUUCAACUUGAUAAGCUAGAUGACAAUUUAGAUUUAAAGGCGGUGUUUAGUGUUCUGCAUUUCAAAUAAUUUUAAACCUUCUAUUUAGCAAUUUUAGUUUGGGAUUUUGAUCCUCAAUUACUUUAAAUCUGAUCACGCACCUUUCAUGGUGAUAUGUUAACAGGGAAUGAUGAAAACGAGUUUGCUGGUCCGGAAAAUGGCGGCCAUUCAGAUAUAAAUGCGAAGAUCAAAAUGCAAACUUCCGAACAGCAGAGGAAUAUCUUGAGAAUGCUGGAGAAAUCUCUGGCCCGGGAAAUGGAUACUGAGAAGAAGCUAACGGAGUCGAGACAAACCGAAGAAGAUUUAAAAUUUCGGCUGCAGCACGAAGUCUACUGCAUGGAAGUAGAGGGUGAAGAUAUGUUGGAAAAACUGCUUGAGGCUGAAAAUAGUGCAGAAAUAUUUUUGGGAAUUUCGAAAGAACUAUUUGGUCGAAUCCAGGCGGCGCAGUUUAGUAUAAAUGAGUCAAUUCAGAGAGAACAAGAGUUAAGAUCUAAAUUGCAAGAUUUUACCGAGCAGUUGAAAGAAAAAGAUUGUGCUUUGCAGAGCUCUGAGAAUUCUAGAGCAGAACUCGUUGAAAAGGUUAACUCUCUAGAGGAGAAACUCGGCGACUUUGAGUCUCAACUGCACAAUGUGAAGGAGUCUUCCGAGCAAAAUAAAGAAUUAAAUGGAAAAGUUACUGAAGUUGAAAUGAGAGCUGAAAUUGCUGAAGCCGAAUGUAAAAUACUUAGGGAGUCUAACAUGAAGCUUAAUAUGGAAGUGAGCCGCUUGAAGAGUAGCAAUGAUGAUGCAACUGCGAGGGUAGAACAGUUAGAGAAGCGGUUAAAGGACUCUGAGAUGAAGCAAGUUCAUGCGAAGGCAUCUGCUGAAGCUAGUCAAGAGAAACAAAGCAUGUUAGAACAAACAACCAAGGAUAUGGAUAAUUUAAUAAAAGAUCUGAAGUCGAAGGUUUUGAAGGCCGAAAACCAGACCGAGAGUGCUGAAGAGAAGUGUAUUAUAUUGUCCGAGUCCAAUGCGGAAUUCAUCGAAGAGAUAAAUUUUCUAAGGCGCAGAACGGAAGAAUUGGAGACAUCUUUGCUUCAGGCUGAUGAAGCAAAGAAGGACACUGCGAAAACUAUUAAGUCGCGAAGUAAAGUAAUUACGGAUUUAGUAAUGCAGUUGUCUGUUGAACGAGAACGCCUUCAUAAGCAGGUUUGUUACAAUCUUUUUUCACAUUUCAUAGUCAUGAAAAUUUGCAGUUUCUCGUUACUAUUAAGUUGCCUCUGCUUCUUCUGACAAUUAACAGUGUUAUUUUCUCUCUCCAGAUAUCAUCAUUAACAAAGGAGAAAAAACUUGCAGCAAAAUACUUGCAGCAAAUAAAGAUGGACUCUAAAUUUUCUGUGAAUCGAAGCCAUGAAGUAAAAGAACACACGCUCUCCGAAAGUGUUGGUAAGAGCGGAACUUCUACAAAAGGAAGUAAUGAUGAAUUAAUGGAGUCUUCAGCUACCAGUAACGAGGUUAGUACUUCUGUUCGUUUUUGUCUGUCGUUCAUUUGCAUGUUAUAAUAUAACUGAAAAUAGUCGCAAUUGAUAUUUUCGACCAGUAAUUUUUAAUUUCUAGAUAUAUUCUCAUUACUCUUAUAAUUUCUAAUACAUCACAACUUGUGUUUGCUUUUAGAUCGGCAACGCAGACAGAGAAGUUUUAAAACCGAGAUCAAGACAGAUCUCACCGAUUCCACCUCCGAGCUUAAUAACACCGUCAGAAAUAUAGACACAAGGCAGCUGAAAUUCAAAUACGUCUUCAUUGCUGUUCUUGUAUUGGCCAUUCCAGCAUUUGCAGCUUUUCUGUUUCAGCACUGAGAAACUAUCGACGACAACUGAUUUUCCACAAGAGAAAUUCUCAAGAACCGCAGAAGCAGAGGGAAUAUAUUUCACGUUCGAGGAAAGAUACUAUAAACUGUUUUUUGCUGUCGUAUAAUGGUUAAAUCGCGUCUUUUGCAGCUCGUAUUUUUCAUGUCAUCUCGUAAAGGAAGAGUCUCUUGUCACUGUAUAUUUUGGCACAGUUUUGUUACUAUGUAAAACCAGUGCAAAUUUUAAGGCAGAUAUGCAUUGGUUCCAAUUAUCAACCCCAUGAAACUUCAAGAUUCAAAUUAGUUACGCAGGAAUUUCGAAUUAUCCGGGCCCGGCCCGAUCGCUCAACCGGGCCCACAUCAGGAACAAAAGUAUAUUCUUAAUUUUUUUAUCUUUUUCUCCAAAAAAAAAAAGAAAAAUAAGGAAGUAACAAAGAUCUUUCUUAUACAUAUAAAGAUUCCAACUUUUCUUUAUACCGAAACUGCCCCUAGGUUUCUAACAAAAUCUUUCUUAUAUUGCAAUUAAAACAAACACAAUGGUGGUUAUUGCAAUUAAAACAAUGCAUCAGGUACAACUCAAUACAACUGCUCUUCAUCUGGUACACAACCAUCCCAUUUCAUCUCAUCAAAAAGCAAAUCCAGGUUCAUAUAUAUAUCCUCACAUCUCAUAUGAGCUUUGUCUCCAACAAGAAACAUAUGCACCUCCGAUUGGAUCUCGAUCCAGCUGCAGCCGGGCUCCUUUUUCAUGCGACCCCGCCUCAUAAUCUUCCUCAUCUUCGAAACCUGGUCCCACAUUUCUGCAUCCGCGUAAAUAUUCGACAAAAGAACGUACGCAGAAGAGUCUUGCGGGUCCAACCGCAGCAGAUAAUUCGCCGCUUCUUCCGCCACCUCAACGUUCCCAUGCAUUCUGCAAAUACUUAGAAGUGUCCUCCAAAUCACAUCAUCUGCUUCAAAGGGCAUUUCUUGAAUCAGCUUCAAUGCUUCAACAAGUCGACCCGAUCUUCCUAGUAUAUCAACCAUGGACGAAUAAUGCUCCAAUUGUGGGUUCAAUCCAUACUCGAUUUUCAUCGAGUUGAAGUAGUGGAGCGCUUCCUCUACAAGACCUAUAUGCGCGCACGCACGGAGGAUCGCCACGAAAGUCGCGUGGUUCGGCGGUACUCUCUCGAUUUGCAUUUUUUCAAAAAUAUUUAAAGCCUCGUAUCCGUAGCCAUGGUGCGCAUAAGCACACGCCAUGGCGUUCCAUGUCACAAAAUCGCGAUCGGGGGAUUUUUCGAACAUCAAAACGGAAUCUUCCAUAUUCCCGCAUUUCGAAUACAUGUCAACUAGCGUACUUGUAAUGUACACAUCCGACGUCAAAUCUUGCUUGAUUAUUUGAGCAUGGAUUUGCUUGCCCAAUCCGAUGUUGGCCACAUUGGAGCAAGUAUCAAGAACUGUGGCGUAAGUGAAAUUGUCGGGUUCUAUUCCCAUUUCCAACAUUCUCGAGAAGAAUUUCUGAGCCCCCUCGCUCUGUUCGGUUGAAGAAAACCCUGAAAUUAUUGCAUUCCAAGAAACUAAUGACUGUUCCUCGAUCCUGUAAUGAAGCUUCUCCGCCUCUUCCACCGCCCCACACUUGCAGUACAUGUCCACAAGGACACUUCCGACGAACGAAUCCAACCCCAUCCCGGAUUUAAUCACUCUGCCAUGGAUUUCCAAUCCAUGGUGGAGGGAUUGUUCGCCCGCACAAGCUUUCAAAACACUCCCAUAUGUGAAUUCAUCGGGCUCCAUUCUCGAACGAAGCAUACGAACGAAUAGUAAUAGGGUCUCCUCGUUUUUAUUCUGCUCACAAGCUGCGAUAACCGAAUUCCAAGAAACCGCAUCCCUUCUUUCCAUUUCGUCGAAUAUUCGACAAGCUUCUUGCAAUGCUCCGCAUUUACCGUACAUAUCUAGAAUUGCAUUAGCCACGCAAAUAUUGUAAUGGAAGGGAGUCUUGAUUGCUAAUCCAUGCACUUGAGUUCCUUCCAAAAGUCCUUUCAUUACUGCACAUGCACUAAAUGCACCGGACAGGCUUAUUUCGUCGAAACCGAGAUCGGAUUUCAACAAACGCAGAAAUAACUGCAUGCCUUCAGAUCCACGAUCACCUCUAGCAUAUCCAGUGAUCAAAGCAUUAUAAGAUUGCAAGUUAUGGUUUCCCAAGAAAUCGAACACCUUCCUAGCAUUAAGCAAAUUGUCGCAUUUCGCAUACAUAUCCAACAUGGCUGUACUAACAAUGGUAUCGGCUCCAAAAUCGCUCUUUAUUGCAUGACCAUGGAAUUGAGAACCCAACCUCGAAGCAGAUAAACUAGCACAAGACCUAAAAACACUAGCGUAUAUAGAUUGGCUGACCCCAAUUCCCUCUCUUUGCAUUUCUUUGAACAACUCUAAUCCAUCAACAAGCUCACCGUUUUGAACACAACCCGCAAUAAUAGCGCUCCAUGAAACCCAAUUUUUCACAGGCAUUGCAUCGAAAAAUCGCAACGAUUCAUCCAAAUUCUUGCAUUUUGCGUACAUAUCCAAUAUUGCACUCCCUGUCACCACAUCACCCGCAAACCCCAACUUCACCACAACCCCGUGUAUCUGACGCCCCACAGAAUAGUCUUCUUGACCCGAACAUGCUUUCAAGACAACAGAAAAGGUGGUCUCAUCAUACGCAACCGCACUAUCUCUGCCCAUCAGCACGAAUAUCUCAACCGACUGUAAACAAUUCCCAUUCUGCAAGUACCCCGAAAUCAAAGAAUUCCAAGAAAUCACAUCUCUCGCGGGCAUCGAAUUGAAAAACGAUUGCGCCGACCCCAUCUUCCCACUUUUAGAAUAUCCAAAAAUCAUGGCGUUCCAGGAAACACGGUCCGGUUCAGACAUUCUGUCGAACACUUUACAAGCACACUCCAAACGGGAGCAUUUGAUGUACAUCUGGAUCAAACAGUUGGUUACGAAAGUAGUGGGUUUGAAUCCGGAUAUUAUCAAACGAGCAUGGGCUUGUCGGCCCGGCUCGAGUGAUCUCCCAUUGGAGCAUUCUUGGAACAUAUGGGAAAAUGUCUUCUUGUAAAAUGGGUGCGGUUGAUUUUCCUGUGUAAAUGUUGAGAUUGAACAUAGAAUCAGUGGAGAUUUGAGGGGUACAUUUGACAAUGGAUGCUUUAGUUUGACAUGGAAGAAUCUUUUUGAGAAACGAGAAGCCAUUUGCAUUUGAAUACAUCCUUGGCGGGUGUUUUUGCAAUUAGAUGAACAUUGAUAAAUAGGAAUUACAAUCUUAAUCUUUUUGUAGAACAUAUAUUCUUUGUUUCUUGAUAUGGCCCGGUUCAGCAAUUGGGCCCGGUUCAACAAUUGGGCCCAGAUUGUGAACAAAGUCCCAUAAAACUCCAAGCAAUAGGCUUACGGUCAACUCCCUGAGAAUCUGAGAUGCGGUCAAAUUACGAAAAAACCAUCAUGUUUGGGUAAUUAGUAAUUACAGCCUCCUUUAAUUAAAUAUUGUCUUACAUAUUCAUCAUUAUGGCUUUAAAUGAGAAAUUUGAAGGAGUAGUUGUAAUUAUCCAAACAAGAUAGGGGUUUUUGUAAUUUUAUCUUACCUUAGGGUGCUGGCCGUAAUUUGCCCAUUGUUAUAACCGUUAGUUCGAGGUAGCAACAAGAUGGGAAAAAUUCGAUCAAAUUUUUUUAUUUCAGCCAUUUUCGAUUUGAAAAAUGCAUAUUUACGACGACUUAUUCAACAUUUCGUUUGAUUUAUCUUUUUCUUUUUUCGAUUUUUAUUGGAUGACGUAUACAAAUUUUGGAUACAAUAAAAUUGAACCAUUGAUAUUUAAUUAUUCAUAACACGGUGAUGUCUAUCUCUAUCAUCCCGCGGUGGCAACAUUGUCAAGCCAAGCAAUUUGUUUCUUGCAAGUAAUAUUUACCAAAAAAAAUCCAAAUUGCAUAAAUUAUUAUUAUUAUUUUACAUUUAUAAAAAAAUCGAAUCAAAUCAGAUAUAUAAUUUGUAGCAGAGAAUUUUCACAAUAUAUACAAAAUAAAUAUAAAUACAAUAUUUAAGUAGCAUAUAUAUAAUAAUAAUAAUAUAUAAAUAUAAAAAUAGUAUAAUAUCAAUUUAGCGGUGCAGGUAAUAAGAGAAAGAAAGCGUCAAGAAACCCUAAAUAAAUCAGCAAAUGUUUCCUUUUUCCCUAACAAUAAAAAAUAAAUUAAAUUUGCAUCCGAAAAUUCACGAAUUAGAAACGCAUCACUUUCUCUACUGCAAAAAUUUCUGCAAUGGCGGAGGUCUCCGAUCUCCAUCGUCGCCGCCAGCCGCCGUCGUCACGAAGUCCCGCUUCCACCACCAUUGGGCCCCACCAGGGGGAAGACGUUCAUCCAGAAGACGACGACGACGACGACUUCUACCAUCAGGCCAACCCCUUUCUCUUGGAUUUCGAUUCGUUCCCCCCUCCGAUUAAUUCUUCGAAUCCAUCACUCUUCGACGAUUACGCUACGACGUUUGAUUUAGGGUUCGAUCUGAACGCAGAGGCCGUGAAUCUCGGAUGCGAGUACCAAGACCCUAAUUGCUUCUUCUUCGGUGGCGAGGAAGACGACGAGCAGAUGAAUUUCGUUACAGAUCUGUUCGAAACGCGGCAGCCCCACGCGGCGGAAGACCUAAUUUGGGAGCUGGGUUCGGGCCGGGCGGACGAUUCGGCUCGGGAAUUCGGGUUCGGGCCGGGUCUCGGGGCGAGCAUGGGUCUCCGGGCGGCGGACAUAGAUUCCGAUUCCGAUUCCGAAGAAUUCGAGGUAAUUCAGGGUUUAAUGGAUAACGAUGACGAUAAUUUCGAAAGUUUUGGAGUUAGUAACCAUAGCUAUUACACUAGUGAGAAUGACCGAGAAGAGUUCGAAUGGGAGGAGGUGAGUGAAAGAAUCAAUUUUGACGAGAGGGAGAAUCUGAAUUUGGCAAUCAAUCAAAUCGAAGAAUUAUCCGUUUCGUCCGAUCUUUCUUCUUCGGAAAUCGAGAACUCCAUUUUCGGCGACGACGACGAAGAAGCGUUAGAAGAGGAAGAGAGGAAUGUAGAAUGGGAGUUUCUGUUGGCAGUGAAUAAUUUGGAGAGGACUUCAGAUUUCGAUGGCUCCGAAGAGAAUAACAAUGGCGGGAGUGAAUUGCCGCGUAUCAAUCUUCCGGAAGAUUACAUUUUGACUAUGGAAUACGAUGCCCUUUUCGGUCAAUUGGUGGAGAACGAGAAUGCAUUAAAGGGCAGCCCUCCAGCUGCGAAAUCCGUGGUGGAGAAUCUGCCAUUAGUGGUGUUGACAAAGGAAGAAUUUGGCGGGGAUGAUAAUAAUGUCGCUGCUUGUGCAGUGUGUAAAGACGAAUUCGCCCUUGACGAGAGUGUCGCUAAGUUGCCCUGUUGUCAUUUAUACCACGGGGAGUGUAUUUUGCCGUGGCUGGAUAUUAGGAACACGUGUCCGGUUUGUAGGUAUGAAUUGCCGACCGAUGAUGCGGAUUACGAGAAGAGGAGGAGCAACAGAGUUGGUAGUGGAGUUACUGCUAGUUUGAUCAACGAAUUUGAGGUGAGGUACAAUUUUGAACUUUUGCCUUGAAAAGGGUAUUUCAGUCAUUUAGAAUAUAUGGUUUUCUUUUUCUUUUUCGGUAUGUAAAAAAAUUGUUUGUUUUUAAAAUGGCGAGGUUGCAAAUGUUUCGUGUGGAUAUUAUAUUACAUGGGAUUAUAUGGAUCCGAUGAUUGAGAAUAUAGAACUAUCUUGUUGUCCACAUUGUUUACGAUCCCUUUAAAUAAGUGUUGUUUUAGAUAUUUUGUGAUUGUAUCGACGAACAAUUUUUUCAAUGCGAUAGCAAUGAUACUAAAUCAGUUGGUAUUCUUCCGAAAAUAGUGUACGACUAUUGACAAGAUGAGUUUUUUUUUUGUUUUUUGGUCGAACUCGAGCCUCUGUCCCUUCGUUUGAGAUUAUGAAUCUUUAAACAGUGAAAAAUUGUGAACAUUUCUUGCUUCUAUUUUGUAUUGUCAUUGGCUUUUAACUUCGUAUUAUUGAGGUUGUCAUUAGACUGCGCUUUCGUAGCAGUUUAAUAAAAUCACUCGUGUAAUCGUAUGCUACGUUCUCCGUUGUCUAUAUCCGGAUUGCUGUUUCGUCUCUUGAUUGUUACAAAUAUAAAUUAUAGUCGGAUGUUUAGAUUUAGCACUACUUGGCUUGUCUGAAUAAAUUGCCAGGCCUAUUUGUUAAUGUUGUUUGGGUGGUAUAUUUCAUAAAGAAAAUUGAAGAGAGAAAAUCCUACUUACCGAAAUCAAAGUUUUUUAUUUUUAGUUUUAUUUUUUAUAAAAAUAAUAAUAAUAAUAAUAAAAUAAUUUAAAUUGUGAUGAUUAAAAUAAUAUCCGCGCGUGAAAGAAGAUUGUGGCAAUAAACAGACAAUGCACACACCACAAAAUUAACAAUGUCCACAGAAAAAGGUGCAUAUCACUUUGCUUCUCAAGCCUAUUCAAUUUUAGUAUCCUAGGCCCUUGUGAUUUUCAUCAUUUUUCAUCCCCAAUAUUUUAAUUUUAAUAUUUUCCUUUUCUUUUUGGAUUAAAUUUAAAUAGAAUAUUUAGUUCUUCAAAUUUCGUACAUGUUUUCACACAAAAGUAUUUAAAAUUUAGGACGAAUGAGUUCGAUUCAUAUUCUUCACUUUACGCAUUUUUUUGGAUUAGAAAGUAAUAUUUGAUUAGGUUCCUUUUGGGAAAUUCAUUUGGGUUAAUUAAAUAAAUUGAUUUUAUUUGAAUUUUAAAUAUUACCGAAAAAUUCGAAGCCCCUAAAAAUCCAUAUUUCGCAAGAUUCCUCUCCCGCCUAUGCCUUCGACCGACCAUGAAUGAAAUGGAUCUAAACACGUGUACUGUAAAAUAUAAACUGAUAAAUAAAUUACGACUUACCCCUAAAAGAAAACAUUCUAUCAUGGCACGACACGCAUUGGAGGUAAACAGUAAAAAAAAAAAAAAAAAAUUUAAAUAGCACCAAAAUGUUUUGUUAACAACAAAUUUGGUGAAGAAAAGGAGUGCCCCAUUUUCUAUUAAGAAACAAACACCUUUUUCUAUCCACAUUGGUUAGUGGGAUCAAGAACUCAUACCAACUACGUAAGCACAUUGUUACUAAUUAUUCAAAAAAAAUGCAGCACCCACCUAUGAUAGUAUUAUACAAUCCUCAUUAUUGCACCAAAUUGGCAAAACAAUUAUUAUUAAUAAUUAAUUAGCGUUACACUUUUUAUUGGGAGAAAAAAAUUGGUCCUUUUAUACUAAUUUUUGGUUGAAAAAAGUGUGAAAAAAAAAGUUUAUAAUAUAUAUUUCAAGAAAGCUUAGGCUCAAUGAUAAACUUAUCCUAUCUUAAACCACCAAUCUCAUGACCUUAUCACACACACACACACACACACACACACACAGUGAAUGUAAAAAGUAACAAUGUGAGCACACUAAGAAGAGUUCAGACAAAAACCUGAUUGGGCUCAACACAUGAUUGUCGUAUGGAAAUGAUUUGCCUUCACUAGCCUGAAAGGGAAACUUUUGCAUAGGUUGAUUUGAGUGGGGUGCAUAAAUGGCUUGCCAUGCAUACGGUAACGAAUCACAGUACCGCAAAAAUCGAGAGCCUCGGAAAAUCUGAAACAAAAAAUAAAGGGUGUUAGCCCUAUCAAUCAAUACACAAGAAAGAUUUAUAUGUUUAUUCAUCUCUAAAAAGUCGUAUCGAAAGGAAAAAACACUAUACAAACAUCAUUCGUUUUUUUUCGUCUUUCGCAUCUAACUUUUUACCCUAUAUCUCGAUUUAUGUAACUGAACGACCAAAGGUGUGUUACGUAUGGUCACCACAUGUGGUUAAAGUGACGCAGAGCCAAUUAGGGGGGAAGUUGGUUAAACCUUUUGCUUUCUUGAUGCUAAAAAGGGCCAGUGGAGAUGUUAAAUCCAGCACCCCUCCGUGCAAUACCAUAACCGUUGGUUUAGGGCACUGUCCCUAUAUAAUUGAUUCCCGGGUCCUACACUUAAUAUAUUUCUGGAUUUAAACGAAAAAAAAAAACGGAAGGCGAUUUAGAGGUCAUAAUGUAAAAAAAAGAAAAAGAAAAAUGGGAUACAAGCAGGAUUUAUGAAAGAUAGAUAAGAUAUGCUGACAGGGGAGUGUGCCUUAAGUGGGUACUAUGUAUUUAAUCAUUUCUUUCACAUCAAAGGGCACUGAUCUUUUUUUUUCUUUUCCACCCCCUCUUUAGUUUUCGUGUUCGGAGGAUAGGUAGAAGAAAAGAAAAUCUUACGUCUCCCAAAUCUUUCUAUUUUUAAUCGGCUAAAUGUGUAUAGUUGGUAUAGUUAAUUACUUUUAGUGGAUUGCUUAGCUAAGAUUAAUACCUAAUCAACUCCUGUUCUAUGAUAUGCACAAGUUUCGACUUUAUUAUCGCGAGACAACACUAAUAUAAUAAUUAACGGGGAAGAAAAAGCAAAUGAAAUGACGGGUACCCUGUUUAUUAGCCUACGAAGAAACUUUAACAAAGGCAACGAAUUCGUGGGGAUUUGUUCUUUAAUGUUAAGAUAACUCGCUAGAGUAACUAAAAUCAAAGCUAGAAACGGAUAUCUCGAUCCUGAUAUUAUAGAAAUAUACGUAAGCAAUAAUUUAACGAAAACGUGCAACCCUAAACGACAGUGGUGGUGGAUAAAUGGCACUUCGGAAAAGUAUGUAAUAGAACAAGUACAGUAGGCGAAAAGGUGGGGGUGAUGUACGUAUUCAACUAUAUUAAUCAUCUUAAGUCUUUCAAUAUCCAAUACCCGAAAAAAAGACUUCCAUUAGGAAAUAAAAUGGGGUCGAGGAAGAGCCAAAAAUAAGAAAAUGGAGACAAGAAAAGAAAGAGGAGUCAAAUUUCUUCUGAUAAUAUUGUUGACUAUAAUAAAUAAGGCACUCACUCAACCCGACCCCAAUAUCGACGAGAGAGCAUUACUUACCUCGAAAGGAAUUUCUUCUUCUUGUUGCAUUGCAAACUUCCUUUUCCAUUUCCUUAUCCAACCGUGCGUGAUUUUUUCAAACUGCGUAAAAAUUGGGCAAGUUUUUGCGGUUAAAAAAAUUCACCCCGGGAUUUUAUAAAAGUCGUCUAGAUCUAAAUAUGAUGCAAUAAAAAGUCAAUAUUAACUAGUUGAUAACUAAUCACAUUCUUUGUGUACCUCUAAAUGCAGGCAGUUAAAUUGACCUCAUAUAAAUAAAAAUGCCAACAUAAUGAGGUUAACCACUAAUCAGUAACGUGCGAUUAAAUUAUGAAUAUUACGUCUAAAACAUCCCUUUCUGGCAAAGCACGACACUCGUGCCAUCAGCAAUCUCUCAGGCAGUGUUCUGAGUUAAUGAUAUUAAAAUAUGAACGAAAGAAAGAAUACAACGUAUCUAGGGUUUAUUUAAAGAUUGCCCUGCAAAAGUGGUAACUGAGUCACUAGUUUCAUUUGUGCAAGUUUUCCACUUUUAAAAAAGGAAUUAUCACCCCCAAUCUACUACCUGGUUUUUUACCUAUUAAUUUACGUCGUUCACUAUUGCGGGCUAAUAUAGUAUAAAAUAUCUUACUUUGGCGGACAAUUAACACCAUUUUUUUAGAUUGACUUUUCAUCCCAUUUUCCUCCUGGCCCUUCUCCUUCCACAACUUUCGUCAAGAUCAAUUAUUAUACCCCCAUAAUAGUCUCUCUCUCUCUCUCUCUGAGUGUGUGUAUGUGUCAGAGAGAGAGAGAGAGAGAGAGAGAGAGAGAGAGAGAGAGAGAGAGAGAGAGAGAGAGAGAGAGAGAGAGAGAGAGAGAGAGAGAGAGAGAGAGAGAGAGAGCAUUUUUUGUCAUUUCAACAAGAUUAUCCAAUACACAACUAAUAACUAUUAGUACAGUUUAUAUGGAUUGCCUAGAUUGGUCGACGACAAUCAAGUAACAUGCAACCGUUCUAUCAUACACACAACUAACGCGUAGAUGCGUAGACUUACUCAUUAUAUUCUUCGAGUGCACAUUCCCAAAACUACAUACACACACACACAUAAACAGGUUUGGCACCACAGUACUCCAGUCUAAUCUUUAAGGAACUCUACUGUACUCUAAUUUCAUAAGUUUUUGGUGGGCCCUACACCUGAUUUUUUUAUCAUCCUAUAAAUUCACCCCCUUCCCACUAAUUCCCCUUCGUCUUCAAACAAAUCUCCUCUCUGCAAAUCUCUUUCACUACUAAUUAAAAAAACAAUGCAACCAAGUGAUGUCAGUGAGCUCCAUUAUCUAUGUCUUUCAAACCCGACACAAUUCCCUACCCAUUUCAGCUUGAAUACUAACAUCGCACCGCCGUAUCAAUUCAGCAGAUUCCCUAACCCUUUAUAUCAACCCCACACCACCCCACAAUUUCAAGAAUUCAAUCCACAACUAAGCAGUAAUUCAACUUCCGACGAAGCAGAUGAACAACAGCUGAGCAUAAUCAACGAGAGGAAGCAGAGAAGAAUGAUUUCGAACCGAGAAUCCGCGCGGAGGUCGCGCAUGCGAAAGCAAAAGCACUUGGACGAGCUCUGGUCGCAGGUCGUCUGGCUAAGGAACGAGAACCACCAACUCGUAGACAAACUGAACCAUUUCUCGGAGCGCCACGAUCGAGUCGUCCAGGAAAAUGCUCAGCUCAAAGAAGAAGCUUCCGAGCUUCGUCAAAUGCUCACCGGUAUGCAGCUCAAUAGUCCUUAUCCUAUUCUGAGAGAGCUGGACGACGACCCCUGCAAUAAUUUGGCCUAAAAUUAAAUAAAUUACUCUAUUAGCUUGUCCUGUAUUAAUCGAGGAUGGGUUUUUGUCGUCUCUUAAUCUCUUCAGUCCAUUGCUGCUAUUUCAUCAAUAAUAAACGGAGUCCAAUUAUUAUCUAUUUACGAUAUAAAAGAUGACGUGCAUUUAAACAUCAUUGAAUAAAUACAGUGACUUCACACAACCAAGCACUAUCACAUGUCCUUCAUACAUAAGAGUAACCUGUAACAAUAUAUUCGGUUCGAGCACUUUCAAAUCAGGUGACUAUUGCCUAAAUUAGAAGGGAAAAAAAGUACUUUAAAACGCAGUCAAAUACAGAAGGAGACGAAAAGUCUUCGAACUCAAUGCAAAUAUUUCCUCAACUAGAAAGUAAUAGUUCUUUCGAGACGAACUUCAGUGUCAUUUGUUUAGGAAAAGAAGGAAAAGCAAAACAUCAAACACAUGGCUUACCAAUCGAACUUUUUGAGCAUUCAAACUAGUUUUGGCUAAAAACAUGUUCUCUGGAAUUAGGGGACCACUUCAAUUGGUUCGAGUUUCUCGUCAAUCGACAAUUGGGGAACACUGUUUUUCGUUGGUCGACCAUUUUCGAUUUUCACCUCCUCCUAAAAAAGACCAUGAUAAUAUUUGACUCGGUUGCAUUUGUUUCUUCAAAUAUAGUCCAUAUUAUUUACUGAUUAUUUCCUCUGCAAUCUGUUGCCUGCAAAUUUUGGUAUAAUACGUCAAUGUAAUUCCGUUUUUAGUCAUUGCGAAACUAGCAUUAAACAUAGUAACUCCGAUUAUUACAUUAUUUCCCCAUCCCAUCAAAUUUAAGUGGGAAAGAUAAACAAAUCACUGGAAUAUAACCUUCUAACAUGACAUUCUAAGGAAGCUACGACGUAGAAACAAGUAUAUAAUACGAUUCCAAUACGCAUAAUCACGAUAUUCGCACCAAAUGUACAUCAGACGAGCUGCAUUCCCCUAGUUUUCCAAACAUUUUUCUCCUCAAUCGAAGUUUUACAAAUCUCAUGCCGAUUUACUUCACUACUAACUUUUUCAAAAAAGGAAAAAAAAUAAAAAUCCUUAUCUGCUUUGAAGAACUGAUUAACAGUUGAGCAAGUGUACACUAAUUUGAUUUUUUAGGCGAGCAGAUAUAAAUUUUCAUUAAUUUGCAAAACCUUCCAAAAAAAAGCAACAGUGGUAAUGUUAACAAUGACAAAAUUACAGAUCAUUAUCAUAUAUUAUUUCCAUGAAAGGGGGAAAAGGGCACCGAGAAGAACAGAAACAAACUCACCCGGGUUAGGGUUUUUGAUCCGGAAAUUGUGACCCGUGUUGAUUCUCUCGCAAAUAAAUUCCGAACAAUCCGAAUGAAUACUGAUUCGUUGAUCGCCGUUUGAAAUAAUUCAAGUUCUGCAUACAUCUUUCAGCAUAAGAAAAUUUCCCGGGUUUAAUUAGUUUGGCGCGUUAGAUGAACACGCUAAUUGCGCUUAGGCUGUUUGUAAUUUGUUUACUUUAUUUAUAUCUUUUUUGUGCCAAAUAUACUCCCUCAACUCUCUCCACAUUGUGAUUUGAGCCCCAAUACUUUUAUAAGUAGACGUUUUUCACCCUACAACAAUGUUCGUGUUAUUCUUUCUAAAAUAAAAUAAGGUAAUUUAUCGGUAGGACGUUUCAAUUUUAAUUUUUGCCUACCUAUAAAUUUAAUAUUUAGUAUACAUUUUAGAUCUAAUUUAUAAAAAAAAAAAAAAAAAAAAAACGAAUUUAAAGAGAUGAAAGAAUUGUUAUAUUUUAUGUAUAGUACUUGAAUUUACUAAAGAUAUUUUUGUUUGAAUGUGCAAAUAUUUAAAUGUACUCUAGUCAUGAAUGGAAUGUAAACGCCUAACAUAUAAUCGGAGGUCGAUGAUUCGAUUCUUUUAGAUGCGUUAUAAAGUGUUUAGAAUUAUACAUAUAAAUUCUCUUGAAUAAAUCUCUAGAAUACACAGUUUGUUGAAGUGAUUAGUGUUUUCUUAUCAUUUAUGUACGAUAAAACUAUUAAAGACUUCCUUGUUUGUAAAUAAACGGAAGACAUUGCUCCCAUGAAUGCAUAAAUUAUUCUUGAUCCGAAUUGCGUAAAAUUCUUGUUUUAAAUGUUCGUUUUCUUAAAUUUCGACAUUGCAUUAAAACAUCACCUGUAAAUUUAGAUUGUGUGUCAAGGCUUAACACUGAUUUUGCACUUUAGGACAGAUCCUCAACAUUCUUUUGUAAAUAUUAAAAAUAAUAAUAAUAAUAACAUUAAAUAAAUUCCUCAAUUUGUUUAAUAAUACAAAAAUAAAACGGACCAAAGAGAAAUACGAAGAAGAUAGGGGAGGAAAUUAGAAAUAAAUAAAGCUCAAGGGUAAUAUAGGUAAAUUCGGACUCUGGAAACCUUGAUCCAUUUCCUACAACCCGGGUCCCCGGAUCUUUCAUCCUCCUCUACUCAUCAUAGUUUCACAAUUCAUCCUCCCGUACUGUAAUUAAUAAUUUCAGAGUAGUUUUGAGGUGAUCUGUGAUGGCAGUACGAUCCGGGUCGGGUCGGGUCGGGCUAGGGAUUCGUAAUGAUAUCAUCUGCCGGAUUUUUGUUUCCGCCAUGCUUCCGCUUCUGUAGCUGUAUGCAUCUCUAUGAGGUAAUUUCUCUUUCGAAAUCGUGAUAGAUCACUUUCAUGUUUGUUCACUUUGAGAAUUUUGCUAAUACCACACUGAAUUUUGCUAAUACCACACAGAUUUCUUCUUCUUUUAUUUUUCUUAUUUUGUGUGUGUGUGUAUGGAUCUCUCUUCUGUGUUCAUGUAGGAGAUGAAUAGAAUUAGCGCACAUUGCUUGCUGAUAUAAAAUUGAAGAAAAAAAAAAACUGAAUGAAAGUUAGACUAGGUUAGAUUUGAUAUAUAACCAGGCAAACAAUAAUAUUGUCUUUUAGUGAAUGCAUAUUCGAAUUCGAUGAAGUUCAAGCUCGAGAUAUGUAAGCAUCAGCUUAAGAUGUUUGGUGAUUUGGCUAAAAAAAAUUCGUUGACCGUCGAUUGCAGCCAAUUUACGGCACUGCACUGUUUGAAUGUGAUAGGCAAUUUGAUGUGUGUGUGUGGUGAAGUAAUUUGAAGCAUAGGUUAAGGAUAUAGUCAAAUUUGUUAGGUUUAUGAAUUUGUACGCUCCGUCGUUAAUAAGAGGAUACGGUGCUCUUUCCUUGUUAGGCAACACAAGGUUUUAACGAGGCCCCUAGUAUAUUAAUAAAAAUUUAUUUUGACGGAUACGAGUUUUGGUGUCAACGAGCUGCUUUUGAAAGCCAAGAAGAAUGGGACACAACCAGCUCGAUUGCAUCAAAAUCGACUCCCGAGAGUUUGCAUUAUCUUGUAAUGGGGCUUAUAGUCGAGUAUUCGAGGAGAGAAUCCAAACCCAUGUUUGAGUACCCAAGUUUAUACCAUUAUCAUUAUGCAAAAAAAAAAAUAUUCCGAUAAUGCCUUAGCAACUUUUACGGGUGGUAAACCUUAGUAGUUGAUACAAUUUGAUUUUGAUGCUUUUUUUUUUGUUGCCCCUUCGUAUACACCUGUGCUCAGGCAACUCGAAUCUGCAAGAAGUUGAAUCGUAGGGCUUAACUUGGCAGAACUUGGUAAGCUUAAUGCUUUAUCAAUUAUCGUUUAUCAUCUUCUUGGUUCUGUGUUCUGCUUUUUCGUAAGUUCAGCUUGAGGACAAGUCAAGUUUAACGGUUCUUUAUUACCUUGGCUUUGUAAAAUUUGCUCACUGAAAUAUUUUCGUUCAUGAACGGUCAGGACUCGGGAUUAUGAUUGCACCUUAUGGAAAUCGAGGAACGCUACUCAAGUAAAAUGACCACUCCCUUCGCAAUCACGUCGUAAACAAACAUCUGGCGCAGAUCAGUCCGCUCAAGUGAAGUUUUUUUUUUUUUUUUUUUCUCCGAGCCUGUCUGAUUAUUUUAUUACAUGUUUUCACUUUCAAGGAAAAAAAGAAGUUUUUUCUCGAGUUUGGAAUUGAGUGUUGUGUAUGCGAAUGAUCGACUCUCAUCACUUGGUCCGAAUUUUCCAUUUUUUUUUGUUUUCCCAAAUGUAGAUCUGAUUUGAAUUUAGGCUGGAUGAAAAAUGCAAUGAAUUAGAUGGUCCUAUGGAUGGUCAAUCAUUCAUGGGUGCAUAAGUGGAGAUUCAGAUAAAAAUGUUACAUCGGAUAUCUUCUUAUGCCUCGUUUGGUUGGCGAUAUUAAUCAUUGUUAACUAUAUAAUUGAACUUUAUUUAAUGUUUUAUAUCGAUACCCAAUAACUUGCCAGGUCGACCAAUUAUGUAAUUGAGUUUCAUUAGAGCAUCUCCUCUCGAUAGAGGGAGGGUGGAGGUGGGCAGGGCUGGUGUGUUUAGUAGAUAGAGGGAUGGGGAUGGGGCUCUGGGGUGAAAUGAACCCAGGCAUAAGCUCUGACGACUCAGGCGCCCCUCCUUCCCGUGACAUUAACGUUUUGUCCUUUUGUUUUUUGUUUUUUUCUCCCUUUUUUUCCUUCUCUUUCCACGUAGGCCCCUUUUUUUUUUUAUUUUUUUUAGGGGCCUUAAGAUAUAGGUCCCUAGUGACAAACAUUAUUAGAACUAAAUGACAACCUUAACUAAACAUUUGCUACACAUCCUUCAUAAAAUUCAUUCCAAAAAUGCCCUCGUGCAUUAAAUAUAUUUUUAUUUUUCCAACCAAUAUUUUUUUAUACAAAACACGUUUAAUUUUAUUUUUCUUUCUAUUUCUCCAUCUUAGCAAUUUUUAAACAAUUAAAAAAUUUUAUUUUUUCUCUUCAUAAUAUUGAAGAUUACGAAAAAUAUAUAUAUAUAUAUUUUUUUUAAAUUCAAUUUAAAUAUUUUGAUAUUUUUUUUGAUUUUAUUUGUUGUUAAUACUGUAGUAUACUACGGUGUAGUGUAGCGUACUACGGGUUACAAUAGAAUACUUGUGCAAUAGUAUACUACGGUGUACUAUAGGUUACUAUGGUCUACUGUUACAAACCCUAGCCGCAAAAACAACUCUCAGCCAUCGUUGAACCCUAGCCGUCAACAAAUUCGCAGCCACCGCCGCCGCCAACUUCAAUCCACCAAACCCUAGCCGCCAACCAAAACCCUAGCACCAUCAAAGAGGCCUAGAUGCAACCACCUCCCACCGUAUACUAACCUCACACCACCGUCUCCAAUGGCCAUCUACCACCAUAACCAUCCGCUCUAAUACACGACAACCGCUGCCGCUCUCAACCGUCAUGAGCCAUGUAUCACAGCUGCAAUUUGCAGAUCUGUCUCCGACCGCCACCCACCACAACCACCAUAAUUGAGUGAGCGAGAGAGAGAUAGAUAGAGCGAGAGAGAGAUAGAUAGAGCAAGAGGGAGAGGCAGAGGAAGAGACAGAGGCGAGCGGGAGAGGGAGAAGAGGCGAGACGGAGAAGUAGCAUAAAAAACAAAAAAAAAAUCUGAGAGAAAGGAGAAGAAGAGGCGAGACAGAGAGAGAGGCGAGAUAGAAAACCAAGAAAUAAUCUGAGAGGGAGAACCGAAAAAAAAUCUGAGAGGGAGAAGGAGAGGGAGAGGCGAGAUGCGAGAGAGAAAACAAAAAUAAAUCUGAUUAGUUGAAUAAACGUGGGAUAUUAUAUUUAGGGUAUAAGGGCAAACUAGGGAUAAAAUAAAAAUUAGGGAUGUGGAUCAAAUAUUAUUUCAAAAUAAUGAUUUAAUUAAAAGAUUGAAUUUAAGAUUGUCAUUUAGUUCAAAUUAGGUUUCAUUUAAGGGACUCUUAGCAUAUUAACCUUUUUUUUUAUUUUUUUUGUUCCUUUCUUUUCUUUAUUUAUUUGUCAUUUCUUAUUUUUUAAUUAUUUUAUUUUAGUUUUCUCUUUUUUUUUUUUCUCUUUCUUUUUUUUAUCGGUUUCUUUUAUUUUGUUUUAGUUUUCUGUUUUCUUUUUAUCUAAUUCGAUCUUUUUAAUUUAAAAUAGUAAUUUUAUUGCAAACAUUCUAUUAAUUAUAUUAACAUUACAUGUUAUUAUAUUACAAAUAAUAGUUUUAAAAAGUGACAAUAGAGUUAAUAACCUAAUAAUAGCACAACAUAGUUAUUAUUAUUAUUAUUAUUAUUAUUAUUAUUAUUAUUAUUAUAUGGUGAGAGUGGUGAUGGAAAAAAUGGAAGAAGGUUGAUCGAGAAAUAGGUAGGGGGAGAGGGAGGGGAGCUCCGGGAGAGCCACCCCCAUCGACAGGACAUGCCCUUAGAUUAUUUAUUCUUAUAUUGACAACUAAACGAGACUUUAAUAUCCAAUUAAAUUAAAAUAUGAAAAAAGUAGGGACAAGUUUUAGUGAUAUCAUCACCAACAAACUUUUUCGGCCAGUAGCAUGCCAAAUUUUCAACCAGGAAAGCAUGAAAUCAACAGCUAUAUGCUAAUCCACGUGUAGAAUUUUGAUUGGUUCGGAGUGUAAUUAUUUUAGUAUUAAACAAUAUUCAAUAAUAAUUGUAAAAAAAUAAAAUAAUAUCGCCUCCCACCAACUGCAGCCAACAACCAUCCACGAUCAAGGAACACAAAUAUCAGUGUGAAGAGUAGUAGUUGGACAAUUUGACCCGCGUUUGAGUUGCAGUGAAACUCUUUCAAGAUUUGUGUACUCCAUAUUAUUUAUAAAUAUAAAUAAAUUAAAUAAAUAUUUCUCGAUUCACUUUUCCUCAAUAAUCGCCCUAAUUUUGGAUCGUAUAUUUACAGAUCUCUGCCGUGCUGGGUUUGAGCGAUCUCUGGUUUUCUCAAUUGCAAUUCGAAUUUUACUCGAGGUUAGGGUUUCGUAAUUCUUUUCCGAUUUUGUUUGCUUCUGAUUUAUCGAAUUGCCUCUUUUUGGAUCGUUAUGUGGUGUAGAUUUAGACGUGGGUUAAUUUGAAAAGCUGCGAUCUUUGCUGAUUUUGUUUGAAAUUUAUGGAAUCCUUUUUCGAAAUUGAUUGGAUUUAACUGAAGUUAUUGUAGUUCUGCAAAUUGUUUCAGCUAAUAACACUGUCAUGCUUGUUUGGAUUCUCUCGUGAUGAACUUUGCCUUAGAAAAUGGCUGAUCUAGGAAUCGAUCAAGUCAAAUAGCAGUCUCGAUUAAACCUAUAACUCAUAUAAGAUAGAGAUUUGUUCCUAUUAAACUCAAUUUUAUGGCAAUUGUUUGUUUCUUCUCUAUUGUUAUAGUUGUUCAGCAAUAUACGAGAUCUCGUUUAAGAUUAAUUACAAGAAUGAUGUAUGUGUACGGAUUGUAACUUCUUGUUUUUUUUUUUUUUUACCAUCAUGUCAUUUGGCAAAUGAGUAAUCGUGCAAACAGUUCACAUGGUGGUUGGAUCAUGUCUGAUCUGAGUUUUUCAAAGGGUAAAUAGUGACAAACAUUUUUAUUUGCCUGUCCCUUGUUUAUUUUGCCGUUAUCGACGAAUUAUGAUUUAUGGAUCUAGAUUUUCGUUCGCUUCAUGUUUCUUUAAAGCAAAUUCAAGUUGUGCAUUCAACUUUUGCCGGUGAAUUCCUGGUAUUUUCUUGACUGCUAGGAAAUUCAUGUAUGUUUCUCUAUUUACUAGUUUUGUGGUCAAAUUUUGUCUUCGGCUCUGAAUUUUAUCUUUUGCCAGGAUACAAGAUGGCUGAGCAAUCCCCAAAACUGAACAGAAUAGGUCUUGCUGGCCUAGCUGUAAUGGGCCAAAACCUAGCCCUCAACAUUGCUGAGAAAGGCUUCCCAAUUUCCGUUUACAACCGAACCACCUCCAAAGUCGACGAGACUGUUGAAAGGGCAAAAUUGGAAGGAAACCUUCCUCUCUUUGGCUUCCACGACCCCGAAUCAUUCGUCCAGUCAAUCCAAAAACCCCGUGUGAUAAUCAUGCUCGUAAAGGCAGGAUCCCCCGUGGACCAGACCAUCAAAACUCUCUCCGCCUACUUGGAGAAAGGUGAUUGCAUCAUCGAUGGUGGAAACGAGUGGUACGAAAACACCGAGAGAAGGGAGAAAGCCAUGGCUGAAUUGGGUCUUCUCUACCUCGGCAUGGGAGUUUCUGGCGGUGAAGAGGGUGCUCGAAACGGGCCCUCCAUGAUGCCAGGUGGCUCCCUUGAGGCCUACAAAUACAUCGAAGACAUUGUUCUCAAAGUAGCAGCACAAGUUCCGGAUAGUGGGCCAUGUGUGACCUACAUCGGAAAAGGAGGUUCCGGAAACUUCGUCAAGAUGAUUCACAACGGAAUCGAAUACGGUGACAUGCAGCUAAUAGCCGAGGCGUACGAUGUGCUGAAAUCAGUUGGGAAAUUAUCGAACGAGGAGCUAAAAAACGUCUUCUCAGAAUGGAACAAAGGGGAGCUUCAAAGCUUCUUGAUUGAAAUAACUGCUGAUAUUUUCGGAAUUAAGGAUGACAAGGCGGAUGGGUAUUUAGUUGACAAGGUCUUGGACAAAACUGGGAUGAAGGGUACUGGUAAAUGGACUGUUCAGCAAGCUGCUGAGCUGUCAGUUGCGGCCCCCACCAUCGAAGCAUCUUUAGAUUCAAGAUUCUUGAGUGGUUUGAAGGAUGAACGAACCGAAGCUGCGAAAGUGUUCGGCGAUAUUCUGAGCGAUGAGGUGGUGGUUGACAAGGAACAACUGAUCGACGAUGUGAGGAAAGCUCUGUACGCUUCAAAAAUAUGCAGUUACGCUCAAGGAAUGAAUCUGAUUCGCGCGAAGAGCGAAGAAAAGGGGUGGGGUUUGGAGUUGGGUGAGCUGGCUAGGAUUUGGAAGGGAGGUUGUAUUAUUCGUGCGAUUUUCUUGGAUCGAAUCAAGCAAGCAUACGAUAGAAAUUCUGACCUGGCGAAUCUUUUGGUGGACCCGGAAUUCGCAAAGGAGAUUAUCGAGAGGCAAUCCGCUUGGAGGAGAGUUGUUUGCCUUGCGAUCAACUCGGGUAUUAGUACACCAGGUAUGUCUGCUAGUCUUGCUUAUUUCGAUACGUACAGAAGGGAGAGAUUGCCUGCUAAUUUGGUGCAGGCUCAGAGAGACUAUUUUGGUGCUCAUACUUAUGAAAGGGUUGAUAUUCCUGGAUCUUACCAUACCGAGUGGUUUAAGCUUGCGAAAAAGAAUUGAUUGAUGAUUAGUUUUUUGAGGGUAUUUUCGUAAAAAUAAAUUAUGGGCAUCGAGUGUUGGAUGUCGUUUUUUUUCGGCUUUUGAUUUUCGAGAUCGGAACGAUUGUAGUAGUAUUUGAAGCAAGAAUUGUUAUUAUUUAUUUUUAUUUUUAUUUUUAUUUUGGAAGUGCUGUAAUUUGCAAAGGGCACCUUUGUGCUUUUUGGUGUUGUACUUGUGUUUAUUGAUUGAUGAUAUUGGGAUUUUGAUUUCUGCUUAUUUAUUUUUUAAUCUGUAUGAAAAUGAUAUUAUUGGUUGAAAAAUAAGUAAAAGACAGAAAUACCCUUGAUUAACAGAGUGGUGUGAAGUACAAACGGAAUAUUCGAUGGAUAUGUCUAAAAAAGAAAACGUUGGUGCGCCUUUUCCGGAUUAGUGACAAAAGCACGAGAAUCGGUGACUUUUGUUUAUUAUAUGUGUAAUGAAUGAUUCUUAGCAAAUGUAGCGUCACCUUUUUGCAGCUUCUGUCCGCGGCGUCCACUUACAUUUAUUUUUUUAUGCUAUUAGAUUCGAUUGGGUUAUUCGGGUUUUUUUUCGUGACGAGGAAAGCAUCUUCUUCGUAUUAUUAAUUAAAAGUAAAUAAAAAUAAAUGUAUUAUGAUGACAUUACACACUUUAAUGGAACAUUUAUCUCUUUUCUUUCUUUUUUUUUUCUUCUUUUUUUGCGAUCUACUCGUAAGCAUCACGUUACAAACAUCCGAAUGGAUCGAUAAGAAAAAAAUUGUUGUUUGCUAUAACAUUGCUAUACUUUCGUUAAAUUCAUAUGUUUCGACCAUAAGCAUCGUGUGAAUUUCAUAUUUUUAAAUUAUAUAUAUAACUGGAUUUUUAAAGGUCACAUGAUAAUUUAAUAGUUUUUAAAUCCACUAAAAAUAUUUUUAAAUGAUUGAUGAAAUCAGGGGCGGACCCAGGGGGUUUUGGGUGGGGGGGCGAAAAAAAAGUUUUGGGAUUAAAUGGUAUAAAAUUUUAACUUUGGGGGGCUAAAGUGUAAAAAUUAAUACAUAAAUAAGCCAAAAUAUUAAAAAAAUAAAAAAAAAAAGGUAAAAUUUUUUUUUUCUGCAGGGGCGGGUGCCCCCCCAACAGAAGCCUUGGGUCCGCCCCUGGAUGAAAUGUAAUUUUGUCAUGCUUCUAAUGUGCAAAAAAUAUGAUAAUAUUGUAAUAUAAAUUAUAAAAAAAAAUAGAAAAUCCGCUGGUAUUAAUGAUGAUUGGCUGGAAAGGUUGACUCUCUGAAUCAAUAUGCGACCCGGAAUAUCCUAUCUAGAUUCUCUCUCCUUUCUCUCUCUCUCUCUGGAGUGUCGAUAUAAUCCAUAUACAUAUAUGCAGAGAGAGAGAGAGAGAGAGAGAGAGAGAGAGAGUGCCGUUUAUGCAGCACAAUUGUCUCCCAUUAUUCACAGUAUCUGAAAGCAAAAACAGAGCCACCAUUCUUUUUUCCUUUUUAAUUUUUUAUUUUCUAUUUAAAAAUAAAAAAGAAAAAUAAAAAAUUAUCCAAAGUAGUGAUGAUUAGUUGUUUGCGUGGUCGAGCCGCCGCAUCCCACGGUGUACACUCUGCAUACGUAAACCCCCAUGAAUUAAAGUAUGAAGUUUCGCCAUCAAUAUACAACGUUAAUUUAUCAAUUCUUAAUUCCCACUAUCAAUAUUCAAUUAUAUAUAUCUUAUUUUAUUUUCUUUUUUGUUUUAAUCCAAUGUAAUUUGCAAACAAUUUACAAUUAAUCGUACACUAUGAUAUGAUAUGAUUGAUGAAUGUGAAUUUAAUGUGUCUAAUUUGUCCAUCUGAACCCAUGAUGAUUAACAAGAUAUUAAUCCACUGUCUUAACUCAAUGUGAUGUAAUAUUCAUAUUCAUUUACACACCUAAUUUUUUCUUUAAAUAAAUAAUAAUUAAUAUCCUUUUCCACUUUGUGCCCUAGUGAAUAGUGAUGGUGUGUGGGAAUCAUAUUCUUUCGACAAUUUGAUAGUGAAAUUAGCAGAAAACCCCUGAUAAAAUAGACACAUAUAUAUAUAUAGACAUAAAUAAUAAUUAGUGAUAUUUGCUUUAAUAUAUAAUAAUUUCAAACAAGAUGUCAGCUAAAAUGAUAAAGAUAAUUAAUACACAUAUUAAUUAAAAACUGAUAUUUAAUUCUACUUACACUCAUAAAUCAAUUUACAGUAAUUCUGCAGAACUGAUUUAAAGGUAAUUAACUCUCUCUCUCUCUCUCCCCAAUUAUUAUUACCACAACAAAAACAUUAACCUAAUUAAUAUUCCUAAAUUUUUUUUCUACCGGACAAAAUUUUUUCCUGGUUUCAAAAUCAUGAUCAUAUAAUAAUUAAGAUCAGACUUUGCAAACACAGUACUCGAUGGGAAUCGCGAGUUGGGUAGGGUUGUCAUCUCCGGCCAUGAUCACCACAAUCUUCGGCGUGUUGUCGGCCACGGCGGCGGAUGCGGAUGGCUGCGCCGCCUUCACUCCGCCGUCUUCUUCCUGGCUGGAUGGCCGUUUACGGUAGGAACAAACGAGGAUGAUUAGGGCAGUGGCGAUUAGUAAUAACAUGAGCCCUAAUCCAGCAAAGAGGUAAGGCAAUGGUGAAUUCCAGUGCCAGAAUGUUUGGCUGGAAGACAGCGGCUGCGAAGGUGUGUGCCUCAUUUCUCUCUCUCUAACUUUCUCUCUCUAACUCAGUGUGUGUGUGUGUUUUUCUCAAUCACUGUGUGUAAAAAUGGUGUGUGUGGGGGAGGUGAUGGGGGUGGCUGAUUUAUAGAGGAGAAGAUUAAUUUAAUUACUGUGGCGAGUGUAUGCGAAAUUACUAAAGUGCCCCUACUCUAUUGUGGAGGAUGUCGUCAUUAUUUUCUUCAAUAUUGCAUAACCUGCGCAUUUUCUUUAGGGUAAUUGGCACUUUGCCCCCUAAACUAUAGUGGCUGUCGCACUUUACCCCUGGACUAAAUUAUUUUACAAAAUGUCCCACUUGCAGUGCACGCGAGAUUUAGGAGGGUACAAUCGUCAAUUCAAUCACAAUUAAACCAGAUCAAAACGCGAUCGGACAUGAUGUAAAUUUUGUUGAAUCCUAAAAAACAAAUGUUGCGUAUUAGCUGAACAAGGUUAAGCUUGUUCGUUCGUGAUUCAGUUGACUAACAAAUUCUAUUAUUGAUUCGAUUUUAAGAGUAUAAGUAUGAAUCUCUCUCACACGCAUGCACCCAAAUUAAAAAAAAAUUAAUAAUAAUAAUAAUAACUCAAAGUUUGGCUCUUGAUCAAACUAGAAAAUAUGACUUUUGCUGCCCAUUAAGUUUAAUUACAUAAAAUAUGGCAAAUAAUUAUUGAUUUUGUUUCCUUGCUUAAUUUGCACGGCACUAACUUUAAUUGCGUUGUUGCUAAAUGCGCUUAGUAGUUAGAUGGAGCUUUUCAUCAAACUAAUAAAGGAUAUAAUUUUUCCAAUUUAAUUUAUGGUAAUUAAAGAAAAAUUGAUUAUGACUAUCAAAUUUUCUAAUUUAGUCGUGCUAAUUUAAAAGGGAACAUGACGUACCCUUUGCAAAUUUCGAAUAUUCAGUUUCCUCUUUGUACAAAAAAUAAAAUCAAUUUUUUUUAAAAUUACUUUUUGACAUAAUAUUUAGAGAAUAUAUGAUUUUGACCCCCCAAGUUUUGUUUCUUCUCUAUUUCUUUUUGUAAAUUUAGAUAUUUUACAACUAAAAUUUAUACUUUUAAUUAAAAACAUAAAUACAGAUUUUAUUAUUCUUUUGUGAAUAAAUCUAAAAAUUCGAGGGCGUUGCGUCCCUCUGAACGGCCUAUCCAACAUUUCGACGUAUUAUUUUUAAAAAUGUUCGCCCCUCCUUACAAAAGUGCUUGGAUCAGCCCCUGAACAGUAUCAUAUUUUAUUGCGAAACAAACUGAUUUAUUCAGGAAAGUUAGUCAAUAACUUUCUUCCUUAGAUCUUGUGACAUAUUCCAAUUCUUGAUUGCAAAUUGUAACACCACCAACAAUUUCAUGUGGUAGUACCAUUCAUUGUUCCCCUAAUAAUGUUAGACUUAUAUAUUUCAAUAGCCACCACAAGAAAAAUCCAUAAUUAGACCAACAUUACAAUUUCUCUCAUACAUUAAAACAAAUGAUCACAAAGAACAAAAUAAAUGGUAUAGUAGUUACAUGCAAAGUCAACAAAAGUAAGAAAAUAUUUUUGACCCUUUUUGUCAAAUUGCACUCUAUUUUUUUCAUAAUAAUAGGUGACUCAAGUCAAUUACUGUCAACUUCCUCCAAGACCCCAUUAGCCAAAUAAAAAUUAAAAAAUUGGAAUUAAAUUAUAGAAUUCAAAUUGAUAUUCCAAUAACAAAUUGUCUUCCACUAAAAAAAGGGUUAUGAUUGGAAGAUUUGCAGCCACAUUUGGACUAAUUUGCAAUAAAUAAAUACCAAAGUUAACCUUUUUACUUACUAAGUUGUCUUUUUUAAAACAACCUUUUUCAACAACCUCAACUCAUUUUCCAUAUACAAACAUGAAACAUAGAUACAUACAUUUGUAUGUAUCGAGACGCCACAAAUUCAAUCAGCCUAAUCCAUUAAUUAAAGAAAGAUGUCUAAUUUAAAUUUCUUUUCCUUGUUUUCAUAUUUGUCAAAUACAGUUGGCUAAUAGUACUAAAACAUGAUUAGGAAGCAAAGUCAUCUUUAAUUAUCCUUUCUAAUUUGUAAUUAGGUGUCAUUCUUAUCAAUUACUCCAUUAAAAAAAAAUCACUAAUUUAUUUGAAGACCUAACCCUAAUAUAAUAAUCGACGUAUCCAUCCGGUCCAACGGGGCGGGUUUUCUCGAGUUUGACAUGUCCAACGAGUUGAUAGAUAUCGGACUUGCUAAUCAUUAAUUAUCGACAAUAAUCAUUUAAUCAAACAUUUGCGAAUGAUUAAUCAAACAUUUAAAUGCAAAAAAACAAAAAUUAUUACGAAACAAAUUAAACUCGAUCACUCUGUGUUCGAACAGCGGUGGCGACGGGUUUAGCGAGGUGGGUAGGGUUCUUUUCUCCUGCCAUAAUCACGACAACUCCGGGAUCCAUCUCCGGAUGAAAAGCGCGUAACUCCAACUUCUCGUUCGAGUCAUCGUUCAAUGACGAUUGAUCGGACGAUCGGAUGUAAGAACAAGCCAAAAGCAUUAACACAACAGGUAUGAUUCCCAACAUGAGAGCCAGACCACUGAAGAUGAACGUAAACGGCGAAUUCCACCACCGCGUACCGCCGCCAGCUGGGGCGGCGGCGACGGCGGCCGGUCCUUCGACUUUGGGAAUCAUCUCUUUGUUCAUAUAUGAUUUUAUCUCUCUAGAACUAUUUUCUAUGAUUUUUUUUUUGCUAGCUGUGUAUGUAUAUCGAGAACAUACAUAUACAUACAAAUUACACACACACACACCAGCACAGCUGCUAAAUUAGAGGCUAUUUAUUUUUGCUGUGCUGUUUACAUAAUUAAUUCAUUUCACCGAACACAAACUUGUUACCGUUUUUUUUAAAUAAUAAUUAGGGUAAUUUACGAAAUAACCCUUUCUGUUUGGAUAGUUACAAUCACCCAUCAACUAUGAAUCUUCUUACACAUUCCAAAUUCAACAUAAUCUUCCAGAUUUCGUAGAAUGUUCUCUAGUUUGUACUCGUUUUGUGCAAAAAUGCAGUUUCUGAUGCACCACAAUCUGAUAUUUAAGCCCAUAGACACAUUACAUGAUCAUGUUGUUUCAAAAUAUAGAGCUCGAAUGGGGUAAAACGGGUACAUACUGAAGAAUAUUAUACAUAAGCCAAAAAAUUCUACUAAAUUUAACACAACAGGGGUGGAGGUGUAAGAAAAUUCAUAAUUUAGGAGUUGGAUGUAAUUACCCAAACAUGAUGGGUUUUUCGUAAUUUGACAUUAAUUACCUCAAGAGGUGACCGUAAUUUAUCCUAAUAAUAAUUAUAUAUUUGUUACCUAAUUUCCUUACACAAGUGUUUUCAUUUACUAGAUUUCCUAAUUUAGCAAUCGAGAAUAAAUGAAAAUUAUAUAAUUAGGUUAAAAUAAUUUUUCAAAAAAAAAAAAUCAAUAAAAUAACUAAAGUUCUAAAGAUAUAAGAAUAUGAAAGUGGUACGAACAAUAUUCAUAUCGUAGCGCAGGCACUAAAGCAUCAUUUAGUUCUAUUGCACUAUUAGAUUGUUCUAAACCAAUUUUACUUUUUAUUAUUAUUAUUAAUAUUAUUAUUAUUUUAUUUAUUUAUUUAUUUAUUUAUUUUAUUUUUAAAAGCGUUUGCCCCACCAAAACCACUAUGUGCCGCUCUCCCUUAUUAAAUAUGCCACUAGCCUCUAAUCAUUCACCAAAGCAUAUAUAUAUAAAUUAAUUAAUAAAAAUUAAAAUGUCAAUUUUCUUUAACUUUUUUAAUGUUUUUUUAAACCGGUCCAGGAGAAAUAACAUUAAUUAAUAUAUUUUAAAUAUUAGUUUUUAUUUGCAGCAUUAUACAUAAUAUAAUUGGGAUCUAAAAUUAUACAUACAAGAUUUUACUAAAAAAAAAAUUGAAUUAAUAUUGCCACCAAGUCCAUUUUUUAUGGGCCUUCAAUUUUUUUAUAGGAUCGUAGCCCAUUUAAUAUGGGCUGAUUUUAUUACAUCAGUUGAAAGUCAACACAUCAAUUCAAAGUCAACCAAAAAAAAAAACACACACGCACGCACACGCACACAAGCAAUCAUAUCCAAUUGUGCACGUACGCAACAAACUUGAAAUACACCAUGUGAUUUUAAAUCAUAGACGUACAUAUAUAUAAUAAAACACACUCAUGUAUGUAUAUGGUCAGAUCUACAUUAUAAAUCGACGUGGUGUAGGAUCUCAAGCAGUACAAACACUAAAAUCAAAUAAGCAUAUAAUUCAAGAAGAUGGAUACCAAAAUUGUAAAAACUAAAAACAAGAAGUACAAGAAGUUAACACUAUAAGCAAUAGUAGCUUUACAAUUAAUCGAAUUAUGUUGCAAAAUUGGUAAGGAAAAAAAAAAUUUAAAAUUCAAACAUAAUUCCUACUAUCCAUCCAUUGUUCAACCAGAAAUUAGAACGACGAAAUUACAAGAAUGCCCAUGGGCACUUUCUAAUAUUACACAAGUAUUAACUGUAUGUAGUACCUAUAUCUCCACUUUGUUCAACUUGCACAAGAAACUGAUCUCUUUGCAAACCUCCCUUUAACCCGAGGUCUAGUCUCUGCGUAAGCCUUCCUCGAUGCGUACCUAAUCGUCUUCUCGAACUUUCUCAUCUUCUUCUUCUCUCUAUACCUCAUCACCCUCGCCUCUCUGUCCACCGGACUCAGCUGCUGAGCUGGCGGCGGCGCCACCCCCGCCGCCUGAAUAAGUGGCCCCGAGAAAAGAUCGAUUGUCCCCUUCGGUGUUCUCUGGUACUGCCCGGAUAUUAUCGAACCUUCACUCAUUGUUGACUCCGGCACUACUCCCACAUCCAUUACUGGUGAAAGACAAACCUGUUUUUUUUUUUUAACAAUAAUUUAAUUAUUAGGCCACCAUUAUAUAUAUAAUAUACAGCAGAACAUUGAUAAAUUAAUAACCUCGAUUAAAUAAUAGUUUCUAUCAGUCCCGACUCGGAGAAAAAAUGUUAAAUUAUUAACUCGAUAAUUUAAUAAUUCGCUAAAUUAAUAGAAUUUUCCUAGUCCGACUGUAUUAAAUUAUAAGGGUUUCACUAUAUGUAUGUAUUUUCAACUGUAUGUAAAUGAAGAACGUAACUUACGUUAUUAUGGGACGACAUCGAAGUAGGAUAACUGUAUCCAGUGUGGGAGGAUUCGUAAUCCAAUCCCACCGGAAAACAGUGUUCUUGGAUCUGAAUCGGGACAACGCUAUCCUGACCGCCGUAGCCGAUUUUCUCGUGAGAAACGGAGCUGUAAUGCAAUUUCGGAUGAUGAUUAAUGUUGUUGUUGUAGUGAUGAUGAUCAUUGAACUGAUUGUUCUGACAUGAAUUGUAGUCGUCGAGGUCCAAGUACGCGUCCACUGCCGCCGCUGCUCCGCCGCCGCCGAACAACGGCGGCGCGUUGUCGUGGCUGCUUUGGUUGUCUUCGUUUUUUACGGGGUUGAGCAAUAGCCACGAAGCUGCUUCAUCUUCGUCUUCUCCGUCGUGAUGAGUUAAGAAAUCGUUCUCCGAGUGCGCCUCCGGCGCACCCAUUGAUAAUCCGGGAGCGGAGUGGCCGUAGAAAUUACCGGCGGCGGAUGAAAUCGGGACGCGGAUGUGGCGGCGGGCGAGGGGGUUGGCCGAGUGGAUAUCGGAAUCGCAUGCGGCGCAGAGGGAGGCGGAGUCGGCCUUGCACAGAAACGCCGCCGGAGCGAGAUCGCAGGCGUCGCACAUCCAAACUCGGUCGCGCCGUGAAGAAGAAAGCCAAUUGUUGCCGGCGUCGCCGGCGCCGGUGGUGUUUUCGACCUUCAGCAUCGUCUCAGUUAUGGGUUUUGGUGUGUGUGUGUGUGUGUUUUCAAUGCUUUAAUUUCAUACUUGAGUAGGACUAUAUGGANNNNNNNNNNNNNNNNNNNNNNNNNNNNNNNNNNNNNNNNNNNNNNNNNNNNNNNNNNNNNNNNNNNNNNNNNNNNNNNNNNNNNNNNNNNNNNNNNNNNAGGGAAGUGGCGAAAUUAAUGAUGUGACACCUGGCGUGCAUUUAGCGGGUGAGAGAAGGUGGUCCAUCAUCUUGUGGUUGGCAUGAAUCUUGGUGGGCCCCUCGAGACUUAUUUUGGGACAACCCCAAAUUUGUCAUGUUGCUUCCACAUCAAUAGUUGUAAUUGUACACACUCCUUCCGUGGAUUACAUGUUUUUAGCAAGUCCCUAAAAUUUAGGAUAAAUUACCGAACAUCUAACUAGAUUCUACACCUGAUUAUUUAUUUACACAUACUAAAUGAUAUUAUUCGUAGAUCUGCAUAUAAUCAUACACAUUCAUGUAUAUGUGUGUUUAGAGCUUCUACAAUUAAUAAUCAACUGAUGUAAAUAAUCAAAUGUAGCAUCUAACUCCCAAAUUACUGACCAUAAAAAAAAAAAUAGAUUCAUAAUUAGGGAAGGCAGCACAACGAGUAUUCGAACAGUAUAUAUAUGAAAUACCAGAACCAUUACCAUUAACUAUAUCUCAACUCAUGAUCAUCCCAAACUCGUUUAAACGAAUUCCGAUUAGAAUUAAAAAUGAUUAACCACCAAUAUAUAUAUAUAUAUAUAUAUAUAUAUAUAUAUAUAUAUAUAUAUAUAUAUAUAUAUAUAUAUAUAUAUAUAUAGCAAUGGAUCGACAUCAAAGUCAUAAAUCGAGUGCAGGCCCGCCCCAAUAGCAACAUCAAUACUGAAAAGGCAGUCAAAAUGAACAGUCUCGUAACAUUUUUUUUUCUAUAAUAGAAAAACAAAGAAAUUAAAAUUUUAAUUAGUGACGUGGGUGAAACUGAAUCAAUCAAAAUUGGAAAAAUAUGGCAAUUAAAUGAAAUAAAGAAGAAGAAAAAAUCAGAGUGGAAGAAAAUGAAGAUUACUAUAAACCACAGCCACCAAUUGUAACAAGUAUUACCACUCAGCACCAAUCCAAAUAAUCACGUGGCCAUCUGGGCCCAAUCAAUUGAAAUUAAUCUUCAUCUGCCCUUUCAAAUAUUCAAGCCCCCCACCCACCCUUCUCAGCUCAUAAUCAUAAAAAAAAUUUAAAAAAAAAAUGUUACACGUUCUCAUGGUACAUUGUGUCUUUUUUUUUCGAUUAAAGAAAUAAUUAAAAUAAAAUAAAAAAUUGUUACAACAUUAGAGUGCCGUUCCUCCACCGUCCGACAUUAGAGAUGCGGCAGCUGCGGCAGCUGUUGGAACAACUCCAGUUGAGACACCGGGUUUCGAUAGAUGCAGUAACCUGAUUAGAUUAAAAUAAGAAUGUAAUGUUUCUUUUCUCUGUAUGGGUAUAAAUACGUCGAUUGUCUAAGAAAUUAGCACUGUAAACAAUCAAAUAUUCAGAGUUACGAAUUCGUAAGAGUGAGAACUACAAAAUUACGAACGCCUUUGAACUAGUUCUUGCACGACAUUAAUUCUUGAAAUGUGCAAGCAUUACGUAAGCCAAAAUGGGAAGAACGUCUAAAUUAUAUAAUCAAACUCUUCCUGCCGUAAAAUCAGCUCUAGCUAGUUUGAGAAACGUUGACAAAACGGGGUGAACCCCUACUACAUAGACGAACUGUGAGGUUGUGUAAUUUUGUUUUAAUCACAUAAACUCCUCAACUAGAUUGGACUAAAAUCGAAUGACAAAGCGUGCAGUUAACUAUCUUUAGCAUAAGGAAGCCAAUAAAAAAAAAAACCACGAACUUACGGAGCAAGAUAUUCACAAAAGGAAGACAUAGCAGCAACAACUUCGGUAUAGUUCUCAGACGAAGCAGGGGCAGUCACUUCAACAAGCUGUAUACCUGGUGUAACCGGCACUGCUUCGUCGGUCGAAUGCAGUUUCAGCAUUUUAUUAACCGAAGAAACUGUCACUGUUAUCUGAGCGCCUCUAUGGAAUUGGAAGGUGAACCCAACUCUCAGUAGCUCGUGGUCGAGCUUGUAUCCAAGAGCAUAGAAUAAUCGAAGCGCGUUCUUGCUUACUUUACUUUCCAUCAUAUUCCUCACAAGCACAGAGAUUUGAUCCGCUCCAGCUCCCCUCAGUGCACCACCAACGUGUCGCACAGUCCUACGCAAUCAAUUUAAUAUUCCAUAUAUAUAUAUAUAUAUAUAUCAUUUUUUUUUCGCACAGCCAAUAACUGAAAGUCAACUCCCCGACUCUUACCAUGUCGGUUCGGGUUGCUCGAGAUCGCAUAGGAGUCGGAUUUCCGAUGAUACUAAUCCUAAGAGAAGGAAAAGAAGAUAUCCCGCUAUUACUGAACCACACAAAAUAUAGUUUAACUAAGGUAACCGAGUCUAAUUACAUAUAGACACGGUUAACCCUAGUUACAAUAUGGAGUGAGAAUCGAUAUAUACCGAGAUUUGGGACACUUUUCAGACAUAAUUCGUGAACCCUCAAACUCUCACGAUGAACGCCACAGAGUCCUUGAAGGAGAAUCUCCAGUGCCUCAACAUGCUGCACAAUUUCCGAGUUUUUACUUCAUUAGCACGACUAAAAAAAUCAACUAAAAUUGGGGGGAAAAAAAAAGUAAUCAUCCAUCUUUGAAGCUAGAAAUCAUCUACAUUUCCGAUUUUCUACUUAAUUAGCAAUAGCACAACAAAAUUAAACUGGCAACGUUUGUACAGCUGUACAGGACAAGAUAAUAAGAUCAAACAAUUGGAAAAUGGAAAUUCUGAAGAAAAAAGAAAAAUCAGUAAUACAAACUUUCAGGGGCGAAAAUUAACGACAGUCGUAUAAAAUUCUAACAUCAAUCGUGAAAAAAAAAUGGCAAUGGUUGGCGAUUAUGGUUGGGAGAUUACCUUAGUCUCUAUGAUUCCCUGAACCACGCACUCCAUUAUGAUCCCCAAUUCUGUUCGAGUACUAAAUGAAGAACUGCCACUCAAGCUUAAUUGAAUCGGAGAAGUAACUUUGUGUCAAUUAUCAAGCAUAUAAGCUUUUAGGGUAUGAUUCAGCAGAUUAGGGUUUUAGCUUAAAAAAUUGGAAUUGAAAUGCAAAAUUAUUACAGAAGAAAUACAUAAAACCAGGAGAGAGAGAGAGAGAGGGAGAGAGAGAUUACUGUUGGGCUUGGUACGAAAAAAGGCCCAUUCUAUUUCUAUUUGGGCCAUACAACUUUAAAAAUAACAGUCAUAAAUUUAUUUAUUUAUUUUACUUUCUUAGAAGAAAACAGCUACCAUAUUCAUUUAUUUAUGGGUUAUUAAUAAUUAAAAGAAACCCAUACCAGAAAAAAAAAAUAUGGUCCCGGAUAAAAAUGGGUUCAAACGGUUAAAAUCGGAUAUAUAUUUUUAUUUUAAUAAAUUUUAGAUUUGAUCGGGACUGUUGGGCCGGACUGCCGGUACUCAAGAGUCAAGACUAUUGCUUAAUAGUUCGACAGCUGGCUCAAAAAAAUAUGAUUUGCGGACAUAAGUAUCAUGCACCUCAACGAGCUGAAGAGCUCGCGAGCAUGCAUGCCUUACGAGUUACGAUGUUGGCUUUUCGACGGCCAAAGAAGUAGGGUUUGAAAAGAGGUGAGUGUAAAUCCUACGCCAUCAAUAAUAUUAUUGUUAUACAUUAUUUGUUGGAACUAUUGAUUAUUAUGGUCUUCACUCAAAUCCAAAAUAUGGCAAUAAUAACACACAAAGUGCAUGCAUGCAUGACAUACUAUCACAAUAGUAUUACUCAAAUUCCAGCUUCUUGUUCACUCACAUUAUACAUAACACAAACAUCAUCAACUCCUACAAUUAAUUAAAAUAAUAAAAAAUACCAUAUCUCUAUACAGUAAUGAAUCAAUUGCUUUUUGAGCUACAAACUUUGUUAUGCUAUAAUUAUAUUAUAUGUAUCAACUUCCCUCUUUAAGAAAGUUUCAUAUUAUAUGAUAUUUUGUGUGUAUAUAUCACCUCGGACCAGAUAACUCAAUUGCUUGAGCGAUUAACGAAGAAUCGUCGGUAAGGUCAGAAUACCGUUCAGACGAAGAUAAUUCUUGUGUCUUGAACUUGUUCGAUUCCAAUCUCUGAGAAGCUUCCCAUCUCUCUGCGAGUCCGUCUCCUUCGAGCAUACGUACAAUUUCGGACAUUUUUGGCCUUAAACCAGGUAGAUACUGCGUGCACAGUAGCGCCACCUGUACAAUCUCCUCCAGCUCGAUUAUGUCGUAGUUGCUCCUCAAAUCUUUGUCCACUACCUCUUCCAGUUUCUUCUCUUGAUGAAGCUUCUUCACCUAAUUAAAAAAAAAAAAAUUUGCUUUUUUUAGAAACUAAUAUAUUAUUACUUUUUUAAUUUUUUUUGAUGAAUCUUAUAUAACCCUGUGCUGUAUCGAAUUUCUUAAACACUCCCCCGAUUAAAAAUAUUAGCAAAAGACCACCUUAUAUUUAGGGGGUAGUUUGCUAAAAAAAAUGUUAGGGGUUGUUUUGCAAAUAAAAUGAAAUGGGGAGUUUUUUGACAAUUGGAGAAAAUACAGGGGUGUUGAGUGCAAUAAACCGAUAACAUAUAUAUAUGCUCACCCAAUCAAGAACUGCUCCUUUCUGAUUAGCCGAUUUGCCGAACUGAAGUGCUCUUAGUCCGGUGAUAAGUUCUAGAAGAAGGAUUCCGAAUCCGAAAACGUCUGUUUUUUCGGAAGAUUGGCCCGUGGAGAGAUAUUCCGGUGCGAUGUGGCCCACCGUACCGCGUACAGCUGUCGUCACGUGGGAAUCUUGAUGAUCUAGAAGCUUCGCUAGACCGAAAUCUCCCACAACGGCCUCGCAGUACUCGUCAAGAAGUAUAUUUGCCGCCUUCACAUCUCUAUGAAUAAUCUUCGGAUCGCAUUGCUCGUGUAGGUAUAAUAGUCCUCUUGCCGCCCCUAAUGCAAUUCUCUUUCUCGUUCCCCAAUCCAAUACCGGUUUCGCUGUUUUUUUUCUCAAAAUUUUAUUACAACUCAUUUUUAAGACAACAUAUAUAUAUGCAUGAAUGUGUGUGUGUGUGUAUACCUUUGAGGCGAGAGGCGACGCUUCCGUUGGACAUGUAAGGGUAGACAAGAAGCUUUUCGGAUGAUGUCAUGCAAAAUCCGUAGAGUUUGAGGAGGUUACGGUGGACAGCUAGGCUUAUCAUUUCGACUUCCGUCUGGAAUUGCCGCUCGCCUACGGCGGUGGUGCCGUCUUUGAGCCGCUUGACGGCGACAGCUGUCCCAUCUUGUAAGAAGCCCUUGUAGACGUUUCCGAAUCCGCCUUUGCCUAGGAUGUUCUUGUUGCUGAAAUUGUUUGUCGCUAUUUGUAGCUCCCUUAAUCGGAAUAUUCUUAGAUUCCCCAGUGAGACUUCUUCGUGCUGGCGAUCUGAAAUAAUAGACUCGUUAAAAAAAAAACAAAUCUAAAAUCUUGUUUUUUAAUUUUUUUAUAUACGAACCAUUAACGUCGAAGAAUUUUUGUCGGUUGCGCAAUUGUCUUCGCCACAAGAAAAGAGCGAAGGCGAUGACGAGUAGAGAUACGACGCCGAGGCUUGUUCCGAUUACGAGUGCGAGUUUGUGGUAUUUUGAUUUCGCAGAAGUAAGAGCAGCUAUUGGAAUAAUAAUAUUAGGAUAAAAUAUGAAAUAAUGUAAAUAUUUAGAAUUAAAAAGUACUUUGAUGUAAUUUAAAUGUUUUUUGUCAUACUUUGUGAAGUGUUCAAAGGCAUGGACAUUGGCAUCAAAGUUGUGCUGCCGAUGCACUGUUCUUCGGACCCCGUUUCGCAUAUCAACGGGUUCCCGAUUACACUGUUAAUAACAGUAAAAUUAGAGAUUAAGUUAAUUAAUUGUAAUUACAGGGCAGAAUCAAGAAAAUGCAUAUAUAAAAAAUAUAAAAAUAUAUUACUUGAAUGUUUUGGGAGGAAAUUUUGGUACAGGGCCACUUAAGUUGUUGUAAGAUAAAUCCCUGAAAUUACAGACAAACACACAUUGAAUUAGCAAGAAUUUAAAAAAUAAAAAAAUUAUGGCCACUGAAUUAAAAGAAGGAAAAUGAGAAAUUACAAGAGAGAAAGCUGAGUCAUGUUGGUUAGUGACAUUGGAAUCUCUCCAGAGAGACUGUUAUUGUUGAGCCUCCUGAUCAAAAAAAUAAUAAAAUUAAAAAUUAUAUAAACUGAAGCUCAUUUUUUUAUUUUAUUUUUUUAAAUAAAAUUGAGAUUUUUAAAUUCUUACAAAUAUUGAAGGGUUUUGAGGUGUCCUAAAGGAGGAGGAAUAUUCCCAGUGAAGAAGUUGUUUGAAAGAUCAAGUGUUUGAAGCUUCAAAAGCUUCCCAACCUCACCUGGGAUUGGUCCUGUUAUAUUAUUAUUCUGCAAUAAUCUACAAAUAAAAUAAAUAAAUACAUAAAAAUAAAAAAUUCAUCAAACACUAUAUAUAUGUUCUUAGAGAAAAAUAGAAAAAAAAAAAAUGUUACUGCUUACAUAAUCUGAAGAUUUGUCAAAUUCCCAAUGCUGGGAGAAAGAGUACCAGAUAAAUUCUGACUAGGAGUUCCUCUGCAUUAAAAAAUAAAAAAAUAAAAACGCAAUCUUUAAACCUAAUUAACAUCCUUAAUCACAUCAAAAUUAGUUUAAGGAGGAAAUAUAUAUAUAUAUAUAAAGAUAGUAAUUACUUACAGGCCAAUGACAAGAUUGUUGGAAGAACAAGUGACCAUAGUCCAGCUGCAAGGAUCAACAGCAUCUCUAUCCCAAUUAUCAAGAACCCCAUGUGGAUCCCUUAAUCCACCUUUUAUCCCCAUUAAUGCUUCCACUAAUUCAAAAUCCAAGAUUAGUUCAUUACACACCACCCCAUUUCUUUAAUUAAUUAAAUACCCUUAUUUUUCUCUUUUUUAAAAAAAAAAAAAAAAAAAAAAAAAAAAGAUCAGUUUUUUACCUUCAAAGUUAACACCUUUAGGGGAAAGAAGAGCAGCUGCAGAGGUGAGAAAGCAUAGAAAAAUGAUGAAAAAGAAUGGUGUAUGCGUAUCCAUUUUUCUCUUACAGAAGCUUGCUGUAAUAAUGAAUUAUGUUCUUGUUCUUGGUGGUGAUUUAGAUUGGCAAAGGGUUAUUUGAAAUUUCAUUAUUGUGUUGUGUUGUGUUGUGUUCAAGAAAAGCUCAGUCUUUUUUUAUGUCGUGUAAAGGGAACUAGCAUGCCUGUCACGGGUCAGGAGUUUUGUCAAGAAUAUAGUUUUUUAUUUUUUAUUAUUUUUUAUUAUUUUUUUAUUUUUGAUUUUUUUACUAACUAAAAGUUAACCUAACAUGGGAUGAAUUCUACUAAAAGACUGUGUCUUUAUCCGUGUUAAUCAUGUAUCUUCAUUUAACAUAUGUUAUUGUGCAAAUUGGAAUGUAAUUUCUGAGUUACAACGUUUUCAAAUCGAAAAGAAAAAAAAUAUCGAUUUCUAAAUAAUAAAGUUCUGAUUUAUUUCGAUUUCUCCAAACUUUUUUCUUGGAUUGCAAUUACAAUGUUAUAUGAAAUCCCAAUUUUUAUUUCCAAUAGUAGUUUCGAUUCAUUUUUUGACAAUUCCAGUUUCGGGACAGAUCAUUUUUUUUGUUCCAUUUUCAAAAUUUUAAUUUCCGAUUUUUUCGAAAUAUUUUCACUGAAAUAUUCCACUCCUAACACCCCUCCCACACACACUAGUGUGUCUUCCGGAGAAAUUUUUAUUAUAUUCAAUAUUUCAAUUUUUUUGAUAUUUGAAUAGAAAUAAAGACAAAAUAAUGCCGAGACAAAAUAAAUCCAAAUAUAUCUUAAUGGGGGCCAUAUAUAAGUCAUUAGGUAGCCAUAUUAUUGCAUGGAAAUAUGUAAUCUGUGGUUCAGUACAACUUAAUCUUGUCUUUAUCUCUCUUAACUUUACAUACAGUAAUUUUCGUAUAAUUUAUAUAUGAUGCUGUACGUAUAAUAAUAAAUUAAUAAUUAAUGGGAAAGGACAGAGGGGAAUCCAACAUUCCCUGAGUUUGGCCAUUCAAUAAAAUCCUAAAGUGUAAUUUAUAUUUUAAAGAAUAAUUUUAGAAUCUCGAUAAAAUUGUCUUUGAUAUUGGUAAUGGUUUUGGUCACCUUCCACAUUACCAUUAUUCAAUUAAAAAUAAUAUUUCAAUUACUUUUCUUUUAAAUUAAUUAAUUAAAAAUAAAUAAAAAAAAAAGAUAAAAAGCGCAUGUGCAAAAGAGAAGCACUUUAGAAAAAUAAAGCACGCCUUCUCUGUGUUAGACUUUAGUAGCAUUAUUAAGAGUAGAAUAUUGCUUAGAUUGAGCCCCAUUUGCAGCGCGUGGGCAUCAUGCUAUUUUAUUGUUGUGAAUUAUGAUUAUAGGCGCACAUAUAUUUUUUUUUUUUUAUGAACAUUAUUAAAAAAAAAAUCAAAUGAGUUAAAUGGAAAAAAUGGAAAAAUCAAACCUUUUAUUUUUUAUUUUUUAUGAACAUUAGUUAAUCAACAAUUAAAUGGAAAAAUGUUUUGAUUUAAUUUAUUAAUUUAAAAAGGAAAUUAGAAACCCCUUCUCAUUGGAUAAUUAAAGAUUAUACUCAUAAUUUGUAGAGAUUAAGGAUAAUUAUUAUAGUAUUAGGCAGAGACUGUAAAUAUAUCACUAUACAGUGGAAAUAUUGCCUCUCCCUCAGUGGGAUUCCAACUCUUACAUGUUGACUGGUCAAAAGAAAAAAGGAAUGUUAUCUCCCCCAAAAAAAAGAAUUAAAAACAAAAUAAAGAAAAAGAAAGGAAAAGUUUAUAUUCCUGUAAGGGAGAAAUUAGUGGUUGGAUGAUUGGAGCAAUUGCGCUCGUGUCAAUUGAUCAAAGUUUGAAUUCUCAUACUAAUAAUUGUUAGGUCGAGCUUGUCACACAUAAUUAUUAUAGUGUAGUUUACGUGUCUUGUAUAAUUUGCAAGUUAUUAUACGAGAGUGUAAUUUUACCCUAUGCAUCUGAAUAUUUAUGUACUUUGUUUAAUUUAUUUUGAGAAAAAAAAAUAAAAGAAUAUAAUAGAGUUUCUAAAUUUGAAAAUAUCUGAAUUAUUACAAGAAAUAAGACAAAGGGCAUUAAUGUUGUGAAAAAGAAAGUCAUAUUUAUUACAAAAAAGAAACCCAAACCCUAUAGUGGUUGGAUGGGGCAUGCACAUAUGAGAAUCAUCAAAUUAUUAUGUUGCAUCGAAUAAAGUAUAUAACUACAUUCUUCAUCCCAUUAAUUAUAACUCUCUUUUAUUAUAUUUAUUUAUUUUAAAAAUUAAUUAAUCACCAAUAAUAAAGCAAAAUGUAAACUAUAUGUAAGAGAGAGAGAGAGAGAGAGUAGGACAGGAUUGGACAUAUUGAGGAAGACUGAACAAGAAAAUGAAACCAAAUUCUGGGCAAGAGAGAGAAGAAAUUGACCAAACAACAUGAAAAAAAACACAGUGCUUGAAAUAUGAAAAUGACAAAAAUAUCCACUCAGUUAGGUCUGAUUAUUUGGAGCACAGCUGGGCAUAAUUGUCUCUUUCCUCCUAAUACCCCCGACAUACGGCCCAGAAAAAAGCCCAUUCAACAAAAUAUAAAUUAUUAUUUUUAAUAUUAUAAUAUAAUAAUAAUAAAAUAUUUUAAAAAAAAAAAAGGAGGAAUUACUUGUGUUAGUGGAUGCUUUGGGGACCAUUACCUCCAAACUAGUGCAUACAAAAAAAGCCUAUGCCUUGAUCUUUGCUGGGGCACCCCACCCUUUUAUUUUAUUUAUUUAUUUCCAUGAAAAAAUAAAGUGUUAUUUCAUAAAUAUGAAAAUUUAUUAUUAUUUUUUUUAUUUUUUUAUUCAUAUUUGAAAUAUUGUAGUCCAAUAAAUCGAUACACUUGUUACUACUUUCUACAUUUUAAAAAUUAAUUAUAAAAAUAAGACGUAACAGCUUAUCAAGUCUUAUUAGACGUAAGAACUUAUCAGUCGGGCUUAGGGGUGAAAGUCGGAUGGAUCGGAUCGGAAUUAGCCUUUUCGGAAAAUUUCCAAAAAAAUUCGGAAGUACAAAAUCAAUUCCAAUUCCAUUUCCAAAAUUUUCGGAAUCUAAAAAUUCAUUCCAAUUCCAAAAGGCCCGGAAAUUUCGGAAUUUCGGAAAAAAAUCGGAAAUCACAUAAGCUUUAAAAUUUCAAAACUUAGCCGAAAUUUUCUAAAAUGUUCAUAAUUUUUUCAAAAAUAAGAGCAUCCACGUCGAUAAAAGUAAAACUAAUAACUACAAAAUUUCAGUUCAAAAAAAUAAAUAAAAAUAAACACAUCAUAAUAUCCAAUAAAACUUCUAACAACAAUUCAUUAUGUCAAAAUCCUAAAACAAAACUUAUAGGUUUAUUUUUCGGAAAAUAAGUAUUAUAUAAUAUAUACUAUUUAUAGGUGUAUUUUUCGGAAAAAAAUCGAAAUUUUUGGGAAUUAAUUUUGGAAUUAAAUCGGAUCGGAAAUCGGAAAUUCCAAAUUUAUUUUAUAUAAUUCCAAUUACAAUCCAAAAAAAUCGGAAAAUUUCGGAAAUCGGAAUUUCGGAAGUUGGAAUGAAAAAAGUUGUUCCAAAACCGGAACUUUUCGGAUCGGAACCGGCGGAAAUUGGAAAAUCCGUUCCAACUUGCACCCCUAGUCGGGCUCUAAUGGUAUCUAAUUUGUCAUUUUACAAUUAAUAUUAAUUUUACAAUUAUCAUUCUUAAUUAAUAUAAUUAAUUACACUAGGCAUAUAGCAUCUACAAGAACAAUGUUACUGCAGUAAAAAAAAGAAUUACAUGGUCCCCCAUUUCUUCUUAUACUUGGAAACAAAAGAUGCAGAGUGCACUCCCGGAGUAACAGCUACUAAUCAUAACAGCUUGAUUGCAUUUUGUCAAUUUGACAGUUCAUAUAUAGUACUUACUCUGCAAUCUGCAUUAUCUCUUUCUUUUUUUCUUUUUUCUUUUUUUUUUUUCAUUUAUUUUUCGAAUAUAUAUAUAUAUAUACAGCAAAAAAUUCCAGUUACAUCUGAUUUUUUUUUUCGAAAUAUUAAGAGAGAUUUCACAUUGAGAAAGAUACGUCUCACAUGCGAUCGAACGUAGGGUCACGAUCAUGCGUUUUGCUCAUGGAAGUGUCUCGAUCACAUGUGGUAACCAUAGUUAGGUUAAUUUCAAGAACCAUUUCACAUAUAUAUAUACAUUCUUGGUCCAUGUAAGAAUGGGGGUGGAUAUAGAGACAAAGAAGGGGGGCCAUAACUAAAAUGUCCAGAACACAGAUGAUUGGUCGUUUUCUCUGCUUGUAUGUAUAUGUAAGUAUAUACAUGCAUACAGUGAAUCUGUUUCUAUAUGCAAAAAUAAGAUUGAAGCUAUCAUCAACAUACUCAGGUACAAGGACUGCAUGAUUAGAAUCCUCAAAAAUAAAACAUAAGAUAAUCGAACAUUAUACGUAAAUCGAAUAUUACUCCAAUCGCAAAUAAUGGAAUAAAAAAGAUGCUACUGGAUAGAAUCUUAUCCUCUUUAAAACAUGCCUACAGAAGGUUUUAAUGUGAUAAUCUCAUCCUUGAAAACUUGGAUGUUAACUACAGGCUUUCAGAGAUAGCAUCUGAAACAUGUAUCAAAGUUCAACAUGAACUCAUUACAAAAAGAUCGAGAAAAAAAAAAAAAAAAAAAAAAACGAGCAGUUACCACGAAAAAUCAAGAUUCCGGGAUCAUUUCAUUGGUUUAUUCAUAUCAAAAUUCAGACAUGCUCAAAUAUAAAUAACUGGCCAACAGUUCAAAACAAAAACAUACCAACUCAUGGUGUUCCAAGAAACAGAAUCAAACCUAAAUUGAUGCUACACAGCCACGGCCACAGCUUUAGUCUUGGUUCCACGAGAUUUCCUCGAAUAAAACAGGUCCAAAACAUCGGCAUGGCUUUUAAUGUAGCUGGGGCAUUUCGAAAGGAAGUCCUGUGCUUCGCUCUUCCUUCCGGCUUUCAGAUACGCGUCGAAUAACCGAAGGAACACGUUAGUUGAUGGAAAUCUUUUCGACGACAUUGCUUGUGAAAAUACAAUCGCCUCUUCAGCAGAACCAGUCUUGGAGAAAUACUUAACAAACGAAUCCAAAUCGGGAGCGUAAUCUUGAUUCUUCAUCAUAGUCAUAACAUCUAUAGCUUCUUUGAAGUACUUUCUUUCAGUCAAUAGCUUGCUUGUCAAUGUUUUGUAUGUUGCAUUCCAAGGACUUAACCCUUUAUCAUUCACCAUCUCUGAAACAAACUUGUAUGCAUCGAAUGGUUUAUUAUUCCGACAGUAAGUACCGACCAGCAAGUCUAACAAUGGCUGUGCACCAAACGAGGCUCCUUCCUUUUCAACCAUCUCCCGGAAACUUCUAGAAGCUUCAUCCAUAUUGCAAGCCUCGCAAUAUCCUUUAAUUAAAGACACCCAUGUUCCAUAAACUGAAUCAUUUUGAGUAGUCGAUAAGUUAUCCAUAAACUCUCGCGCUUCCUCUGUUUUCCCACCUUUGCUAAGCUUAAAGGCAAUCUUAGAUCGUGACGAAUCACUGGGUACAUAACCAUGCUCCUCCAUUGCCGACAGUAUACCAUUGCACUCUGCCAUUUUACCAACACUGGUUAAAGACUUGAUAAUCGAAUCAAGGUUACUAUCGGUCAAAACAUUACCGCUGGCCUUAAAUAUCUCCAAGACUCUCGAGAACAAGUCCAUAUCCAAUUCUUCGCCUACAACAAUUUUCUUCAAAAGGAAAAUGCAGUCCGGCGACGAAGGCUUGUUCCCUCCAAUCAUUGCAAAUUCGUACAAAUCCACAGCAUCCUUCAUCAUUUUCCUCUUGACAAAACUCUCCAAGAUACGAACAUACGUAUCCCUCUGCAUCUCAUGCCCUUCACUUCUCAUUUCAUUAACAAACCUCCAAAACUUCUCAGUGUGAUCUUCUUUACUCAACACCCUAGCCAUUGCAUUAUACGAUCGUUGAUCGUGCUCGAAAAGACUGCUUCCCUCCAGCCACCUAAAGAAAAUCAACGCUUUAUUGGGAUCGAUUUCAAGAUUCUCCAACACCUUCGUAACCAGAUCACUCGAGAACUUCGCACCGACUUCCAGCAGCUGCUUUUCCACAUCAUCUCCCCACAGUUCACUCUUAACUAUCUUAGUAAUACUCGAACAAAUCUUUUCAAGGUCAUUUAAUUUGCUCGCGUUAUUUUUCGAACCAGAAGCAAACAACUCAUUUAACUUCUCAACAUCACUACUCAACCCAUCCUUCUGGAAUUUCUCCGACAUUUCAAUAAACGCACCCUUCGACACACCGAACCCUUUCGUUUUCAUCGUCUCGAUCAUAUCCCAAGUCUCGCCCCUUUCUCUCCCUUUUUUUNNNNNNNNNNNNNNNNNNNNNNNNNNNNNNNNNNNNNNNNNNNNNNNNNNNNNNNNNNNNNNNNNNNNNNNNNNNNNNNNNNNNNNNNNNNNNNNNNNNNCCACUAAUUGAACAGCUUCAUCUGACAGGGGUUUGGGCGGAUAAACGGCGGGCUCAGGGGACGACGCGAAAUGAUGACGCAAGGGGAAGGGUUUGGGGGUCACGUGAGGUGCGCGUGGGUGGAGAAUUGCAGAAGUGAAGGAGCGUAGAUGGUGUACCUGAGCAACGCGCGGCUGAGAUGGAGCGUGGCAGCGGAGGAGAAGCAACCGCAGCCAUUGAUUUCUCAUAGUUACAGUCAGAUCGCGACGUCGUUUUUCUUCGGAGCAGAGUGGAGAAGAGAAAGCUCACUAGUUCAGGGUUUUUUCGAGAUUGUCGAUUAGGGUUUUUGGAGACCGUACAGUAGUAAAUACCCAAAUUGACCCCAAAGAAAUAAUUCGUGUUCAUAUAAUAUUAUUUAAAUUAAUUUGACUUAUCAUAUAAUAAUAUACGAUCUCGGCAAAAGAUGAAAUUAAUCUUCAAAUAUCAAAAUAAUUUCAUGAACUAGAGUUGAUUAUUUAGAAUAUUAAAGACGAAAAUGAAUACUAAAUGAGAACAUUACAAUAUCAAGAAAUUAUUAACAUUGGAAUACAAUCGCCAUGGUUUUCAGCUUAACGGAUUAUUGGCGGGUGAGUAGAAGUCGAGGAUUCGAAUUUUUCAAACGUUGCUCUUGAUCAAAAAAUCUAAACUCGAAAACUUCAACAAAGAUGAAGCUCUCAUUUGUUGAUUCAUGUUGCUUUCUUCACAGCAUCAGUCAACCGCACCAACCUAUGCCACAAAACAAUCCCGAGAUUAUAAGUCGAAAUUAAGAAAACGCCCAUCCGAGAAAAUCGUAAUUAUUAUCAGAAUUUAUAAAAAAAGUUGGGCGUUGUUGAAAUGAUCGGUUAUAUAUUUACAUACCUCCUGCAUCGAUUCUUUGGUAGCUAACGAAAAUCUGGAUAUAGAGAAAAAUUAGAAAUGGAAGGAUAAAUUCAACAUAAAUCCGUUCGUUCUACUGAAGAUCGGGAAAAAAGACGAGGAGAAAUCAAGAUUCCGGGAUGAUUGUAUUGGUUUAUUCAUAUAAAAAAAAUUCAGACAUGUUCCACUACAAAUAACUGGAAAACAGCAAAGGAGGCAACAAUAAAUUUUCAAAAAAUAAAUAAAGAAAUCGAAGAAUUGAAUCGAAAAUGCUAUACAGCCACAGCUUCACUCUCGAUUCCCGAACAUUUCCUCAAAUAAAACAGGUCCAAAACAUCGGCAUGGUUUUCAACGUAGCUAGGGAAUUUCAAAAGGAAAUCCCGUGCCACACUCUCCCUUCCAGCUCUACGAUACUCCUCAAAUAACCGGAUAAACACGACAGUAGUUGACGAAAAUCUAUCCAACGGCACCGCUUGUGAGAACACAAUCGCGUCUUCAGCAGAACCAGUCUCCGACAGAUACUCAACAAACGGAUCCAAAUCGGGCUUGCGGGCUUUAUACUCGUCCAACUUCAUCAUAGUCAUCACAUCUAUAGCUUCUUUGAAGUAAUUCUCAGCCAAUAGUUUGCUAGCCAACGCUUUGCACGUUGAAUUCCAACGGCUUACGCCUUUACCAUUCACCAUUUCAGCAACAAACUUGUACGCAUCCAACGGUUUAUUUUCCCGACAAUAAGCACCGACCAACAAGUCUAAUGCGUGUCCGCCCCACGAGGCGCCUCCUUUCUCAACCAUUGCACGGAAACUUCUAGAAGCUCCAUCAAAAUCGCGAGCCUCGCAAUACCCGUUGACUAAACAUACCCAAGUUCCAUAACAUGAAAUGUUUCCGGAAGCCGAUAAGUUCUUCGAUUGUGAAGAUUCACCAAGUACAAAACCAUGCUCCUCCAUUGCCAACAAUACUCUACCGCACUCCGCCAUUUUACCAACACUAGGCACUAGCUAACGACGUUAUAACCGAAUCCAAAUCACUAAAGGUCAAAACAUUUCCGCGGGCCUUUGAUACCACCAAGGAUUUCGAGAAUAAGUCCAUAUCCAAUUCUUCGCCGCCGACAAUUUUCUUUAAAAGGAAAAUGCGGUCUUCCAGAGAAGGCUUAUCCCAUCCAACCAUUGCGAAUUCAUACAAAUCGACAGCAUCCUUCAUCAUUUUCCUCUCGACAAAACGCUCCACGAUAUCAACAUAGGUAUACCUCUCCAUCGUGUGCCCUUCGUUUCUCAUUUCAUCAAGGAACCUCCAAAAUGUUCGAGUAUGAUCUUCUUCACUCAACACCCUAGCCAUUGAGUUAUACGUCCGUCGAUCGUGCUUGAAGAGAUUUCUUUCCACAAGCCACCUAAAGAAAAUCCAGGCUCUAUCGGGACCCGUUUCGGAAUCCACCAACACCAUCGAAACCAGACAACUGCAAAGCUCCACACCUAGUUCCUGCAGCUGCUGUUCCACAUCAUCUCCCCACGCUUUGACGAUCGCAGUAACGGCAGAACUGUGCAUGUCAGCGUAUACCCACUCCAACCUCUCGAGAUCACUACACAACCCGUGUCGAUAGACGUUCUCGGAAACUACAUCGAACGCGCUCUCCGACACAGCGUACCCUUCCGAAUACAUAGCCUCGAUCACGUACCAAGCGUCCUUCACGAGACCACGGCGGCUGAUAAACUUAAGCAGCAAAUUGUACGCCUUUGAGCUCAAUUUCACGUUCCCCUCCCCAAUUACCCAACAGCAAAUCAUGAAAUCCAAAUUUCUAUUCUCACUAUCGUAAGCCAAAUCGAAAACCCUAGCGCUAAAUGCCUCGCUCUGAGUCUCGAAAACCCAAGCGCUAAUCCGCUCCGCGACGCCUUCAUCGGUGGCCGGAUGCCCUAGGACACUCAAAAUCAAAUCAUCCGUCGGGGACACGUUCUUAGAAUCUAAAUCUAAGUUGAUCUCGUCGUCGCAACUCCCGGAUUUAGCAAAUGACUCUACUAAUAGAGUAGCUUCAUCGGACAAGGGUUCGGGCGGACGAACGGCGGACUCAGGGGACGACGUGAAUUGAUGACGGAAGGGGGAGGGUUUUGGGGUCACGUGAGGCGCGCGUGGGUGGAGAAUUGCAGAAGUGAAGGAGCGGAGGUGAUUUACCUGAGAUGGAGCGUGGCAGCGGAGGAGAAGCACGCGCAGCCAUUGAUUUCUCAUAGUUGCAGACGGAUCGCGGCGGGGUUUUGUUUUUCUUUCUGAGCAAGGUGGUGAAGAGAACGACUGUAUGUAUAUUAAUUAGUAAAUAACCCAACAGACCCCAAAUCAAUAAUUUAUUUCAUUUAUAAUUAUAUUAAUUAUUAGUAUAUGCUACGAUUGAAAUAUAUAAAAGAAAUAAACGCUGGACAACCCUAAAAAACCCUAAUAGUAUUUCUGUAAUUAUUUAUUUUUAAUAUUUUUUCUGUACUAAUUUGCAACAAUUAUCAAUCUCCUAUUUUUCAUCAAUAUAUCUCAAAUCUUAAUAUAUAAAGAUCGAAAUUUGAUUUGUUAAAUCUAAACCUAUAUAUUUGGAUUAUAAAUCUUAAUAUGUAAGAUUUAAAAAGCUAAUGUUAUAUAAAAUAUGAGUAAUACUACAUUAUUAAAUUUUACUAUGUUAAUGUACUAUAUUAUAAAAUAGGAGUAAAACUACAUUACUAAAUUGAUUUUUUUUUUUCACUUUUGAAUUCAUAUUCCGUGCAUCGCACGGGGAAAAAAUGCUAAUAUCAAAUAAUACAAUUUACUUGGAAAAUCCACGUGGAAAAAUUAGUACUUUUUUUCGGAAGGAAAGAUUUUUUUAAUAAAAUUAAAAAUAAAUAGUUUUUUUUUUUUAUGAAAAAAUAAAUAGUUAAUAUUGAUGCGUUAUCACUAUCACCAAUGUUUAGGUUAACAUUGAAUUUGAUAUUGGAGAUUCUUUGGAUUUAAUUUUUGGAUUAUAUUUAAGGAUUUUAAAUGAUUUUCAAAUAAUUUAAUUUAAAUGUCAUCAAUAAAUGAUAUUUUUUAUGGAAUGGUUAUUGAUUAUUAUGAAUUAAGAUCUUUAACUUCAAAUUCUUAAUUACAAGUGACAAUUAUUUUGCUUACAUAGUGCUUGAAUUUCUGAUCUUACGAGAUGAAAGAAAGAGACAAGGAUAAAUUACGAAAUCCCUCAAAAUUACAAAAAACACCCACAUCUAUAUGUAAUUAUCAAAAUUCCCAGACAUUUGUUUAUGUUUACGAUGUGAUUUUUCACCGAAUCUUUUUUAUUACAGAGAAUAUUUCGCAAAAAUAUCAAUUCUACCACUGCACACGUGGUAUUUCUGUAUGCUACUAUUUAAAGACAAAACUUACCCUCAUAGGUAGAAUCGGCAUUUUGAAGAAUAUUCCAUGGAUUCAAAAAGAUUCCGUGAAAAAAUGGGGGUUGGUGUAAAGACGGUAACAAACGUUAGGAGGAUUUCGGUAAUUACGGAUAAGUGGGGGUGAUUUUCGUAAUUCAGCCCAAGGAGGGUUUUCGUAAUUUUACCGAAGAAAAUAAAGAAAGCUAAAAAAAAACGAUAUUUAUUAGAUCAAAAAGAGAACAUUACAAAAUCAUGUUUCCUCACACAGAUGAGAAAAGAAGAAACAUGCACAAGAAAUUUCCAAAUACCUAACACAGGAGCAACCAAACAUUGCCCCUUCAUCAAAUCUAAACUCCAAAACUUCAAACAAAUAACUCGAAAAAAAAAGAGACAAAUUAAAAAUUAAGAAACCGGAGACGAAAAAAGUGAAGCUCUCAUUUGUUCAUCCCGGUUGCGUUCUUGACAGCGUCGACUGCACCUUGCGCCUUGGCCUGAGCCUGCUGUCCAAUCUAUACAACACAACCAAUUAAAUACCCAUCCAAUUAAAUAGUAAUUAUGAUAUAUUUAUUUAUAUAUAAAUAAAAUAAAAAAUUGUUUCGAGAGUCGAAUAUUUAUAUAUACAUACCUCCUGCAUCGAUUCUUUGGCAGACUGUGCAGCAUUGCUUGCCUUCUCCAUCAUCUGGUUGCCCUUUUCCUGCAUUCAACACAUUCACAUUAUUCAGCUUCUAUAUGUAUAUGUAUGUAUGUAUAUAUAUAUAUGGGGGGGUGGGGGUGGGGGGUGGGGGGUGGGGGGUAAACCUCAGCUUGGCCCUUGGUCUGGCCAGCUUGGUAGCUCAUGUUGUUGGAGUUAUCCAUUUUCUUGAUUAUGAAAAUCUGAUUAUACAGAAAAUUAAAAGCAGAGAGAAGAGUGUAUUGAAAUACUAAAUUUGUUUGUGAUUUGAAAACAUAUGUUGGCUGUGGUAUUUAUACUAAGUGAGGCCUAGUUAAGAUGUUGACACGUGUCACAUUCUGUAUUCGACAUUUGACUCCCUAUUAUAAUUCGCCACGUGUCAAUCCACAGAAGCAUAUGAAUCAAUGUCCAUUGGCUGGCUGCCUAUUCACUGGGAAGAGCUAUUCAAAAGGGUAAUAAAAUAAACUAGGAUUAUAUUUAGGGCAAAUUACGGCCACCCCUUAGUUAUUGUCAAAUUAGGAAAACUCCCUCAUUUUUGGGUAAUUACAGCCACCUCCUCAACUAUGUAUUAUCUUACAAAAAACCCCUCUAGAGGUAAAUUUUAGGAAUGUUAAUUCGGUAAAAUCGAACCGAAUUUUCGGUACGCCAACAUUUCAUACUGUUUACUGAACUAAAUAAACGAUGUGUUCCGAUAAAUAAUCGAAUUAAAUAAAUUUUAUGUAAAAAUAUUCAAAAGGAGGGGAUUGGUUGUAAUUACCCAAACAAGAGGGUUUUUUUUGUAAUUUGGCCAUACCUCAAGGGUGGCCGUAAUUUGCCCUAUUUAUUAUUAAUAAAUGUAUAAACCAGCAAAAAAAAACUUUUUAAAAUGCAUUUUUUAACUUUGAAUUGCAAAUUUACUAAAAGGUGCUUCUCCCCUAUUUUAACAAGCUUUUAGAAUGGAGCUGCAAAUGAGUGCCUGAUAACAUUGCAAAAUCGAUGUCUACGUAAACGUAAAGAUUCACAAUACCUGCCAAAAAAAAUAAACCCGAAGCACCGUUUUGUCGAGACGUCGUCAAUUUCUAGUUAGAAUUACAUAUUCAGUUGCUGGAUUUGUUUGUAGAUACUUUUCGAAAUCAAUCCUCUCUCGACCAUACUUUUCCACAACACGUCUAACGAGCCGCUAUCAUUCGCGUACGAAGCGUUAAUACUUUUGAAUAUUUUCAAAGUCACCAUCAAUCUCCUCUUAUACAUUUCGUCGAACAAAGCCGAAGCAGAUACAGCAUCGCCACAUCUCGAAUACGCAUAAGCCAGAUUAGUAUAUAUAACAGCAUCUCCUAAUAUGCCCUUCGUCUGCAUAUUUACGAACACCCUUCGAGCACAGUCGAUUCUUUCUUUCUUACACAGCCUCCGAAUUAUCGCCCGAUAAACCGUGACAUCAGCACAGAGACCCUUUUCCACCAACUCGUCCGGCAGUUUCAAGACAGCCUCGUCGUCGUUUAAAAAAUCCACAAGCCAUGAAUAUACGCAAUAACUCGGAGAAAAUCCAGAGCCGAUCAUAUCGAGUAAAAUCUCUUUCGCACUUAUUACAUCCCUUGAUUUGCAGAAUCCAUGAAUCAAUGCCUUGUAAGUGAAUUCAUCGGGUUUUAAUCCGGCCUCCAACAUCUUGUUCUUGAUUUUCGAAGCGGAUUUCAUAUCUCCGAUCUUGCAAUACGCAUUGAUUAAUGUAUUGCACGUGACAUUAUCCGCUUCGAUUUUUCUGCCACUCAUUUCAUUCAACAGUUUAUUCGCAUCUUGUAUCCGCCCCUCUUCGCAUAAUUUCCGUAAAAUUGAAUUAUAAGUCACCACCCCAACGUACAACCCUUUCGCCUCCAUUGUACCACGAAGCGCUAAUGCUUCGUUUAUAUCACCAACUCUGCAAUACCCGUCGAUCAAAGUAGUAUACGUCACAUGGUUCGGAGAAACACGCGUAAUAAUAUCAUUAAAAAGCCUCAAAGCCUCUCUCAUUCUGCCUUCUCUACAAUAACUAUAAAUCAGCGAAUUAUAAGUUAUAAUAUCGGGACUUACUCCUCCUCUUUCCAUCCUAUCUUGAACGGAUAAAGCCUCGUAAUGCAUACCCUUUUUGCAGUACAGCGAAAUCAACGUGUUGUACGUGAAAAUAUCCGGAAACACGUUUUUCGACUCCAUUUCACUCAACAAUUCAUCGGCCUUCUCUACAUCCCCGGACUUGGAACAAGCGUGAAUCAAGACAUUAUAGACAUGUAAAUUCGGAACAACCCCAACUUUCAUCAUUUUCUUGUAGACUUUCCACACAGUAUCGGUCAGCCUCUCUUUGACCAACGAAUUAAGAAGCACGGUACAAGCGUGCAAAUGGGGCUUAUAACCACACACGCGCAUAUGAUCAAACACUUGGAGUGCAUCCGGAUUCUUCUUCGAAUUGGCAUAAAAUAUCACCAGCCAGCUCAGAACAUGCGAAUUCACACCCGAGUCACCGUCUCUGUUUACGAGGGCGUUCAAAACAGUCGGAGACGACAAGAAAUCUCUCCGGGCGAUCUUUUCGAGCAAAUUCUGAGCAGUUUUGAGGUGCCUCUGUUUUGUGAGGAUGCAUAUCAUCAACCAAGAAGAUUGCAAGGAAUGCUUGUACUGUGGAAUCGUGUCGACCCAUUUGAAGAAGGACCAUGAAAUUGAAACCGAGUAUGGAGAAAGAUCCAGCAAUGAUUGGUUCAUGACAGAUGACGUCACUAAAGAACCAAUCUUUGGUUUCAAGAGUUUGUCCCAGUACCCCUUUAUUACAACUGCGCAUACUGCUUUAACUAGUCGGCGUUCGCCGCUCGCGGAAAUUAAACCCUCCAUCGACGAAUAAAGAUCUUACUCGAACGACAAGUAGAAAUUUCUAUCUGUCGCUAUGUUUCGUGAAAUCCGUAAAUUAGUGGUGAUAAAGGUAGAAAUUUCUUCGAACAUCAUCGCUGUGUUUGAUUUAAGAAGUGUAACAGAGUGCCAGCUGAAAGCUGAGAGAAGAAGGAAAGGAAUACACUGAAGAAGUUUCAAAAUCUUUUCUUUUCAUUUUUUUUUUCCAAGUUUUUUUCUUAUUUUCUUUGGAUGAAUUAAAAGUUUUUCUUGUUUAAAUACCUGGUUUUCUGUUUACAUCAUGGGCUUUUGUCUCUGUAUUUAUUUCAUUUUAAAAGGCAAUUAAACUUUUCAGGGGUUAAUUACUGCCACCUCCUUGAGGUAAGAUUAAACUACAAAAAGACCCUUUAUGUUUGGAUAAUUACAACAACCCGUAAAACGUUCUCUAGUUUGUACUUGUUUUGUGCAAUAAUGCAGUAUCCGAUACACCAUAAACUAAUAUUUAUAAGUCAAGGGACACAUAUUAAGAUCAUUUCAAAUGGAUCCAAAUUAAAGAAUAUUUCACAUAAUCUAGAAAAUUUACCCAACUAUUCAGGUUUUUGUUAUCAAAUACCGUAAUGUGUUGUCAAAUUCCUUAAUGUGCACAAUUCAUACGUACUUCAAUCAUCACGUGCAUUUUUUUCCAAAAAUAACUGCAAUCUGUUGCUCAACUUUCUUCUUUUUCAUGGUUAUUACUUAUUAGUAGUGGAAAAGUAGAAACCAGAAAUGUAAUAUAUAAGCAAUCCAUAAGUUUAUUGCAACCAGUAGUAAUACAUAUAUCAAUAUCUGAGACUUCAUUACAAACAGCAGUAAUAUAUAUCAAUCUUCACUCCGAUCAAAUUUAUUUUCUCCAACACUAAAGAUAAUAAUAUAAUAUUCCAGUUUUCAAAUAAAAGACACACCGGUGAAAGAAGAAUAUAGUUAUAUAUAGAGAGAUAAUAAAAUCAUUUCUUGGCAGAAACUUCCUCAUCCUCAUUCUCACUCCAGCAGCACUGCAGAGUAGACUUGGGGGACCCACAUCCUCCAUUGCUAGUGAAGCUGCUGUACACCAUUGCUCCUCCAUCACCGAGCUCUUCGAAGCUCUUUUCUCCACACCUAUACCCCUCAAUAUCCAGUGCACCAAACUCGGUAUCGACUUCAUCCCCAGAAACAGAAGAAUGCAAAGACACAGAAAACUUUGCUGGCUUGAAGCAAUCCAGCACCCUCUCCACAAGCUGGCUCAAAUCGUCUCUUUCGAACUCAUACCCAACCGCCUCAAAGCUGGCGUAGCUGAACCCAUCUUCCGGGGUGAUGUGAAUUGUCGAAAUCGCCCCACCUUCAAUCGCAUUCAUGGAGUAGCCACACGGCUCGAAGUCAAAGUCGCAAAUAUCAGAUUCAGGAAGGAUCUUUCUGAUUCCCGAUACCUCAGUCAUGACAGCUGCAGAGCUGGACUGGUUCUUGAAGAAGACGGAGGCUUUCUUCUGGUCCAAAUUGGUCAUGCACAUCUCCAGGGUGUAAACAGGGACCGUUUCGGUCGCUGACGUGGCGGCACAUGCAGAAUACACGUGCCACUUUUCGUACUCAUCUGCACCCCCCAUCACGUAAGCUUUGCUAAUGAGACCCAGUUUGGUGAAAUGUUCAUCAAGAACAACUACUUCUUCGGUGAAGCUCCGGUGGGGAAACGGCUGGGCGCCUGGAAAUAUGAAACUGCCGCGGGUGUAGCGAACGGAACUCACAGUCAGCCCGAGUGUAUCGGCCAUUUUGAGUAUGGGUGGGAUUGAAAGCAGAAGUCUGGUGGUCCCACAAGUUUUCACAAUGAUCUUGUAUGGGUAGACAAAGAGGCUGGACUCGGAUAGGACAUAGGAAUCCACAUCAUCGUUCUUGAGAGAUGAGACAAUGGUGCACUGUGCUGGGUCUAAGAUUUCAUCCAGCUGGCACUUCGAAAGGGAUCGAAGUCCGGACCCAGAAGGGUCAGCAAAUACACCAGGCUCGGAAAAUGAAAUCUCGAGCCUCUUCUCAUAGCCUUCGAAGCCGAUUGCUGAGGCAGGCAUUUCCAUUUCGGCUUAGUGAGAUAAAAGUGAUGGUUCAGAGAGGGAGUAAAAAAGAUGAGGAAGGAAUAAAAUAAAGAGGGCAGAGUUUGAAGGUUGAUGGCUCUAUUCUGUUAAAAUCACUGUAUGUGUGGUUUUAAUUCGACACUUGAUAAAUCUCAGGAAGGCUUGCGAGCGCACUGCAUAAGAAAAACAUAGUACAUUGAUUAGAAUUCGCAUGAUGGUAGACAAUACAAAACAAUGAAUCGACACGGAUAAGAGAGGAAAUGAAAAUUGUAAAUCGGAACUCACGUUGGAGUAUGCAGCAGAUCUGAAUUUCUUGAUUCCACCGUUUGGUCUAACGUCUUCAAUGCUGUAUCCUAGGGGAGCUUCGUAAAACACGGAUCUACUACUGCUAGACUUCUUCCCAGCUUUCGAUUCCAUUAGAACAUUCAAUUAUCCCUGAAAAAGGAAACGCGUGUUAGACGAGAAAACAACAUAACUAGCAAGGGAAAAAUAGCAGCAGAAACAACAAAAAAUAGCAUCAAUUAGCCGGAAAAAAACGCAUUAGGUGCUCUGUAAGAUGCUAAUGAAAUAUUUCAAACAUGAAAAUUAAAUCCCCAGGACUUAUAACCUCUACCUAGUUUCUAUCAAGUCCAGAAACUUCACCAAUUUGAAACACAAUUACCUAAUUUUGAAAUCUCCUUUCGCCUUUAGGUAAAUAGAUUUACAAUUAGAGUGAAACUCAACAAAAACAUUAAUUUGUAUUUAGUCGAUUUUCGCUAAAUAGAUCUGCACAUAUAUUUCACAAAAUCGGAACCACAUUCUGUAGCUAGGGUUUAUUACAUAAGCAUGAGAAAAGAGCACAUGAAAAAUAGAAAGAAAUAUAAAACCAGAAAACCAAAUCGAACACAAAAAAUUCAAAAAAACAUAUGCAAACAACGAGAUCCGAUUAUUGAAAUAAGAACAAAGAAGAAAACGAAAAAAAAAUACAGAGAGCAGAUUAAAGGAUAAACCAGCUACUUACAAUAAUUGGCGAUUGAUGUAUGACGAAUUAUAGCAACCGAUUUGAGAUUAUCUUCUCUUUCCAACAAGAAACAGCUCUCGAUCGAAGGAGAUUAUAGAGAGAGAGAGAGAGAGAGAGAGAGAGAGAGAGAGAGAGAGAGAGAGAGAGAGAGAGAGAGAGAGAAUUCUGGGGUUUCGAUUAGCGGAGGAGCGAAUUAAUGGAGAUUGUGAGGGUUUGAGGUGCUCUUUAAAUAGGGUAGAAGAUGCGUUCUCCACCAGGUCUCGAGGUAAUUACACAUUUACCCUCCGCUUAAAUUUGCCGCUAAUUGUUAUUCUAUGACUAAUUUGCCCCUAACGCUUGGCAUCACGAAAAUAAUUGGUAUAUGAUUCGUUUCCGUAUCUGAUUCUUUUCUUUUUAUGGAUUUACUCUUUCUAUUUUAAUUAAUUCCAUACUUAUCAAAAAAGUGUACAAAUAAAUUUCAUAUUUUAUUUGUAACACUGUGAAUGCAUCAUAAUAACAAUUAAAUAAUUAGAUUUCUUAUUUUAAAAGCACUCAUGAACCUUGGUCAAGUAUAUUUAUAAAUUUAAAUAUUUGAUAAGUUCGUCAAAUAUAAUUUAUUUGAAGAAUUCAUCAGAUUUAAUUUUAUUCUUCAAUUACUUGGACACAAAGUUUUAUGAAUUUUUCUGUUUGCUAUAUAUAAUUCAAAAGCAAGGGAAAAUUAUUUAUUUAAAAAAAUGAUUUACGAAAAUGUAGAUGAAAAAAAAAAUUGGACACCUGGAAUUGCGUUUAGAAUGGAAUUUCCAAAUGCCACGUGGAGGCAGCCCCACGUGUACCCAGCGCAAAUAAUAUAAAGAUUUAUUGAAAUAAAAAAGAGGAGAGAGAGUGGAACGUGCAUAGUUCGACACGUGGACAGCCUGCUAGCCACGGAAAUUUGUGUGGUGGAUCGGAUGAUAUUGGUUUAGGGUUGAUUACAGCCCCACAACUGACCCAUUAAUAAAAAAAUAAUAUUGGCCCAUUUCCCCAUUCAGAUAAAUUAAUUAAAUAUGAAAAAGACAGCUGGGUGUUCAUUUGUCUCUUUCACUUUAUAUUUCCACACUCUUCUAAAAGAAACGGCUGCUUAUUUCUGACCCAAAUUAAUAGGCCCAUCAAUUUCUAGGCCCACCAACCACAAUUAAUUGAUUUAAAUAAGAAAAUGCUCUUUACGGGUUAAUAACUGCUAUUUACCGUUCAAAGUAAAAAACAGUUUAUCUCUCUAAAACCCCUAAAAUUCGAAAUUCUCUCCAAUUACCCCCAUUCCAAAAAUUUCAGAAAAUUUUUUUUUUUUCGAAAAAUUUCGAAAUCAACCAAAAUCGAGCUUGGGCUUCGAUUUUUUCAGGUAAUUUCAACACCUACAUGUGUUAUAUGCAAUGGGUAACUCGAUUUUGCAACCAAUUUCAUGUUUAAAAGCCCUACAAAUCGAUUUGUAGGGCUUUUGAAUUUUUCGGAAGUUAGAGCCAAACGCCCAAACCGGGCGCUGGCUGCAUGAACCGACGCCCAAAGUGGGCGUCCGUUCAUGCUGCCGGCGCCCGGUUUGGGCGUGAAAUGAGUGUUUGGACGCCCGGNNNNNNNNNNNNNNNNNNNNNNNNNNNNNNNNNNNNNNNNNNNNNNNNNNNNNNNNNNNNNNNNNNNNNNNNNNNNNNNNNNNNNNNNNNNNNNNNNNNNNNNNNNNNNNNNNNNNNNNNNNNNNNNNNNNNNNNNNNNNNNNNNNNNNNNNNNNNNNNNNNNNNNNNNNNNNNNNNNNNNNNNNNNNNNNNNNNNNNNNNNNNNNNNNNNNNNNNNNNNNNNNNNNNNNNNNNNNNNNNNNNNNNNNNNNNNNNNNNNNNNNNNNNNNNNNNNNNNNNNNNNNNNNNNNNNNNNNNNNNNNNNNNNNNNNNNNNNNNNNNNNNNNNNNNNNNNNNNNNNNNNNNNNNNNNNNNNNNNNNNNNNNNNNNNNNNNNNNNNNNNNNNNNNNNNNNNNNNNNNNNNNNNNNNNNNNNNNNNNNNNNNNNNNNNNNNNNNNNNNNNNNNNNNNNNNNNNNNNNNNNNNNNNNNNNNNNNNNNNNNNNNNNNNNNNNNNNNNNNNNNNNNNAAUUCGGACUGGGAAAAGGGAAAGGACUCCUGAUUCGUCCUCCUGCAGAUCCGGUGGAGGAGAAUACUGCGGAACGGGAGGGAAGGACACAUAAUAGAAAUGUUACCGGUUCUAAACGUCGUGGGGAACGCACUGGUGCUUUUGUACCCCCACGUACGAUGAUUCAGGAGGAGACAGAGACAGAGGCCGAUCAGGAGAUGGAUGCACCCAUGGAUGCAUAUAUGCAGCCGCAGGAGUACGAGUACGAUCCACAACUACGCUUUCAGCAGAAGUAUCAGUUUCCGGUGCCGGAUUUUCCAUCCGAUGACGAUUACGAGGAUGUUCGGACUCCGACUCCGCCUCUGUGUAGAGUUCGUCCGCGGUCUACCUCUCGGGCAGGCUAGUACUGGUGGCUCAUUCAUUUCCAUAGCCCCGGGAUGCAUUCGUUCGAAAAUGACAUCUGUCACGUCCGUGAUCUCAAUUUCUGACCGCUCACGCAAAUCAUUCAUUAACCCUUCUAGCCUGCCAAUAGCCUGUGACCUGUGGUCGGGAACAGAACCAACACUUUCAUCUAGGGAAUCCCCGAAUCCCGAAAUAAAUGUCCUCCAAAAAAUGUGGACAACCUCUGCAUAAAACACACCACGUCGUGCAUUCAUCUUUGCACGAAUUUCAUGUCUGCAUGGGAGUCCAAGACAUUUCCUCAUAUAACAGACGCAACCGUCUAUGUCUUCAUCCUUCUCAUCGUCCAACAUCUGCAGAGCAUUAUGUGUUACAAUUCCACUGGACAAUAAUUUAAAUACGGGCACGUUGAUCGUAUGGGCCCGAAUCCUCUUUGAUUUUGCAAAAUCGGCUAGUAUCUCGUUAAAUUGAUCUUUCAUCAUUGAGUGAUACUGUGCCCAAAAUGUGUCGAAGCCACCCGUCGACGAUUCCAACCAUCUUUUCAAUGCUCUAUGGUUGCUCUCCACCCUAUUAUGUUAAGAAUAUGCUAUGUUUCAAUAAACUACAUGACAGUAAGUUAAGUAUAUAUAUUUAACAACUUAUAAAUAAAUACCUGCUUGUCGAUGUAUUACCCAAAUGGAAAAUUAGAUCCGUCCAUGCUUUUACAAAUUUCUCUUUGUAUACGAGCCAAGUGUAUUGGAGAUACUCAAUCAAAUCUGGAUAAUUCGCGUACUCGUCCAACAAAGCUGUGUAAUUCAUGGCGAAAUCUUCUUCAGACACUGAUUUUACCAAGGUUUGCCACGUACCAACUACAAAAGCCGUGCCGCGACGCCUACUAUUGCCGAGACAUCUUGAAGCACGACGCCCCACAUUCAUGUUAAUGUGCCAAAGACAUAAGAGAUGAGGUACGGUCGGAAAUACAUUCUCUAGCGCCUUUAUGAGCCCUAACUCUCGAUCCGUCACAAUGGCACUAGGUAGAGUCUGAGGGGGGAAAAGUCUCUUCAGCUUUUGCAACACCCAUGUGUAAUGGUCUUCAUUUUCAUGGCGCAAAAAUGCGACUGCUACAGUAAAAUUUUUCCCGACAGGAGUAACACCAACAAUCUCCAACAAAGGCAAUUUGUACUGAUUGGUUUUGUAAGUACUGUCAAGUAGUAAUACGUACGGAAACUUACUUAACAAUUCGACAGAUUGAGGGUGAGCCCACAUCAAAUCAGUAACUGCAUGUGUUGUUUCAUCAGUACGGAACCACUUGUAAUAGUUAUGCUCCUCAAGCAACCCAAUCAAAUGUUGCAUCACUGUACGGUCACCCCUAGAUAGUCUUUUCAAUUUCGCCUUCUCAUUGUAUAUUUGUUUCGAAUAAGCAUCGAGACCCAAACCAUUUUGUCUCAAGUUAGCCAAAAUCUUCUUGGGCGGCACAUGACUUUGUGACAGAUCACUAAUGAUCUUCGCCUCCUCCUGAGACAAUGCACUCAUCCCAUGCCCGGACUUGUAUAUCGGAACAUGAUUAUGCUUCCCGUAUAUUACUCUGACCCCCCAUCUAUCAUCCCAUCGUAGUUCUCCGACAAUAUGAAAACCACAACCUAUUUUUUUGCUACCGGUCCUUCUCGGACGCGCGUCUGGAUUAGUUGAUGGACAUUCUCGUUUUUCCCCGAAUAGGUCACAAGUCAAAAAAAUCUUUUUUUUAGGACUGCUCCUUUUUACUAUUUUCACAAAAAGACCUCUUGCAACGAACCUCACCCAAACCACUACCUCAUCCUUCGAGUCAAACAACUGAGUAGUGGUAAAAUAAUCGGUAUGAUCAACUUCAAAUGUAGUCGUAUCGUCCUGAAAAAAACGUAAAAAAAUUGAUUUAAAAAAAAAAAAAAAAAAAAAGGUUUAAAAUUCAAAAGCCCAAGUUGGGCGCCCGGCAGUGCGUUUCCCGNNNNNNNNNNNNNNNNNNNNNNNNNNNNNNNNNNNNNNNNNNNNNNNNNNNNNNNNNNNNNNNNNNNNNNNNNNNNNNNNNNNNNNNNNNNNNNNNNNNNNNNNNNNNNNNNNNNNNNNNNNNNNNNNNNNNNNNNNNNNNNNNNNNNNNNNNNNNNNNNNNNNNNNNNNNNNNNNNNNNNNNNNNNNNNNNNNNNNNNNNNNNNNNNNNNNNNNNNNNNNNGAACAAAGCGAAGUAAAAAUUCCGUGUUUUCGAUAGAAAAAAAUGGGCUAAACAAUCGAAAGCCCAACAUGGGCGUGCACUGCACUGUCGGGCGCCCAUGUUGGGCUUUCGAUUGUUUAGCCCAUUUUUUUCGAUCGAAAACACGGAAUUUUUACCUCGCUGUGUUCGCUAUCUCGAUCUUCAUCCGAUGAACUCAUUUAUGUUCGUAUAUCACACCAAUAAGAAUGAUUUGUGAAGAAAUCGUCUUGAGAGCAAUUUUUUUUAGAGAGAGAGAGAGAGAGUUUUUUUGAACGGUAAAUAGCCUUUUUCAAACGGUAAAAAGCAAAUCCCUUUAAAUAUGAAUAUAGUAUUCCCUUUAAUGUAAUCAUAUUUCAACUUUUUAAAUUUUAAAAUCCCUAUUUAUUUUAUAUAGAAUUAUAAAAAAAUUGUGUAUAAUAGCAUUAAUAAACCCCUCUCCAUAAUGUUUUUAAUGCAUUCGGUCUUCCCGAACUUAAAAUUAAAGCUCGGGUAAUGUUGAAAUUAUUUAAUUUUAUUAAAUUGAUACGCAUCUAUAAAAAAAGAGCUUGGUGAUACCGAAUUUGUAGCUAUAUAAUUGUUAUUGAAUUGAAUGUGUGAACAUCAUAUGAAGGUGUUUUAUUACCAAGUGAAUUAAUUAUGGACCAUUUAUAGUUAUUUCGUCCAUUAACAUUUUUUGUAUUGGUCUAGAUAAUGAUAGUAGCAUCUUUUUGCGUGUCAAACAUUAUAUUCUUAAGAUAUUUAAUCAAAUUCAAACUCCACCAUAAUAUUUAUUUGUUAUAAUUUCAAACGAUUCAAAUAGGCCCUAAAUAAUUUGAUUUUUUUUACGAUUUUUAUAAUUAAGAGCAAAUAUGUAUCUCUACAUAAUAAUUAACCGACAAUUGACAUAAAAAUAGGUAUAAAUAAAAUAAAAAUUGUAUACAUCAAAAUAUUAAAUAUUGAAUUACUCAUCUAGAAUAUAUGUACUAUAUAAAAGCAAUAAUAAUAAUAUAAUAUUAUAAUACAGUGAGUUUUCACAAAAAAAUAAUGGCAAGGAAACAAUAUUUAUGAGCUGAUAACCAUACAAAUUUUAACUUAUUUUCUUGGUACGAAGAUGUCAUAAUCAAACACAACAUAGAAUAUAAUUUGGCCACGAUAGUGGUAACAAAUAAAAUAUCUGAUAUUAUUAUUUUUCAUUUUAUUUGUUGUGUAAUAAUGGGCCUGAAGUAAAACUUAUAAUAAAGACCCAUAUGUAUCCAAUUUUUUAAGAAGAAGCCCAAUUUUAAGGAAGUUUAUUUUAUUUGUCGGCUUUAAGUUCCAAUAAAGCCCAGGUCCACUAUCAUAUAUUAUUACCCAAACUUCAUAAUAAUACCAAAAUCACCCCCAAACAAAUACAGAAAUUUCAAUUAGACCCCUCCGAUAGAUUCAUUCACAAAAAUCCCUCAACCAUGGCCUUGCCAACACCAAAGAUAGAAAUCUUCUGCAAACCCAUAUCCGCUCUUUUUACAAACUCUCUGCAAUUUCCAGCUCAAGAUAUUUCAGUUAUGGCGGGCUAGUUCACAGUGAAGGUAAUUUCGCGCCUUUUCUUUUUGAGGAUUUUUUUUUUUACUGGGUUCAUGGAAUGUUCUUAGGGGUUGUAGAAAUAUGGCGUCUUUUCCUAUUUCUUGGAGUGAUGGGCUCUUGAUUGCACAAAAAAGAUUGAAUCUUUCUGUCGGAAAAUCCCAAACACUGUCCGAGAAUCGAUUUACCUUUCUUUCUAGUCCUUCUUUACUGAGUUAUUCCUCUUAUAAACCCCACAGUAGGCUGUUGUGUAGCAACAAGAUUAAGCUAGUGGUCAAUGAUAAGAUAAUUGUCGACACUCAGUUGGUGGUUAAAGGGGGAAAUAAUAAUAAUAAUAAUAAUAAUAGUAGUAGUGGUGGUGGUAAUAGUAAUGAAUUAAGGAGGAAAUUUUCGCUGAGAUUGCGCCCUAGGUUACGAUUAUUAUCGAGGAGAUUGAAAAGGGGUUCGAUCAAGUCGGUGCUCGAUGGGUUCGCAACUUUUUUGCGGAAGAAUAUAAAAAAAGUGACGUUUUCCACUUCGGUCUCGGUUGUGUUGGGCCUUUGCUUCUUGUUUCUCAAAGUAACCGCAAUGCCUACUCCGAAAUCGGUGCCGUAUUCUGAUUUGAUAAGCAGCCUUCAAAGUGGAGGUGUGGCUAAGGUUCUGUUCGAAGAGGGCACUCGUCGGAUAUACUACAAUACGAAUUUAUGGAGCGAGAAAGAUUCCGAGAAUGCGGUAGAUUCUGGGAAUAAUGUAGAUGGAAAAGAUACGUCGGUUAAGAAAAAAAGUCGAAAUUCGCCACCCGCUUGGGAAUUUUUGACGAGAAAGAUUGACCAUGACGAGAGUUACCUUCUGAGUCUUAUGAGGGAGAGGGGAACUUCGUACGGCUCCUCGCCUCAGUCGGCUUUGAUGUCGAUGAGGAGCAUGUUGAUCACCGUGUUGACUUUAUGGAUUCCUUUGACUCCGCUGAUGUGGAUUCUUUACCGGCAACUUUCUGCCGCCAAUAGUCCGGCCAAGAAGAGGCGGCCCGGGAACUUAUUGGUGUCUUUUGAAGAUGUUGAGGGUGUCGAUUCUGCCAAAGUGGAGCUUAUGGAGGUAAUAGUUUCUAUCUUCGUAAGAAUUAUAUUUGUAAGGGUAAAUUACAACCACCCUUGAGGUAUGCUCAAUUUACGAAAAAAAACCCUCAUGUUUGGAUAAUUACAUCUACCCCUCAACUAUGAUUUUUUCUUACACCUCCACCCUUAUGGUGUCAAAUUCAACAUAAUCAUCUAGAUUUCGUGGAAUGUGCUCUAGUUUGUACUCGUUUUGCGUAAAAAUACACUUUCUGAUGCACCACACAAUCUGAUAUAUAUAAGCCAAAAAACACAUAUUAUGAUCAUCUUGCUUCAAAAUGUGGAGUUCGAAUGGGAUAAAACGGGCACAAAAGUGAUAUUAUUCCAUAUAAUCUCGAAGAUUCCACUAAAUUUGAAACCACAAGUGUGGACGUGUAAGAAGAUUUAUAGUUGAGGGGGUGGUUGUAAUUUACCCAAACAGGAGGAGGUUUUCGUAAUUUGACCAUAUCUCAGGGGGUUGGUUGUAAUUUACCCUAUUUGUAAAGAAUUUUGAAGUUUUCGAAUUAUAGAGUCGAUAUAAGAUAUACGUUGUUUGCUUUAGAACUUGAAGAAAAUAGUCGAUAUUUAAGUACCGAUACCGAUGCUAUUUGUUUUUGUUAAUAGAUAGUAUGUUGUCUCCAAGGAGCUAUUAACUACAGCAAGCUAGGUGCCAAAUUACCACGAGGGGUACUGCUCGUGGGCCCCCCAGGUACAGGAAAGACGUUACUAGCACGAGCUGUCGCAGGAGAAGCCGGGGUGCCCUUUUUCUCGGUUUCCGCUAGUGAAUUUGUCGAGUUAUUUGUCGGCAGAGGGGCGGCCCGCAUAAGGGAUCUUUUCAGCGUCGCAAGAAAGAGUGCGCCUUCGAUUAUUUUCAUCGACGAACUCGACGCUGUCGGUGGUAAACGUGGUAGAAGUUUCAAUGACGAAAGAGACCAAACAUUGAACCAGGUAUACAUAUAUAUAUAGAUACAUCUCGUUUUUUUGUUUAAUAUAAUUAAUUAAUUAAUUUUAAAUUUUUUGUAGUUGCUGACGGAAAUGGACGGAUUUGAGUCGGAUAUAAACGUAGUUGUUAUAGCUGCAACGAAUAGACCAGAGGCUUUGGACCCGGCUCUGUGUAGGCCUGGUCGAUUCUCGAGAAAGGUGUAUGUAGGAGAACCAGACGAAGAAGGAAGGAAAAAGAUUUUAGCCAUACAUUUAAAAGGGGUUCCUCUCGAAGAAGAUGUAACCCUAAUUUGCAAUUUGGUUUCGUCUGUUACUCAAGGCUUUGUCGGCGCCGAUCUUGCAAACAUUGUUAACGAAUCUGCCCUUCUUGCUGCUCGCAGAGGUUAGAUCAAUUUUUUUUCAGACGCUCGGUUUUUUUUUUAACUUAAUUGCAAGAACUUGGUGUUUUGCAUUAUCGAUUUUCGGAAAUAGGGUUUUUGGAGAGAAGACAAAAAAUCGAAAGUAUGAUCUUUUUUUUGAAAAUCAAGAAUGUGUGAAUCUGGGAACUAUUAUUCAUUUUAAAUACUCAGCGACUUAAUUAUAAAUUCGGGUAUUUUUCUGAUUUGACAGGGGCUGAAAAAGUAUCGAGGGAAGAUAUAAUGGAAGCUAUAGAAAGAGCGAAAUUCGGAAUAAACGAGAGGCAAACGAGCGCUACUACAAUAAGCAAGGAACUGGUUAAGUUGUUUCCUUGGAUGCCUUCUCUUACGAAUAGAAACAAUUCGAGAAAAGAUCCACAACCUCCACUCGGCUAUCAAACUUUAAGCUAAUAAGUGUACGUUUUCGUUUUUUUUUCUUAAUAUAUUCGAACUCGUACAUUUUGGCUAUCAUUAUCCGAGUGUCUUUCUGCGUUUUUUGAUGAUUAUAUUCCGUGUUUGAAAUUCUUGAUUGAUUAGUUUUUUUCGAAUUACUGGCUAUAACACGUUAUACAUGUAAGUUAUUUUAGUCUUCACUAAUUCGUCUUGCUUUUUUUUUUUUAUAAUUAUUUUACUAAAAUAAUGGCCUUAUUUUGGAUGUAAUAUAUUAUUAUCUAUCUCUUUGUUUAAGCCAUUUGAUGAUGUCUUCAAACUGUUUCAUGAUUGAGAUGGAAUGAUAAAAUAAAUCCCAAUUGUUUUUAUGGACUAAACCUUUUUUGAUUGAAUAAGAAAAAAGUUGCUAUCUUUGUUUCUUUCCAAGUAGAUUCCCAAUAUUUGUUUGCUAAUUGGCCCCUCCAUUUUCUACGAAUUUAUUUAUUCGAUUUUUCAUCGAACAAUAAAAACGGUGCUUGAAUUUGAUUUGAUUAGCAAUCGAAUCAAACUCAAACCAGUUUUAAUUACGCCCAACAAGUAGUCGAGUUUGAGUAAUAUGAUAUUUUAUAAAUAUUUUAUCAGUCUUAUCGAUCGGAAAAAUACGGGUUUAAAGUCUGAUUCGAACUCAAACGAGCUUUCGAUGAUCGAUUUCUAAUCGAGUAAUUUUAUUUGAUUUUUCAUACCUAACAUCUUGCAUGAUUUUGACAUCUCAAUUUCAUAAUCAAGAUUCCUGGAAUGGUAUCUUUUCCUAUCAUUGUUCCGUGUUGUAUUUUCUUUUGAAUUUAAAACCAACCUGAUUGCUACAGGUGGGCCCCACUUCCCAUUGUGUUUGCUCUUUUUUUUUCUUCCAAGAUAAUUGGAAUUUUGAUACUGUUACAAUAAUGCUGAAAAAAAGAUUGUUUUAGUAUAUGAAAUAACAACUUUAAAUCAAUCUUAUAUGCAACAUACAUACAGCACAAAAAACUGAUAAGAAGUUUCUUCUGACACUGUAGAAGAAAUUUGUACACUAAUCAUCAUAUUUUUUGAUUCAUUAAUCUACUUACUUAAAUUAAUUAUCCACUAAUCUUUUUUUACACAAAUUCUUGCACUUCCAACUUCUUUAAUUUUAUAAACUUCAGAACCACGAAGCUGGUGAUCUUAAUCUCCUCAUCAGUUCCUUUCUGCACACAAUCGAGAAAAAAAAAAAUCGACAUUUUAAAACGACGCAAAAUUCGAGUUUUUUUUUUUAAAUAAUUAAAAGAGUUUAUAGUGUGUUUUUUUACCUCAUGAGCAUUUUAUCAGUGGCUGAAGUAGAGAGCAUACCCCUGUUUUCUUCGGCCCGUCUCAUGAGAUACGGCAUAAUUUGAUCGACCGGCCCGAAAGGCAAGUACUUGCUAACCCUAAAUCCGGCAUUUUUCAAACCGAACGAAAGCGCUUCCGACAUUCCGUAUAGCUGAGCGAAUUGUAAACAUGGGCUGUCUUUUUUUAUCCCCAAACUAACCGCUUUCGAAGCUGCUAAUUUGCCUGUCAAAAAAGAGAAAAAAGGUUACGUUAGGUUAUGGCAAAGGGUUAAUUGGAAAAUAAAAUAAAAAAUAAAAUAAUUAUUUACUCGAUUCGAUGUUGUGGGUGGCUAGUACGACGGAUCCACCACCGCCGGAGAUUUCAUCGAGCAAGAACAAAGCGCAUUCGUUGUAGCAAUCGUGAGUCUUUUGGAUGGUAUCAUGGAUGGGGGUCUCAGCCCCCAACGAGGCGGCAAGCCGAUUCUCGCUCGACAUGUAUGCCCCACGCACAAGCUUGAACCCCACCGGCACCCGCAUUCUGUCCGCGGCCUUCUUCGCGGCCGCCAGCCUGUCCUUUGCGUCCUUCAGAUAAGCCUGGAUCGUGUUGAAAAUCAGCGGAUCUUCUUUUUCUCCGGUGCAGGCGGCGGCGGAGUAUUUCACCGCCGCCGAGUAACUAAAAUAGUCUAUCGCUGGCUGAAUAGACGUAUCUUCCGCAUCGAUCAACAGAGGGGUGUUUAUUUGCAAAGCGUGGUCGCAGAUUUUCGUUAGUCUCUCGAAGGCUAAACCGAGAUCUUUCUCUUCUUCGGGGGUUAAAGAUUCCGGCUUUUUCGGUGUGUGGUAAAGCGGGCUCGAAUCGGAAAAUAUCGGGAGUGAUUCGAACUUCCAUGGAAGAUUUAGGGACUUAUCUUUGUUUUCCCAUCUUAGUAGAUCACUUACUCUUUUGAGUAAACUAACAGGACAGAUUGCAGUUAUCUUCACCACCACAAAACUAACCUGUUUGAGCAAAAAAUUACACUAUUAUUACUGAUAUACCCCUCUAAUAAUGGUUUAUUGCAUUUGUACCCUUUAAUUUUCUCUAAUUGUUAGAAAAACUCUUCCAUGUUAUUUAAUUAGCAAAAAAACCCAAUUGAUUCAAUUUUAUUUUAAGGUAAAUUACGAAACCCCCCCUGAAGUUAGGCUAAAUAACAAAAAACGCACCCACAUAUUCGUAAUAGCCAAAAUCCCCAUCUGAUUAAUUGUACAUUGAUCGAGUUUUUCAACAUAAAAUGUGUAUAAUACCUUAUGUUAAAUAGGUGAGACAUAAAAUAAAAUAUCUGAAAUUGUGUAAAGUCUAUUCCCUGGAAUAAAAAAAAAAUCCGUAAAAAGUCACAUUGUAAGGAUUUGGUGUAAGACGGAAACAAACCUGUAUUUAAUCUAAGUUCAGGGGAGUUUUCGUAAUUUACCCUUUAUUUUAAGGAACUACCCUCUAGAAACUAUUUUUUAGGAGGUUAUGUGCCAAAAAAAUAACAUUAAUUCGGGGUUCUUUUGCUAAUAUUUAUAACAAAAAGGAGUCUUUGAGCAAUUUUAUAUAAUAUAGGGGUAGUAAAUGCAAUAAAACACCAUUUAAUAAUUUCGAAUGUAAUAAAUAAAUAAAAAAAUUGAAGAGAAACUUACUUGACCAGGUUGGUGUAAUUUGGUCCAUUCGAUGGUACGAAGGAAUUCAUGGAGGUUGAGAUCGCAGGAGUGGUUGUCGUCGGCGUGCUCCAAUCCGUAAUCCAUCAUGGCGGAGAGUCCGGCGUCCCAGAGCCUGGACAGAGUCGCCGCCGCCGCGUCGAGGUCUUUUCCGGCGCAGAAGUGGCUGUAGAAGGUGUGCUCGGUUGCGUCGAGGAUUAUCUUUCUGGCGAGUGGGUUUUCCAUCAGCCUCGAGUUCAUCACCGCCGUGCCCAGAUCGACCAUCGGCCCGAACGACGACGCGUGGAUGGCCGCGGUUGACUUGAGCAGUUUUCCGGUGGAAAUCGACUCGAACAGCCGCUUUGUGUCGGUGAGGUCGAUUCCGUCGGCGGCGGAGGUUGUGGCGGUGGGGAUGGAGGCGGGGGGUCGAUUCUUGGCGAAGGAAGAGGGUUUUCGGGGGGCCAUAGUUUCCUGGAGGAGGGAGCUGACGGAGGGGGCGGCGUAGUUAAGGCGGCGGAGGUUGCCCGGAACCUUUGACCGGAUGCUGCCGUUGACCAUGGUCAUGGUGGUGGUUUUUGCUUUUGUAAUAACUAACUUCGUGGUUCUUAAUUCAAGUACAGUUGCCGUAUAUAUAUAUAUCUAUAGAAAAACAGAGGAGUUUUAUUACAGAGAUGAAUUCCACGUUUUUACUGCGUUGAAAAUGACUUCUUUUUGGAUAAAAUUCACAAACACACACACACACCUGCGUGUGUGUGUAUGAAUUUUAUUUUUUUAUUUUUUAUUUUUUAUUUUCUGUAAUGUUUUUUGGAUGAAUGGGUGUGUGUGUGUGUGUGAUUUUUAUAUGAAAUAUAGAAACUUUUAGGCAGUGGGCAUUUCCUGAAAUGCUGGGAGUAUAAACGACACGUGUCAGCUGUAUUUAGGGGUUAGCAAAUAUUGAGGAUCACUUCUUAAUAUUAAAAUGCAAUUAAAAAAAGAAAAGAGAAACCUAUUUUAAUGGGUCUUUGUCUAUUUAGGUGUGUGAAAUUUAUCCAAAUAAAUGAGAUAAUAUUGCCUUGUCACCUCUGAUUCACUUGUUUCUCAAUUAAUUAAUGAAGUAUAUAAUACAUGGUAUUUAUUGGAUAUCCAAAAUUAUGAGAGUAUAAGGUCUGGCUUGACUAAACUUAUUUUAAACAUCCGAUAAAUUCUUACGAUAAUAUGUUUUUAAAACUGAUAAACAAUUACAUUUAAUUUUUAAAAUAAAAUAAAAUAAUUAACUAAUUUGUUAUCAAAAUUAAAAUCAAUCAUGUGGUAAAGUAAAAAAAAAAAAAAAUUGGAUCCCUGAUUAUAGGACUGAAAUAAUGUUAUAACCACAACUAAUCACAUUUCAAGCAGAGAAUUCGCCACAACAUACAUUAUUUUAAUUAUUUAUAGCCCUUUUACAGACAAAACUUAAAGACAAAUCAGCUUAAUUACAACCUUAAACUCGUCAGAAAUAUUUAUUAAAGUUUCUAAAAAAAAAUUAGAGCAAGAAUGGAUCAGGCUAAAGCCAAUUACCAAGCCGGUGAAGCCAAGGGCCAAACAGAGGUGAAUUUAACAUUUAAUUUCACAAUUAAUAGUGAGAUUAAUUUAUAAUUAAUCACUGUUUAUCUGUUUGCUCUGUUAUCAAUUUUAGGAGAAAGCUAACCAAAUGAUGGACAAGAUUAGCAACACUGCCGAAUCUGCUAAGCAAUCGGUUCAGGAGGUUCGUAAUUCCCAGCUACAAUAUUCUUUUUAAUAAUAUUAUUAUUAAAUACACAUAUUAACAUGUAAAUAAACUUUAUUUCUAUCAUUUAAUUUAAUUUUUAAUUUAUUGGUAAUAAAUAAUAAUAAAAUAUGGAAAAUAUUGCAGACCGGGCAGCAGAUGAAGGCCAAGGCAGAAGGAGCUGCUGAUGCUAUCAGGGAUUCCACUGGAAUGAACAAGUGAACUCAUUUAGCAUUUAGGAUAAAUAAAUAUUACUAUUUUUUUUUUUGCUGUUUAAUUUAAUUUGUCUCUAUAAAUAUGAGGCAGGUGAUUGUUUUUUUUUUUUUUUUGAUUUAUUUGGAUGAUAUAAAUUGAUUUAAUAAUGUUUUUUUUUUAUCAAAUAGUUUAGUUGGGCUUUUUUAGGCCCUUUAUUUUGAAAAUAAGAGCACCCCAAAACUGAUUAUUUAAACGAAUCACACAGUAAUAUAGCCCACAAACUGGAUUUUCUCUCUCUCUCUCUCUCUCUCUCUCUCUCUCUCUCUCUCUCUCUCUCUCGUAGGGAUGGCCAUGGGGCGGGUAGUCGGGUUUUGGAAAACCCGCACCUACCCCACUAGCAAAAAAAUUCACCUUACCCGUCCCGUACAUGUUUCGUAUUUGAUUUUAUUAAACCCGCUCCAUAUAAAAUUUGCCACGUAGCCGCUUCAAAUUUGAUUUCAUUAAACCCGCCCCGAAUAAAACCCGUCUCGCCCUGGACCCGUAAUAUUUUUGUUAUAUAUGUUUAAAAUAGGGUAAAUUAUACUUUACCCCCUUGUACCUUGACUGAAUAUCACUUUACCCCCUUGUACUCUCAAUUGCAUCGAGUUGCCCCUUGUACUUUGGUUCGAUAUCACUUUUACCCCUUCUACUCUCAAUUCAUUGAUUUGCCCCUUGUAUUUUGGUUCGAUAUCACUUUACCCCCUUCUACUUUCAAUGCAUUGAUUUGCCCUCCUGUACUUGAAAAAUUAUCUCAAUGAAGCCCUCGCCGUUAGUUUUCUGACAUUUGACCUUAACACCGUUUGAUCUGAGUUUGAAAAUUACAAAAAAGUCACCCCUCCCAAUUUAAAUAAUUAUUAAUAAAAAAAAUUGUGGCUGUCGUCGUGGACUAUAUUUUCUCGUUGUCUUGAAUUUUUUAUGAUUUUAUAUUUUGUUGUUUUUUAUUUUUUAUUUUUAAUAAUUAUUUAAACUGGAGGGGUGACAUUUUAGUAAUUUUCAUACUUAAAUCAAACGAUGUUUAAGGUCAAAGAUCUGAAAACCAGCGGCGAGGCACAUUGAGACAAUUUUUCAAGUAAGGGGGACAAAUCGAUGCAAUUGAGAGUAGAAGGGGGAAAACUGAUAUCGAACCAAAGUACAAGGGGGCAAAUCGAUGAAUUGAGAGUAGAAUGGGGUAAAAUGAUAUCGAACCAAAGUACAAGUCGGCAAAUCGAUGCAAUCGAGAGUACAUGGGUAAAGCGAUAUACAACCAAGUACAAGGGGUAGAGUGGAAUUUACCCUUUAAAAUAUAUCUAAAAAAUUACUAUUUAUAAUAUAAAAAAUAUAUAACUAAUAAAAGUAUAUAAAUGAGUCGGAUACGAGAUGGACGUACGUUAAAAAAACCGUACCAUUGUGAAAGUUUUAACACUUGUACCCACCACAUUAGCUAAUGGGGGGCGCAACCGGUUAAAUUGGCAUCCCUACUCUCUCGCACGUACACACACAUGUUGAAAUACACUUGGUAGAUUUUUACCAUUUAUAUACGCACAAAAACACACACACACACCCAUAUUGAUAUAUGUAGAUCAAGGGUAAACAGUCUAACCUUCACCCGGGCGUAGGAUAGAUAAAACCCACGCAGUGCUUUCCCGUUUCGUCACUCUCUAAUUUUCCAACCAUGCUUUCCAAAAAGAUGGUGAUUUCUCUUUUCAAAAUUAGCAGCACCUGCAACAUGGAAAGCGAUAAGAUCAAUGUGUUAAAGCAAAUAACUUUAGGAACACCUUUUUUUUUUUUUUCAAUAAUGCAAACAUGCGUAGGAAAGAAAAUGGAUCAUAUACAUUAUUCAGUGAUUUGAUGUUACGUUGCAAGAAACCAGAUGCCCUGUUUCUGUGGAAGAGAAACAACAGCUGGAGAUGUACGUAACCAGACCACGCUCGCUCUACCGCAACUUCCCCGGCGCACUGUCAGUUCAGCCGCAACCAGAUGCUCCGUUUUCAGGCAACCUCGUUCUUUCCGACGAAGAUUCGGAAUCGAUUGGUUCCUUUUGCUGCGGAAUAUGGCGAAACCACAGAAUCAAUACUCUGCCUUUUCCUUCGGACAGGAUCUUGGAGGUGUUCCACUCGUCGUUACACGAAGAGGCAGCGAUCGUUCGGAAGAUUUGGUUCGUACCUGUUCUCGACAAGCCUCUUUCGUCCAAUCGCUACUACGCCAUUAAAGCUAAGGGAACACGCAAAGGGUACUUUUUUAUUUUGUCCUCCAAGUGUUUGAUAAAAUUCCUCUGAGAGUUCUAGUAUGACUUUCUGUUAAAUCUUGUCUUAAUUCUGCAGGGAAGCAUACACAUGUUCAAAAGAGGGAGAAGUGGGAAUGUGCUGCUUUUCGAAUCCUGGGAUGGACCCAAAAACCAGGCCUUUUGAUCACAGAGACAGAUACCAACAAUUCGAGAUUCGACCAUACCAAGGUGGCGGUUUCUUUGCCCAGUCGGUGGAAUGGGAUGGCUAUCCUCCGAGUUUCUUGAGAAGAGGUGGGUGGGAAGUUCAAGAAUCUCACUCGUUCAAACUCCGCCUAAGCGAAGCUCGGGGCCUCCAAGAUUCCACCAAAUCGGAUUUUUCCGAACUGAAUUUCCCGCUACACUCGAAGCGUUCGACUCCGGUUGUGCUCGGUAAAUGGCACUGCCCUUUUGUAUUCGUGAAGGAGGAAAGAAAGAAAAUUUUCAGGGCUGACGAUCAAAUGAAGGAAUCUUUCGUGUACGAAUUGAGCCUCAAGCAAUGGUGGGAGCAGAUACAUUACGCCGAAAAAAACGACGACAGCAAUCGGGACAACGUCGUCGUGGUGGAUGCGAGAGUGAAGAGGUUGUUCUGUCUAGUGAAUGGGGUGGACGGCGAGAGAGAUCACGAGAGACGAGACGGCGAUUCAGGGUUUGUUUGGUUUAAGGUUAAAAAGGAGGACUGUAAGAUGAGGAGGAGGGUGGUGAGUGUGGGGUUGAGCUGUGGGCUGUUUGAGAAGAUGAGGUGGAUGCAGGAGAGAAGAGGGUGGUUUGAUAAUCGGGAGAUCGACGUGAGAGUUUCCGGUAAUAAGGAGAAACACGGGUGGCGAAAAUUCGGUUGCUAUGUAUUAGUGGAGAGUUUUGUGCUGAGAAGGAUGGAUGGGAGUUUGUUGAUUAAUUUCAAUUUCAGAAACACAGACAUGAUUGAAUGCAAAUGGGAGUGACAGGUUUUAUUGUUGCGAAAUCAUGGGCUUCGAUUUCGGUUUCGGUUUCUUUUUUAAAGACAAUUUAGUGAUUAUUGUGUUUAAAAGUGGUCCUAGGAAGUUGCCCUAGAUGUUUUCUGCUACAAAAAAAAGUCAAAUUUUGGCAUCUUAAAAUAGUUGGAAAUGUCAGCUGCCGUGAAGGUGCUGGCACUAUUUUCAACAUUCAAUAGAGUGUUUAAAUAAGUGCAUUGAAAAAAUUAGUUUAAUGUCACAUUUAUUUUAUUUAUUUAGUCACCUACCCUCCCAUGUAUGAAACUCUGAGAACUCUUACAUUGGAAUUGCUGCUUUCUCAAACUUAACAGAAAUGGCAAACACCAUGUUUCUUUCCUCUUCUGUGAAAGUUAAACCACUACUUUCAUCUAUAGGUAAAAAAAAAACCCUUUUCCUUGCUAUAUUUCCUUUUUUAGUUUUUAAUAUAUUCUUGUCUGUUUUCUGCAGUUUCCUGUUUCUUGAUCUGGAAUAUGGACUCUGUGUCUGUGAUUUUUAUUUUAUUGUUAUUGUUAUUGUUAUUAUUUUUUUUUAAUUUUAUAAAAGGGCAUGGUGAAGUUAAAUUCUUGUUUCUGUUUUGCUUAACUAUGAUUAAAGAUGAGCCGCUUUUAGCAAUAGAUGAAGCAUUCUUGAUCAGUAGAUUUUCUAGUUCAUAUUUAUGGAUUGAAUUGUUUAGUUGCAACACAAUGCUCGAUUUUUCUGACAAUCGUCCUAUUUAUUUGCUCAAACAGGUGAUGAUCAGUGGCUAAGUCACUUUGCCCCAAACAGAAGAACAUGUCAUCUCAAAGUUUUAUCAAACUCCAGAGUAGUACCAAUAAGAUCAGCAUAUACCCCCGAAAUCCCUUGCCAGUGGUACAAUCUAAUCGCAGAUCUUCCGAUAAAACCACCGCCGCCUUUGAAUCCAAAGACAUUCGAGCCAUUGCAGCCACAGGAUUUAUCGCAUUUAUUUCCAGAUGAAAUAAUCAAGCAAGAGGGCACAAACGAAAGGUUUAUCGACAUUCCGGAAGAAGUUAUCGAUGUUUACGGGCUUUGGCGCCCCACCCCUCUCAUCAGGUUAUAUAUAUUAUUAACUUCUUCAUUCUGCAUAUUUUUUUUUUUGUAAAAUAUCACUUUAAUUAACACCUGUCGGUUUUAAAUAUUGCAGAGCCAAGAGGUUGGAGAAGUUGCUGGAUACACCUGCGAGAAUCUAUUACAAGUACGAGGGCGGCAGUCCAGCUGGGUCCCACAAGCCGAACACGGCUGUCCCUCAAGCAUGGUACAAUGCUCAGCAAGGGGUCAAGAAUGUGGUUACGGAAACCGGUGCCGGUCAAUGGGGAAGUUCGUUGGCUUUCGCUUCCAGCUUGUUCGGUCUCAAUUGUGAAGUAAUUAUGAACCUUUCCUAUUUAUCUUCUGAUUAGUGCAAUAUUUGUAAAAUCUCAAAGGGUACUCACAGAAAAUGCAAAAUGCUAGUUUUUUUAAACGUUUUGAAAAACCCGAAUUUUCAUUUUGGAAGGUGUGGCAAGUACGAGCUUCAUACGACCAAAAACCCUACCGUAAACUAAUGAUGCAAACAUGGGGGGCAAAGGUACACCCUUCGCCUUCCAACAUAACCGAAUCGGGUAGAAGAAUACUCGAGCAAGACCCGUCGAGCCCCGGAAGUUUAGGAAUCGCAAUUUCCGAGGCAGUUGAAAUGGCGGCAAAGAAUCCCGACACAAAGUACUGCCUGGGGAGCGUGCUAAACCACGUGCUCUUGCACCAAACGGUUAUAGGCGAGGAGUGCAUAAAGCAGAUGGAGGCUAUCGGAGAGACGCCAGAUGUCAUCAUUGGGUGCACGGGCGGUGGGUCCAACUUUGGCGGGCUUGCUUUCCCGUUUAUUAGGGAGAAGCUUAGUGGGAAGAUUAAUCCGGUCAUUAGGGCGGUUGAGCCUUCGGCUUGCCCCUCAUUGACCAAGGGGGUGUAUGCUUACGAUUAUGGAGAUACUGCGGGGAUGACUCCGUUGAUGAAGAUGCACACUCUUGGCCAUGAUUUUGUGCCGGAUCCUAUUCAUGCUGGUAAGUGAAGAUAGCUAUAUGAUUAUGGGGACGUCGUGUAGUUUUAUUUAUUUAUUAUUAUUAUUAUUAUUAUUAUUUUUAUUUUUUUUGUGUAGGGGGAUUGAGGUACCAUGGGAUGGCUCCACUGAUUUCGCAUGUGUAUGAAUUGGGAUUCAUGGAAGCAAUUGCUAUUGCUCAGACUGAAUGCUUUGCAGGUAAUCUUCUUUAUGGCAGCACAACAGAACAGAGUGAUUUUCGAUUCGAUUUAAUUUCCUAAAAUAAUUCAAGAGCAUUUGUUUUAUUCUAACACGGAUUUCCUGAUUUAUGCGAAAAAAAAAAAAUGGAUCGGAAUUGAAAUUAGUUUCUUGCUUCAUAGAACUCAAAAUAUUCAAGAAAAUGCUAAUUUUGACCUGGUCCGCUUGAUACCUACCCUUACGAAACAUCCUUCUUAUUUCCUAGGGUACCCCAGUUGGAUACUAUCCGUUGAAGCUAUCGUGAAUAAAAUCGAUGUUUCUGGAGUAGAUAUAUAAUUGAAUUUGCAAUUUUUUUUUUAUGGAAGUUGAUAAUCUAGAUGAUUUGAAUAUACUAUGCUUUCCUUGUUUAUUCAGGGGCUAUACAGUUUGCUCGGUGUGAGGGGAUAAUUCCAGCGCCCGAACCAACUCACGCAAUAGCUGCCGCUAUAAGAGAAGCCCUUCACUGCAAAGAGACCGGCGAAUCGAAGGUUAUUCUCAUGGCAAUGUGCGGGCACGGUCAUUUCGAUUUGCCGGCUUACGACAAUUAUCUGAAGGGAAAUCUCGUCGAUUUGUCUUUUUCCGAGGAGAAGAUCAAAGCAUCCAUAGCCAAUAUCCCUCAAUCCUCAGCCUGAACUAAGAUAGACAUACACUCUGCAGUGUAGGUGGAUUUGGUUAAAGUUGAAGUUAUAAUUUCACUGUCAUGAUUUUUUUUUUUUUUUUUUUUUUUUUUUUUUGAAUAGGUUCAAUUUGUAAGAGUAGAUCAAAUAAAUGAAGGGGCAUUUUUGUUAGAUAAUAUUGACAAAUUGAUCAUUUUCUUUUUAAUUUGCUGACAAGGACAAAUUAAAUGAAAUCAUUUAACUCGACGCUCUCUUAAUCCACCAACUAAAUCACUGACCGCCCUAUGGCCUAUACCAUAUUAAACAUAUCUGAUGAGGAGUAAGAGUAGCUUAAUAGAAAUUGGAGCGAUAAAUGCAAUAUAUAUACAUUAUUUUAAGGUGGUGUUUGCAGAAACUUAUUUCAAAGUAAAAGUUAGAAAUCUGAACUUAAGUCGGGAUUAAGUGUACGUUUCUAAAACUUGAAAGUUGUCAAAUUAGCUGAAAAAUCAGACAAUACAGGUGCACGAGUGCUUUUAAAUUAUAGCUUAAAAUGAACUUAGUUUAAGAGAAGUAAAAACAAAAGGUUAUUUUGGAAACAUCUAAAAAUAGAUUAUUUGAAGAAAAAAACUGAUAAUCUAUUUAUAAAAGCUCAUAAUCUAUUAAAUUAUAUCUUAAAUUGAGACCCAUUAUGUGGAUCGGAUCCAACUAAUUGGGCCAUAUGUUCGAACUUCGAAAUGGGUCUAAUAAUAACAUCUAGAAAAAGCUAAAUUAAAAAAAAAACAAAAAAAAAAGGAAUUAAUGAAGUAACUUCCGGAAUAUUAUUUGUACAAUUUUCUCUAGAAAAACCCUGACCCCCAUCCCCGACCUGAACGCCACCGCAAAUCGGCCACCUCCGCCCACCGCCGUGACCAUUGCCGCCGAUGCCGGACGACGAUAAGGUGACUGCGAUAAAUAUUGGAGGAAAUUGAACUUUUUUCUGAGGUCAUCGGUCCCUGCUUUGCAUUUUUCGUCGCCGAAAUUAAACUACACAGGUUAAAUUUCAUCCAUGUGUGUAUAUUUUUUUCCCGCUGUUCUAGCGACGUGAUUCGUAGAAGGAUUUAUUUAUUUAUUUUUGCGGGAAAAAUAUUUACAGUUUUAUUCACGUAUAGAUAAAAUAUCUGUUGGAAGAAGAAUAAUGUAAAAGGCAUCAGCAGAUCCAUCGGGUGAGUGGAAUGGAUAUUAGAAUUAAAUUGGCUUGUUUGUGAACUCUGUAUGAAGAUAAAAAUUGUGGGCUUUGAUUAUGGCUGAGAAUCUUUGUUUUAACUUAUUCGAUUGUCUACUGAAAGUACAUAAGAGGGGUAACCAAUCCACCUUUGCAUAUAUGAAUUACGGAGCAUCUACGAGUUUACUUUUGGUGUAUGGAUACAUUUGUUUAUUUGUUGCCACAUAAGAGAAAGGGCCUCGACUAUAAACGUGCAUUAUGUUGGUGGUUUUGGCUAAAAUUGCAUAUAGAUCCCCACCCGUAGCUUUGAGUUUCGGAGGAAGCUUUCUCUUACGUGCACUUAAACAAGAGAAAAUACACGUCGUAACUUCUGUGCUGUCAUUCUUAUUUUGUAUGCAUGACUUCUUGAUUCUGUGUAAAUAUCAUUUAAUAAUAUCGUCUCUAUUUAUUCAGUUCCAAUUGAUUUGUUGCAAUGCAGAUAUUAGAAUGUGUGUGCUUUGUAAGAGAUAACUGCCUGUAUUAAAGGUCUAAAACCUGGAGUUGAUUAUGGCAAGCAAACGAGUCCCUCAUCCCCACCUUCACCGUCCUCUUCCCGAUCCAUAUGCCUCGGGUGCAGUGCACCCUGAUCAGUAUGCCUCGGCGAUUCGUCCACCACAUGGCGGUUUCCCACAUUUCGAAAUGCUGCCUCCUCACGAGGUAAUGGCGCACAAGCUCUCCGCACAACACAUCGAGAUAGAGAAACUCGUAACGGAGAACAGGAGGCUUGCUGCCACUCAUGGAACUCUAAGGCAAGAUCUUGCUACCGCGCAGCAAGACCUACAGUUGAUACACGCUCACAUUGCGGAUGGGAAGGCUGAAAAGGAGCAGCAGAUGAAAGGUAUUAUAGAUAAAAUGUCGAUCAUGGACUCGGAACUUGAAGCUGCAGAGCCCAUUAAAGCGGAGUUGCAGAAAGCCCGAGCUGAAGCACUGAGUUCGGUUGCUACAAGGCAGGAACUUAUUUCAAAGGCGCAGCAGUUGAAUCACGAUCUUCAUAAGGCUCACUCCGAGGCACAGCAGAUCCCUUCUCUAAUGGCUGAGCUUGAUAGCUUGAGACAGGAGUAUCAGCAUUGCAGGUAGUUGUCGACAUUUAUCAUGACGAAUAUUCAGUUGUUUGACAUGCAUCCACUACUUACGAGCUUUCUGAUAAUUGCCCAAUUUCUACGUGUUCGGGGAUUAGUAUAAACUUAGUUAGAUAAUGGUGAAUAUCUGAGUGGCAAAUUGGUCCUAUGUUAGCUAGCGAAUUUGUUUUUUAAAUGUAAUUUGGUAGAACUGUUAAAGUAGUCUGAUGUUUGUUGGAUUUGAUCUGCACAGGGGUACUUAUGACUACGAGAAGAAGUUAUACAAUGACCACCUUGAAUCUCUCCAGGUGAUGGAGCAGAAUUAUACGGCAAUGUCGAGAGAGGUGGAAAAGCUAAGAGCAGAGUUAACUAAUUCUGCAAAUUUUGAUCCACAAACAGGUAUACGUUAUCUCCAGUCCAGUUUCAUUUCUCUAUUUUGGUCGUCUUUCAGAAAAAAAAAAAACAACAACUUCUUGAUAGCUCAUAUAUCGUAAAUUCGCAAUGGAAAUGCAGGUGGGCCUUACGGUGGAUCUGCUGGAUAUAACGAAGCUGCUCUUGCCGGACACUAUGCGUCUGCUCAAAACGCCUAUGCUGUAGGACAGGUACGUAUCUUAACGAAAAUGAAGAAGCACAUACAUAUAUUUUGUGAAAAUGAAGAAAUUUUUAUCGGUUUAGUGAUUUCUAAAUUUUCAUUUAUUUUAUUUUGUUUUUUGUAGCAGGGGCUAGCCCCCCUUCCCGGAGAUGGUAGUGGGGGUGGAGCUGCUGGUGCAGCAGCUGGUACAGGGGGUAAUUCUCCUCAUGUUGUAGGGCAAUCUGCUCCAUAUGGUUCAUCUAGAGUGGGAAUUGGUUAUGAUCCACAUAGAGGCCCAACUGCCUCGUCCCAUAAUAAUAAUAAUAAUAAUAAUAUUAAUAAUAAUAAUAAUAUUAAUAAUAAUAAUGUCCAAAGAGGGCCUGUAUAUGAUGGUCAGAGAGGAAAUAGACCCGAACCGCAGUCGGUGCAGAGAAAUCCUGGUUAUGGUGGACCAAGUGCUCCAGUUUAUAAUAGAGGUUUAGGAGAUGAAAAUCAAACGGGAGCUAAUUACGAAUCACAGUACGACCCUUUGUCUAGAGGAGGUGGUGCUGUAGGAGGACCCCCUCAAGGGCAGGUUUCUGCUAACAACGUACCUUAUGCUUCAACACCGAACAAUAGAGCUGGAAACCCAGUUCGUAGGUGAAACACGUGAUUUUUCUGGAACUUCUUAAAGGUCAUUUCUUACAAUUCUUUCAACGGAGAAUGCAAGAUUUUUAUCGUGAAGAAAGCAAGUCAAAUGUUGGGGUGGAUGCAACAUAAAGACUUGCUUCUAUGGAACAGACCAUGCAGCAUGCAAUAUAAAGAAUGUACUGAUUUUUGAACUAUCCACUUGGUCUUGUUUUGAGUGGAAUGCCUCGGUUAGAAUUGAACUGAAUUUAUUUCCAAUGCGUCGAAAUCCAAUUUUUGUUAUUUGUUAUGAUGUUCUGUAUAUCCAACUGGCACAAUAUUAACGCUUCGUAAAUAUUGACUUUUCCAGGUAUUAGAGGUGCUCAUCUUAUGUUAUAUUUGGUAUUUUGCAGCUUUGUCAUUGUGUCUUGGCCCCUGUUACGCGAUUGAUUGCUCGUAAUUUGGAAUUGCUAAGGAGAUCAUAUUCGUCACCUGCAAAAUUCUGUUAAGACGAAGUAUAUAUUCGUAUAAAUUGAUCUUCAGACCUCAAUAACCUUAAAUCCUUAAUCACACCCUUCCUAGGGAUGAACUCAAAAGAUCAGACUCUGUAAAAGAACAUAUCAGUCGCUAUCCGAAACUCACGCCACCCUUUAGAAAAAUCGAGCCUAAAAUGAGUAAAACCCUUAUUUUUCAACUUCAUGUAUUGUUCGACCUAAAAUCGAGCACAUCGCUCGAACAAUACCCGCUCGGCUGAUACUGCAUUACUACCCUCUUCUAUCAAAUUAAUUUAAUUCAAUCAUGAAUAAAUAAAUCAAACAAAGUAUAUUAAAUAACCAUGUCAACUCUAAUUAAGAACAGAAUUUAUAAGUUCGACCAUGAAUUGAUACACAACCCUUAUGUUACAUUUUGGCAAUAAUAUUUUACAAAAAAAGUAUCCAUAUACCAAUUUAUGUAUUCUCAAAUUUGUUUUAUACUAAAAUUAUUUUAUAUGGGAUACAUUAUUAGAUUUAGGGGUAAUUUUUAUUUUUUAACCAGGCCCAAAGCCCAAACGAACCUACUGCGGACAGCCCGUAUUAAAUUAAAUUGACAUAAUUCUAAAAUCAAAUCCCCGAAUUCAAACAUUUCACUUUCCCGGCAUAGCUCCAAGUUCCUCCUACCAUGGAAGACGAUCCCACUCAACAUCAUCUAGGUACAUUUCGAGCUUCACAUCUCUGCAGAUCUCAAUAUUAAUCACGCGUCCACUCUACCAUUUUCGAGAUCUGCACAUGUUUUGAAUCGGCGCUAGGGUUUCGUCAUCUCUCUCUAUAUUUUCAAUUUCAUUUGCUUAUUGCCUAUUAUUUUUUUAUUUUCCGCAGAAUCUGCAGAGUUCGAUGUGAAAGGAAUGGAAUCGGUUAUAGCUACUGUGAGCGGGUAUCACGGCGCCGAGAGAUUCAAUCUCAUCAGACUGAUAUCUCAAACUGGUGCUAGUUACGUUGGGAAUAUGAAUCAAUCCGUCACUCAUUUGGUACGUGUUUUCGAUUUGAGCCUGUAGUCUUCUCUUCUAGCAGUUUUGAUUGGUGGUGUUUUUUAGGUGUGCUGGAAAUUUGAAGGAAGGAAGUAUGAGCUGGCAAAAAAGUUCAAAAUAUCGAUAGUUAAUCAUCGCUGGAUUGAGGAAUGUGCAAAGAAAGGAAGGCGUGUUUCGGAGGAACCAUAUACGUUUCAGAGGUAUAUGUUCUGUUGCUCGGUUGUUUUGAUUGAAUGUCGAAUUUUUCUUUUUGUAAAGAAAUGACUUAUGCUACUGAUGCCAAUUGUAUGGUUAAAAUUCAUUUACAAUUCUUAGAUAACUAAGUAAUGUAGCUUGUUGUGUGUAUUGGGAUUUGGGAUGAAUUGUAUAGUGUAAUUGGUGGAACAAUUCUAAAUUAUGAGUUGUGGUCCUCUGGCCGUUGCUUCUGUAGGAAUUUAUAUGCGCGUCUAUAUUCCAUGGAGAAGUUGCUUUAACUGUUCAUGCUGUCAUUUUUUCUUUUUUGAUUUCUUGUAGUGGGGAAGAAACGGGACCUCUGUGUCUGGACACCCCGCUGGGAAUUCACCAGGCUAAGGCUCAAUCUAAAGCAUUGAAGACAAGUAAAAGACCUGUGAUUGACAUUGAGUGUGAAGAUGUAAAUAAUGCUGCUUGGUCAGAUUCAAUUCUAUUUGAUGAGGUUGGUAUCUGAUUAGAAUGUGUUUCUUCUUUAACAUGAACUUAGCAUUAACCUGUAAAUUACGCUUUACGUAAUUUGGCAUGUAUGGGUUAUUCCUUGUUGCCUAGUGAGUAAAACUAUCACCAUAAAGGAAGGAAAAAAAAUAUCACUAUGAAGAGCCCGAACUCCCUACACCAACUCCUCUUGAUUUUAGCCCAUCUCGUUCAUUUCUUUCUGCAAACAUUUUCUCUCAAGUAAUAAAUAAUAUGUCCCUGAACAAUAUUCUCAUGGAUUAUAGUUUUCCUCGCUAGUUGCUGGACCCUCUGAUUUUCUAUAAAAAAAAUGGUUAUCUAACAUGAUUCUGAUCGUCUGAAUGAAGUUUGUGUUAGUUCUAUACGUUGUUGCAAAAUUGCUUGUGAUUCUGCUGCCUCUUGAUUAUUUGAGUUUAAUCGCGAUUACUAUUUCAGAACCUGUUUACUCAGCCGAUGCAGAACAGUCGUUCUAAUAGAUCAAUUAGGACAGCAAUGAAAAGAGAUUCAAGGAAGGAUUGUCCUGGUACCAGUGGUCAUUGCCCUGUGAAUCUAUCAGGACCAACGAUUAUGGAGGUAUUGAUAUUUUCUAAGUUCCUCCCAUGUUUUUCUCCAUCUUUAGAAGUUUCAGAUAAAACAUACCUACAUGAUAUAACUCUAUGUGAAAUUUACGUUUAUAGACACUUUAAAAUCUCUGAAGAACUAUUGAAGUUUAAUUAGCUAUAGCCUAUGUAUCAGGAUAACAGCAUUAAAGUGUAUUUUAUCACAGGUAACAUGUUCAGUUACUGGCAUAUGAUACUUUGAAUUUGUUUGCUCAUAGCUUUACAAGGAUAAAAGUACUUUUAGGUGAAUUAAGGUUCUCCUGUUUUGAGAACUACGAGCUCAUGGAAAUUUCUCGAUUCCUUCUGGAUGUCAGACACUAUUUAUGAUUUGUCAGCUCUGCAUAAUUUAUAAUUUCCUCCAGCAAUCAUUCGCAAUUAGUUAAUCAUCUCCCUGCAUACCUCCUUACUCUCUCUUUUCCACCUUGAGAGCUAAUUAGUUUACUAGUUGCUUUAUUUUUAGUUAGUCAGUCUGCUCAAAACCUACUCAUGUUUGUUUUCGUCAAUACUGUUUAAUUUUCUCUUUCUUGAAUAGAUCAAGGAAGCAAGCACCUCUCAGCUUGCGGAUACUUAUAAACUGAAAAAAAGGAGUUUGACUUCAUCUGGACCUCACUGCAAGAGUCGUAGGCUGGUGAAGAAGCAUACAGGCACAACGAAUACAAAAGUGUCACCUCAGAAUAAUAAUAAUAAUAAUAUUGAUAAUAGUGUAAUUUUGUCCGAUAGUUCAGAUAUAGAGAUACAUGAACGUGCAUCUACCAGGAAUGCAUUUGAGUUUAGCAGCUUCUCGAGUGGACAAGAUAAUCGUAAUACUCGUGAUGAUGUUGAAGAGAUCGAGUAUGUGAAUGAUGAAAUUCAGAAUGAUCGUGUUCAUGGUUCACCAUCUUCCCUUCUUGCAGCUUCAGAAGAUCUUCUAGAAGCUUUUGUUGAUUUCACUGAAGUUGAUCCCAGCAACAAACAGCCUGCAUCAAGUGAGUUGUCAUGUGUUAUAUGUUGGACGGAUUUCAGUUCGACCAGGGGAGUGCUGCCCUGUGGUCACAGAUUUUGCUUCUCAUGCAUCCAGAACUGGGCAGAUCAUAUGGUGCGUAAUUUUCUCUUGUUCAGUUUUUGUUUCACAAUUUUUUUUUUGCUUAUGCAUUAUAACAACAUAUCUGUUUACAUUUUUCUGUGUUAAGUUCUUGGGUUUCUGAGGAUGUAGUAGCUAUUAAAUUAUGACUUCGUCAAAUGUUUAUUGUUGGUGGCAUGCCACUUCAUGUUGCAUAAAUGGAUGAUUCAUAUUUUUCCUUUACAUUGGUUCUACUCUGAUGUCAUAGACAACGAUUAUUUUGUUUAAUAUGUAUGCAAAGUUUGACAAACUUCAGUAGUUAUGGCAUGGAAAACAGCAUGUUAUUAGUAACUAAAAUUUUAAUUCAUGAUGUAUUGCAUAUUGACAGUAAUGUUUUAUAUUUGUGACAGGCUUCAAGAAGAAAAGCUUCAACAUGCCCUUUGUGCAAAGCUAGUUUCAUAUGCAUCACUAAAGUGGAAGAUGCCGUUUCAUCCGAUCAAAAAAUAUACUCACAAUCCAUUCCACACGACACUUCAAAAAUGAAUCUAUACAUUCUUCCCGAUGAAACAUGCCCUCUUGCCAAUGUAAGUGAUUACGAUCUCCCACUCUCUGAUAAAUAUAUGAUCUUGUUUUCUGUCGUUUCUCCAGCAAAUCUAGUUCCGGUUGUGUCUUGACAUCAACCCCCAUUUAUUUCCGUUUUUAAUUUCUAAUUGGGUUUUCAUUCUCCUUUGUUGUCAUAUACAUAUAUAUAUAUAGCCAUCAGCAGCAGUUUGUAGUCGAUGUUCCAGUAGAGAACCGGAAGAUCUUCUAAUUAAAUGUCACUUCUGUCAGAUCCGAUGUGUUCAUUCUUACUGCCUCGAUCCACCGUUGUUUCCCUGGACAUGCGUUCACUGCAAAGAUCUCCAAAUGCUUUACCUUCACAGCCGUUAGUCCAGUACAACCAAUUUUUAUUUAUCCCAACUCUUCUAUUUUUUUUACAUAUAUAUAAAUAAAUAUAUAUUUUCCAUUUUAUGAAAAAAUAAAUCAUAACAUCCUUUUUUUUUUUAAAUUGUAUUCUAUAAAAUGAGUGGGGAUAAAUAUUCGCCAUUGAAUUCUUUUUAUUUUUAUUUUUAUUUUAUUUUAUUUUAUAGGAACAUAAACAAAACAACCUGGAGAAUCUCCUAGAUUUUAGCUCAUCUCUCCAUUUUUAAACCCUUCUUCGGUCUGUAUUCAUUCUUCAAAUUCCUUCAUCCAGAGAUUUAACACUCGGUCAACCUUUUCCCACUCCUUUUGUUCAAACCCCCAUAAAUAAAACCUCAUUCUCUCAUGUUUCUCAUUGCCUUACAUUUCUCGAUCAACGGAGUCAUUCCGAUUCCGGAGUUUUAAAUUCCAGCUUUCUCCGACGCUCUUCGACUGAUUCCAAAACGGGAAUAACGAAAAAAAAAAAAAAAAACUCCGAAAAGAGUUAUCAAAACUUAUUCCCCAAACAGAAUCAUGUCGAGCUGCGCUAGGGUCACCCUAACCCUCUUCAACAUCGCGAUCUUGAUAUACGCAGUCAUUCAAAUAAUAAUGUCGACAACACCGGAUCAACCCAUAAUAGCACUGUGCUCGUACAACAGCGCCUCGUCUUUACAAUGGAUGGGAAUAUUCUUCUUGGUCGUGUCCAUUAUCGGGCUUAUGGGGUCGUGUUUUCGUAUCAAGGCCGUGGAAUCUAUUUACCUGUGGGUCCUCGUUAUCUGGACUGGGGCUACUAUUGUUUUUGCACUCUUUAUUUAUGCUUCGAUGCCGGGACAGUCGCCUUACCUGACGUUUAAUGCGAUCAAUAGGGAAGGGUUUUGGCUGAAGCAGUACAGGCCGGUUUUGCAGACUGCUCUGGUGAAUGAGAAGGAUUGGUAUAGGAUCAAGACUUGUUAUAAGGAAACCCAUAUUUGUGAUGUUUUGAAAAAUGUCACCAACCCGACAACUUCCCGCUUCGUGCAGGUUUAAAUUACUCUCUCUCUCUCUCUCUCUCAAAUUAUAAAUCUCUACAAUGCUUAUCAAAUAAAUCGAAUCGGAAUUAGCAAUUUUGGGGAAAAUCAAUUCCAAUUUUGUUCCAAUAAAAAAGCCAAAAAAUUCGAAGAUUGGAAUUAAAAAUCUUGUUCCAAAAUCUAAAUCGACGGAAUUCGGAAAUUACAAUUUUUAGCCACUUUGUCAUACAAAAAACAUAAUAAUAAUAAUAAUUUGCAGACGGGGUGCUGCUUUCCUCCGUACCGGUGCUUGAAAUUCAACUCAAACACGAGUUUGUCAUUCAAGAAUAUGGACGACGAAUGCAAGACUUGGUCGAAGUUGGGUGUGGGCAAAGAAUGCUUCGACUGCGACUCGUGCAAGGCGGCUUACCUGGCCAAUUUCCAGGAGCAAUGGGACAGUCACAUUGUUGACGAGGUUUUAAGGAUUUUAUUCCUGGUGGCCGCGUCUGGAUUCGCUUUUUACGUUUACAAGGAAGACGAAAUCCCCAUUGAUCCAAAGCAUGGGAAGCAUGUAAGAAUUUGAAACUCCUUUUUCUUUUUUUAAAUUCUUUUUUGGGGAAAUGCUAGAGCUUCUUCAUUAAAAUGUUUUCAUUGUGUGUGGAAUUGUAACACGUGAUCGAACAGUGUUGUUCUCACAUUACAUUAAUUAACUUUGUAUUACUUCAUUGUAUCUGUAUGAUUAAGUUAUAUAAAAAAAACAAAUUAAGUUAAUAAUUAGUGGGUUGUGAUUGAAUCUAAUUAAUCAAACCCCUACAUCAAAAGGUAGUAUUUCCACGUCAAACUUAUUCAUGCAAGUAUUUAUCAAUGCAAGAAAAUAAAAUAAAGUAGGUCUAUAUUUUUUGUCUGUUUUGAGGUUGUUAUACGUACACGUUCUGAACAUGUAAAUAUUGGUGUUUUAUAAAAAAAAAAAAAAAAAAGAAAAAAAAGAAAUAGUAUAUUAGAUAAGAGUAACUUUAUAUUUGUACAGAGUCUGAGUUGCUAAUUAAUACUUGCACCAGCGCAUGUGAUAUUCACGUGCCCAGUUUUUGUUUUUUUAUCACCUCUACGAAAUGGAAGGCUCUUCUAAUUAAUUAUUUUCCAUUUUUAUCCUUUUAUUAUUUUUCAAUUCCUAUUUGUUUUUUAGUAUAUGCCCACUUGAGGAAUCCUAUCUUAUUAUUAAUUUCAACCCUUUUUAUUAAGUAUGAUUGUAAAAUGGAUGUAACUAUCCUUCAUCAACUUGAAUGUAUAUAAUGGAUUCUUGUGGCAAGAAUUAUUUCCAUUUUACUUUGGAAAAAAAUAUAAUUUGAGGGAAUGAUUUGAAAAUUAAAUUAAUAUUUGUUUAUAUUUUAAAACGAGACAAAUUAAAUUGUAGCAGUAAAAUCAUGUUCAAUAAUAAACUAAAAUUAUGUUUCGAUGAGAGAUAAACUAAAAUGUAUUCGCUAAUUAGAAUAUUAAUUACAAAAUCACGUGCAAAAAGAAGGUUUGGACUAUAUUUCAUGUGUUGAAUCUCAACCACUCAUUAGUGCUUUUGGGUGGUCACCACUCUAUUAACAAAUUACAACCACAUGUUCAAGAUAUACAACACUAGUGCUACAAUUCUUUGCAUUUUACUAAAAUUGUUUUAUUUUCAUAGUUCAAAACUUCAAUUAGGAUUAAUUCAUAUAGAUAUUCUAAUUUUAUUACUUUAUUAAAUAAGGACACAACCAAAGAUGGCCAUAUCCCAUAUGCACUAAAUUCUAAUUUCCCAAAGCCCAAUAAAUAAAUCAAACUGUUUGUUCAUGUCUUGUCACGUAACAAUUAGAGAAGCAAAUAUCAAUUAAGCAUAAAUGUAUAAAUAAGAGCGCAUAUUACAUAGUUUAUUGUAGGCUACACCUAUUAAACUUCAUAUAUAUGCGACUAAUUAUAUAUAAAUUCAAACGCGAAAAAAACUACUUAUUAUAUGUAGUUUACCGGGUGUAGCAUCAAACUGACCGUAUAUAACAAGCUCAAUUAUUAAUUUAUUUACUAUGUAUAUAAUAAAAAAUGACAAGGAAUUAUACGUAGCUUCUGGUUUUAGGAGAAUCGGCGAUUUUGAGGGUAUCUUGAAUGAGUUUUCUGGCUUUUCUGCUCCUUAUUUCGACCCUCAUGCUUUCACUCUUAUCUAUCUUGUUGUAAUAAUCUGGUUCUUGCUUCCUUUUUUUUAUUCCCUUUAUUUUCGAUUUCAAGCUCGUCAUCAAUUUCUCCAACCCCAUCAUCACCAUAUUUAUAUAUAUAUAUUUCUCUGUAAAAAAACAAAAUGCCUGCACAAAUUUAUUUUAGAGCAACAAAAAAAAAAAGGAAAAGAAAUUAAAGCCCAACUGAAUAUAUGAACUCCAAGAAAGUGGGAAGAGAGAAUGGAGGCUUACCUUGGAGAAUUAAAUUCUCGAAUUUUGGUCGCAGAUUUUUCGAGGAUUCAAUGUGAAUGAAUGCUGUUAGAGAGAGAGAAGAGAGAAGAGAGAGAGAGAGAGAGAGAGAGAGGGGGGCCAAGUGAGAUGGAUGUUUAUGGUGGUUUAUAUAUAGAGGACGAGGAAUUUGGGUUAUUUAUUGCAUAGGGUCCAGAUUUUCUGGAUCUUGUAAUUUUAGCCCCAUGGGGAAAUGAUUAAGUUUAUCUGAUCAUUUUGUGUUAGUAAGUAAAAUAAUUACAAGUUUUAUUGAUUUGAUUAUGGUCAAAGCUUUUAGUAAUAAAAUCAUCAUUCCUUAUAUUCUCAAUCAAAUUGGAUUAUAUAUGACCCAGCGAUUGUGUGAAAGUCCAUCAAUUGCAGUUACUUUAAUUUCCUUACAAAUAAUUUCCUACACUCUUAUAUAACAAUUAGUAGUUUGCAAUCAAGAUGUGCAACAAACUCGAUCUAUCAAUCAUUGAUAUAGAAAAUUCGAAAAUCAAGAUGUGCAACAAACUCAAUCUACCAAUCGUUGAUAUAGGAAAUUCGAAAUUGAGCUGACUGACACAAAAUCACUUGCUUCAGUCACUAAAUUAUCGUUUAGCUAAUUUCCCCUAGUAUGAAGGUGGUGCUCAAAUGUCAUAAAAUGCAAUCAUUUAGGUACACACACUAGAAGAAAAUGAAGUCACGUAAAAAAAAAUUAGGAGAUGGAGUGACGUUGCUAAAGUACUUAUGGCUACAAGGUCCUAGGAUCGAAUCCUGGUAGCCGCAGUGUGGGAAUUUCAACUCCAUUUGAGGGUUGGUUCCUUGUGGGCACCAGGUCCGGGUCCGCUACCUUAACGGGCCAUUGAGUUACCAUGAUUUACAUCCUCCAUCAAUCCUUGUCGGGCCAAGGGAUGGGGACCCUGGGGGCGAGGGAUUCGCCUUUUGGUGCAACAAUAUAUUCUUAAUCAGUUAUAUUUAUACGUAAAUUAAUUUUCUAAUGCAGUCACUUUCACUUUUUUGAAUUUUAAAAAAUAUAUAAGCUUACGUUUAAUAGUGGGAAAUGACAUACAUGGACCAUCAAUCAAUUGGGCCUCUUCUUUUAAGUUAAUUCUCUCUCUUCAAUGGCGGCUAAAGAAUUGCAUAUCAGUUACUGAAUUAAAAAAAAAGAAAAAAAAAAAAAACCUUAAUUCUUACAGACAGGUCAUUUUUGCUCCCCCAAGAAACCUUACAAAAAUAUCUUAAUUCACCUUAAUCUUGUUAAUUUUUCAUGUAGUAAUAAUAUGAUAAGUUAAUGGGCUUGAAUAUGGAAGUGGCAUUUUAGAUACUAUGAUAGAACCCAAAACAUUAUGGGCCGGCGGCUAUCGGCCCACUAUCGUUCUAAUAAAAAUCAUUUUCAGCCCGUAUAAUUCUUUCCGAAAGCGUAUUCGUCGUUAAUGCAAAAGUUCGAUAUGCAGUUCGGUCCCUAUGGUAGGUGUAAAUACUAAAAUAUAUUUUUUUAUUUUUUUCUGAUUUUACAUAUUUUAUUACACAUCGUCUUCUUGCCUUUUUCGAUUCAAAACUUGAAUUGCAUUUAGAACCACUAGUAGAAAUUUUGCUUAUUAAUAUGAAAUUUUUUGUUACGUUAAAAAAAUGGUAAUAAAAUGUAUUUUUUACUACGGAAUAAUUUUGAAGUCGUAGUAAAUACUAUGAUUUACCGUAGCUAAAAGUUAUUUGGUACGGCCAUUUACCUCAGCAAAGUUUUUAUCACGCCUGUAUAUGCUACGGGACAAAUUUAUUGAUACGAGUUUGAUACAUUUUGCUACAGUUAAUGAUCGUAGUAGAAUACCAUUUUCGUACUAGUGAAUAUAUGCAAUGUGGACCAAUGAAUUUCCAUUACUGAAAAAGAAAUCUACAAUAUUAUAAUGAUAUUCCAUUCAAUUUGGAUACAUUUACACGUGGCAUAGUAUAUAUGUUCUUGAGUGACCCCACACUAUUAUAUGCGCGUAGACACACGCACCAAACACACACACACACACACACACAUACAUCCACAUUUAUUUAUGUGUGGAGAGUAUUUUUUCUUUGUGAUUUCCCAUUAGCUAGUUUCAUUCUAUCCUUUGCCUCCUCAAACAAAAAAAAAAAAAAAAAAGAAAAAAAAAAAUGAAUAAGCUGCAACAACAAACAAGAAGAAUAUCAAAAGCACCAAAAUUAGCUCCCCUAAUUGCCCUCACAUUUCUCUUAACAAUCCCUUUAUACUACCCCUUCCACACCCACUCUCCCAAAAACCUACUACCCCUACAUAAUACCAACGACAACAGCCCUUGCUCCGGCGAUGGCUGCGGCGGAGAUGCGGCGGGGGUCGGCGGUGUUGAGGCGGAACAAUGCGACCUUUUCUCCGGGGAGUGGGUCCCGGAUCCCGAGGGGCCGUACUACACGAACGAGAGUUGCUACGCGAUUCAGGAGCAUCAGGAUUGCAUGAAAUUCGGAAGGCCAGAUUUAGGGUUCUUGAAGUGGAGGUGGAAGCCCGACGAGUGCCAGCUGGCGCUGUUCGAUCCUCGCCGGUUUCUCGAACUUGUCCGGGGGAAGUCGUUAGCGUUUGUCGGUGAUUCUGUCGCCAGGAAUCACAUGCAGUCUCUCAUUUGCCUCUUGGCAAAGGUAAGUAACAUAUUAAUUACUAAUUUGUUAAUCUCGCUUUAAUUAUUUUGGUAAUUAAGAUUGAUAAUUAAACGGGUAAGUAAUUAAUGAUGACAUUAUAUUGUAAUAAUUUGAAAUAAUUGAAUGAAAGAAAAAAUGUUUGUUGGAUGUUGUUUUCCAAUAAUUCAAUGUAGUGUGGGGAGUGGCCCCUCCUUUCAAGUUGCACUGUAAAUUUUGGCACAUAUGCAUGGACCACAUUUUGAGGUUUAUCCUCAGAAUUUAUCUUUGAAAAAGAUAGUACAUACAGGCAAAUUUAAUUUCACAUAUGAUAUAAUUGAGAUUAGUUAGGGGAAUGUGAUCUAAUCAAGUCCAGUAAAGCUUAACCAGGUCAAUUAGGUCCAUAUAAUCUCAAUUUGGCCCAAUUAGGAAAAUCACAUUUUAAUUAAAACCAACAUGAGAAGCCAGCCCACACCCAAUUUCGAUAUACCAUUAUUAUAUAUACAACUGCAAAAAUUAACCAUCCAAAGUAUAUAGGAGUGGAAAUUGAAAUGAAAUUUCCGAUUUCCGUCAAUUCUGAUCAAAGAAUAUCCGAAUUUGCAAUCGUAUUUUUCAUUCCGAUUUCCAAAUUCUCGAAUUUAUUUGGAUAUAAAUAGGAAUUGUCUAUAAAAUUACCAGAAAUUCUAAUUUUCGAUCCAAUUUUAGUUUGGAAUAUUUUGAUUGUUUUUUGAAAUAUAUAUUAUAUAUUUUGUAAGUUAUUCUUGUAGCUAAAUUCCUAUUUUUAAUUCAUACAUAUAUAAAUAAUUAACCACUGUAAAACAGACAGACUGAAAAGUUCGCUUGCAGAUUGCAAAUUGAUUAAUAAUUGAAAUAAUUUUUUUUCUGUUAUUUUCUAUUUAGAUAAUCAUGAAUAUUGCCUGAUUUCUGGACAAGCCCAUGUUCUGAUAAUAGACCACAAUUAAUCACAAGAUUUGUCCAUUACGUCGAUUACGAACUGCGAUCCAUUUUGUGGUUGUUGUUUUCUUUACACCUAAUUAAAUUAAAAUUUCGACAUUGAAGAAUAAAUAAUUUCAAUUUAAUUUAAUUUUUGUUUUUUUAAAUUAAAUUAUGAUCAAAGGAUAUUCGAAUUUGGAAUUAUAUUUUUCAUUCCGAUUUUCAAAGUCUAGAAUUUAUUUGGAAAGAAACUGGAACUGUCUAUAAAAUUACCAGAAAUUCUAAAUUUCGCUCCGAUUUUAGUUUCGAAUAUUUCGAUUGUUUUUUGAAAUAUAUAAAUAUAUUUCAGGUAGCGUAUCCAUCAGACGUAUCAGAAACAACGGAUGAAAACAAACGCUAUACAUACACCGAACACAACUUCAACAUUUCAAUUUUCUGGUCACCCUAUUUGGUGAAGACCGGCAAAUUAGACAACGAGCCCUUCGAUCUCUACCUCGACGAAUUCGAUCCCAGUUGGACAACUCAAAUCUCACACUACGAUUAUGUCAUCAUCUCCGCCGGCCACUGGUUCUUCCGGCCGACGUACUUCCACCUCGAAAACCGCCGCGUCGGCUGCCUCUACUGCCCCGAGCCCGAAAUCACCCACCUCACGCCUGUUUUCAGCUACCGGCGUGCCUUCCGGACGGCUUUCCGGGGAAUCAACGGCGGCGGCGCCGCCAGAUCCGGCGGCGGCGUGACUUUUCUGAGGACGUUCGCGCCGUCGCACUUCGAGGGCGGCGGGUGGAACAGCGGCGGGAACUGCACGCGGACGAGGCCGUUUAGGAGGAACGAGACUGUUCUGGAAGGUCCGGGUUUGGAAUUUUAUACGGUGCAGUUGGAGGAGCUGGGAAUUGCACAGAGUGCAGGGAGGGGAACUGGAGGGAAGUUUAGGCUGUUUGAUGCCACGAAGGUGAUGCUGUUGAGGCCGGAUGGGCAUCCAAGUAGAUACGGGCAUUGGCCGGGGGCAAAUCGGGUAUUGUACAAUGACUGCGUGCAUUGGUGUUUGCCUGGUCCCAUUGAUUCUUGGAACGAUUUUUUGCAAGAGUUGUUGAUGAGAGAAUUAGGAGAUGCUACAUAAACCUACAUUCAUAAUUUUUUUAUUCACCAUUCAUAUUUAAUUAAUGGAUAGUUAAUUAUUAUUUUAAUUAACUAUUUUACCGCCAGUUAUUUCAAAUUUUUUUUUUCUUGCUCAUAUAGUGGUCAUGUAGCCCAAAUGGUCAAAUUGGAUACAAACGAAUAGAAUGGGCCAAGAGUGGAGAAAGCCCAAUCAAGAAGAAGCCCACAUAUUCAUAAGAGAUAUGCAAAAAAAAUGUCGAGGGAGAGUUUCCCGACGUUCGUACUUCGAUGGUCAAAUAAGUCGUAAUGGUGGAAAAAAAUAUAGAUAUAGUGAAAAUAAGUGUGUAUUUAAAAUACCAGAAAUUCCCCUACGUUUGUACCUCAAAACUGUAUUUUAUACCUGUCGUAGGGAUGUGACGGUGGGGGCUCGGUCCAUCUAAGGUCAAAUCACGCGUGGGAUGGGCGAGCAGUCUGGUUCCUUGCGAUCUGGGCUAGUUAAAUCGGGGUAGGUUUGUCGGGUGUGGUUGAGCUACUUUUUGGUUAAUCUGGGUAGUCUGGUUCUUCCUGUCUGACACAACCGAAAUAUAGUCACAUCCAUCACAUGUAUACUCUACGUGAAAGUUGUGAUCAACUUCGUGGUGUGUUAGUGGGCAAUGCUAAUGUGAGUUUGGGCUGCAUUUGGAUUUUGUUGCGAGACUGUAUUAUUUGGGCUUUAGGGACAAUUCAAACCGUAUCUUGUACAGUGAUAAUAGAAUACACUUUAAGAAAUGCCAACUUUUUUUUGUUUUUUUGUUUUUUUGAAAAAAGAGAUAUUCAUUAAUCAUCUUUUACAUGUUUUAGCAGAAUAUAUGAAUUCAUCUUAUAAACAAUGAUCAAAGACUACUUCUCCACUCUACUUAUUUAUUUAAUAUAUAUAUAUAUAUAUAUAUAUAUAUAUAUAUAUAUAUAUAUAUUGAGGAACAUCCAUUUCAAGGGAUUAAUUUAUGUGGAAGUAAAGUCAACAAACAUCAAUUCAUUUCCAUUUGUCAUAGAGUAAUAAUUUAUGGUGCGAGUAAUAAUAUAUAGGCUGCUUUGAACAGAUUGAGGCACUUCUUGUUUGAAGAAGUAAAAGUCUGAUGUGUCACGCUAACAAAUGUUAUAUUUAUUAGUUAAAAAGAAAUUCAAGAUAAAGAGAGAUUCUCCCUCAGAAGAAUAAUCAUAUACGGGUGAAAAUCGAAUUAUCGAAUCGAAAUUAGCACUUUCAGAUCAUAUAAUUUCAUUUUUUAAAAAAAAUAAACACUAGUUACAAUUGUCUCACAAAAAUCGAAUUUUUCGUAAAUCAACACAAUCCUAAAUUUUCGUUUCAAUUUUCACCCAUGUUCAUCAUGUAUGCAUCGAGGGUUGAAAUAAAAUACAUUUUUUUACCCAUUGUGAGGAAUACAUUACUUUGAUCAGAUCUAAUUAUAGGAUGAAGUAUAAUAAAAGGAUUCGAAUAAAUUGAAACAAAAUUAGUAAAUAAGGAAGUGCUCAACCAAGCCGGCUUUGAAAUCGUUGACCCGAUACAAAUAAUUUUGAUGAUAAUUUAACGUGAGAUGUACUCAAACCCAUUGGUCAAUACCAUAAACAUUCGACCAACAAAAAAAUUUCACGUUAAUAUAUAAGACAACAAUUCCAGCACAUAAUUUGAUGAUACAACAUAGUUUAAUUAAUUGCCGAUCAUUUCCUCCAUUUUCUUUCUUCUUUCUUCCUCUUCUAACACGCACAAAAACACACGCACUCACAGAUUCCAUGAAAUGAAACUCCAAACUUCUGAAAUUAUUCCCUUAAGCAAACCGAAAACACGAAGAAAAACACGAACGGUUGUCGCAAUCGUAGCUCUAGCUUUUAUUCUAACAAUCAUCCCUUUGUAUUUCCCUUAUUCCCAAAAUUACAAUCAACUCUCUUUAUCCUUCCAAAUCGGCUUUCAAUCCCUCGAUCACAAUUCAAUCCGAUCAACAACCACUCCUCCGCAGCCAAACAACCCCAAUCUCAGAGACGAAGCGUCCGAAGACUCCCCGAAGAAUAUUCCACCAGACGCCGCUGCUGCCACGUCAGCAAACUCGACAUCGUCAAAUGAAAAGCGCGGAGAUGGCCGGGAGGGAAAACGGACAAGCGACGCGGUGGUGAAGGAGAAGAAGAAGUGCGACUUGUUUAGUGGGGAGUGGGUCCCGAAUCCCGACGGGCCGUACUAUACGAACACGACUUGCUACUCGAUCCAGGAUCAUCAGAACUGCAUGAGAUUCGGGCGGCCCGAUUUAGGGUUCAUGAAAUGGAGAUGGAAGCCCGACGAGUGCGAGCUGCCGUUGUUCGAUCCGAUCGGGUUCUUGGAACUUGUCAGGGGAAAAUCGUUAGCGUUCGUCGGUGACUCGGUGGCGAGGAAUCAUAUGCAGUCUCUCAUUUGCCUCUUGUCCACUGUAAGUGAUCACUUGCCAUACGUAAUUAUGUGUAAAAUAAUCAUUACAGUUUAUUUUUCUUCAUUAAAAAAUAAUAUUUAGUUUAUGCAUAUUGAAAUAAAUUUAAUGGGCAGAUAGAUAGAUGUAUUUGAGUAAUUAAUGUGUCAAUUAUUAAUUAUAUGAUCAAUAUAUUAUACAACUUGUAAUUAAGUUGGAUUAAUGAAAUUAACUACUGCUAUAGGGUUAGGUAGUGAUUACCAGUAGUAAUAGGAACUAACCAGAGUUAGACCCGGCCGGCUGGCAAUUAAUUAAGGUUAAUUUGCAGAAUGAUGUAACAAAUUAUAUUGUAACUAUUUAUGUAUAUAUAUGUGUAUCGGACAGCUUGUACACUGCCAUUUCUGUGGUUAUAAUUAUAAUAAAAUUUGUCAAUGGAAUAAUGGAUCCAUUUCUGUGCUGAUCAUAAUUAUAUUUGUCAAGUUGUCAUAAUUAAUUAAUAAUUCUAAUGAAUUUACAAUAGGGUUGUAUCUUAACUUAUGAUUAUUUGAAUGCUAUUUCCGAUGAAAGUUACAUCAAGUGAUUUUUUACCGUUGAUUUAUACACACCAACGUGAGUGUCUGUAUUUCUUAGUAAUUAAUCUAUAUUUAAUUAAUCCAUUCAAAUCCUUAAAAUUCAACCCAAAUUCACUUAUAUAUUCAAAUUUUACCAAAACCAGUUGUCUUAACUGGAAAUUAAACCUCGUCCACCAACAUAAUCAUAAACCAUGAGCUAAUCUUAGUUAGUUUAAUUUGUUUUUCUUCUUAGCCGCCUUUAAUUAUAAUUUAUUAUUUAUUUUAUAUAUAUAUAUAUAUAUUGUGUGUCAGCGAUCGUAUGAUGUUAUUGGCAUAUGUAAUAGUCGUGCAAUUGCACCCUACAGCGAUUUUUAUUUUUAUUUUUAUUUUUAUUAUUAUUAAAAUUGCAUGUAAUAAAAUGCUAAUGAAUUUCCGGGCUAUAGUUUAAAAAUAAAUUCGUGAAAUAUAACAAUAUAUUUGUUUUUCGUUUUAAUUUUAAAUUUAUUAAAAAAAUUGCAGGUGGGCCACCCUGUUGACAUGUCAAAGCCGAAGGCCGGAAACAGGUUGUACGUUUACACAGAGUACAACUUCAACAUCUCGAUAAUCUCGUCGCCGUACCUAAUCAGAACGGAGAAAACCGUUCCCGGCGAUUUCGCCACCCCUUUCAAUCUAUUCCUCGACGAAUUCGACCAAACCUGGACCGGAAAAAUCCACACGUUCGACUACAUUAUCAUCUCCGCCGGCCAGUGGUUUUUCCGGCCGUCGUACUUCUACCUCAACCGAACCCUAAUCGGCUGCCUGUACUGCCCGGAGGCAAACGUCACCCAUCUCCCGUCGGCGUUCAGCUACCGUUGGGCUUUCCGGACGGCGUUCCGGGCGAUUAACGGCGGCGCCGGCGUGGCUUUUCUGCGGACGUUAGCGCCGUCGCAUUUCGAGGGCGGGCCGUGGGAUAAGGGCGGGGAUUGUGUGCGGACGGGGCCUUACAAGAGGAAUGAGACUGGUUUGGAGGAGUACAAUAUGGAGAUGUAUUCGGUGCAGUUGGAGGAGAUGAGAAUUGCACAGAAAGCAGGGAGGGGAACCGGAGGGAAGCUGCGUUUGUUUGACGCGACGAAUAUGAUGGUGUUGAGGCCGGAUGGGCAUCCCAGUAAAUACGGGCAUUGGCCAGUGGCAAAUCGGACAAUUCCUAAUGACUGCGUUCACUGGUGCUUGCCUGGCCCGAUUGAUGCUUGGAAUGAUUUAUUGCAGGAGUUGUUAAAAAGAGAAGUCAAAAAAAAAAGUAAAAUUACCUGAAAUUUGAUUUAUGUUUGACUGAGUGGGCCUAUAUUUAAAUCUUUGUUUGACCGUAACAAAGGCCCAUUCAAUCGGACCGGAAAAAAUAUUGGUAUAUGAAUUUACUAAAAUGGGCUUUUAUGACUGGUUUUUUUUUUUUUUUUUUACUUUUGUAAUUUUGGAAAUAGUUUUUAACUUUCCGAAGUAUUUUGAAAUGUAGAAAUGAUCAUCAAUCUUGAUUUAUACAUUCUUGAAAUUUCUCUAUCCUUAUAUGUUUUAAGGAAAAUAUACUCGACUCUGAUUGUGUUUGAGCUCAAAGCCUAUUAGUUUUUCCUAUCUUGCAUGCAACCUGGUAUCUUGUGAGUAAAAGUGUGAUGGUGGUCUUCCAAAUGUGCGAUCUCUUUGACCUGUCUAUCUCUGACGAACGUUUUGCCUAUCUCAAUCAUCUUUCUUCACUAGAAUUUGGGCCAUAAGGUAUAUGGGUUACCUCGGUUUUGGACUUAACUUUUAUUCUUCAUUGGACCUUGACCCAUCGAUCUUGAAUAUGGGAAGCUUGACCCAAAGGUGCCGAGUUGAUCCCUCCCUAUCGGUGCCAGUUUCACACGCACAAGUAAAACAAUGUAACAGCAAAAGAAAAAAAUGGUUAUUUUUCUAACUUUAAAAUACUUUGUAUUUUAAAUUUUCUUUUUACUAACCAAAAUGUGAAGGUUCAAUCAAGCAUAGAAUGAUAGAAUAAAUGCAUUGAUGGGUGGUUAAUUGUUAUAUCCUGGGGUGCAAAGAAGCAAAGAGGAUCGAGAAUUGGAAUGAAUGAGAAGAAGAAGAAUGGGAUUGAGAUGAAUUGGGGGCUGAAGAAGAAGAGGAACCCUAGAAUUGCUAAAGGAGGAGUCUUGGCACAAUCGGGAGUUGAGGAAGAGAUUGAAGGACAAAACGAUGUCGUUUUGGUUGGACCGGAUUUCGGGGCUAAGGGCCGAGUUUAGCAGCCC
rnacentral:lncRNA from 1 species